rnacentral:lncRNA from 1 species
ACAACUUCAAAGAAAGCUGGAUAAGACCCGAAAUCGGAUAGAAAAGAUGGCAGGUCCAAAGGCUCAAGUGGUGGCAUCCCGGGAAGAGAAAUUUCUGAGUCAGUAAGAGGAAGUUUCAAUACCCCUUUGUUGACAUGAUUGUAAAUGUUGUCAACAGCACAAGACUGAGUAAAGAAAACAGCCCCAACUAUUCCAAACUUCUUGGCAAUGUCCAAAGGCCAAGGCAUGAAUGCAUCAUAAACAAGACAGUCAACUGGGCACCCUGAGACCGAUAGCUUCUCAAUGAGCUCAGCCAAAGUCUGGGACCCUACUUUCCAAAAGCUCUCCAAAUAGGCCUGGAUACUUACACCCUGCGUUUUCCAGCCUUCGUCAAAACCAUCAGAGAUGGUCUCCAGUGAGAUAGUCUCAAGUGCAGUGCAACAUGAUCCUUUGUACAUUGUAUUGUAGAUAUAACGAGUAGUGACCAGUGUGACUUUGACUCCUUUGUGAUCUAAAAGCUUAGAAAAUUGGAGGAGAGGGUUGAUAUGGCCUUGACUAGGAUAGGGAAUGACCAAGCAGUGAGCUUUGUAGUCUCUCUGUUCUUUCUCCAUUUCUCUGGUUUGGUUGUGUAUCUGUGUUGUUUGGAAAGAACUUCAGCUGCAAGGUAAUAUAUACUGCUGAAGUAUGAAGAUGAAGUGCACAAUCAGUCCACGAAACUAGUGGUCAGAUAAGUCUUGUACACCAAGUUCUAUCUAUACGUCUCUUUAGCUGCAAGGUAAUAUAUUCUGCCGGAAGUAACGUUAUAUCAUUGUUUUAGAAGUUGGUAAAAAUACGUGCAAAGGUUUAUGAUUGACAUCGAUUGACCAGUAGUUGGAAGAAUGCUGAUCUAUAGACUGUUGAAGCUGAUCUAUGAUUAUGGCGACCUAAGAUUAGGUACAGAUAGCCAAUAAUUCAGUAUAAUAAAUUUUAUAGCUCAUUUGGGGAAGUCAGAAUGUCAAGUACAAUUUGGCUUUUGCAUCAGUGCCGCGUGAGUGCACUAUAAUGAAUGGAAAUCCUAAAAAGUUUAGCGUCUAGAUGAUCUCCCUCUGCAGAUUAACAUGGAGAACCUGAGGCGUGUCAUUUGGAACCAUUUGCAUGGUCUUUUAUGUCCCAGAAUACUCUAGAGGAGGGGAAGAAUGUUUAAACCCACACAACAUCAGAGAUGGUUCUGAGUGUGCUCCUAUUCCAUCCUGUCAAACUUUAUAACCUGAUGGUUCUGGGGUUUCAAGAAUGUAAACAGGGGAUCCAAUGGCUGGGAAGAAAAUAACAGGGUUGCGAGGAAGGCAAGAACUGGAGUUAAUAUAAGUCGAGUCAGACGAUGUAUGAUGUACUUGGGUAGAAUUUCUCAAUAGAAUAAAAUUUUCUUUUGGUGUUCUACAAUCCACAUGCAAAUGAUUGGUAUCUGAUCAGCCAAAUCAACUUGAACCAUAUUAUGCUGGCAGAAUAGAUAUCAUUGAUAAAUUAAAGCUGGGAGACAUUUGUUGUUACCGAAAGUAACUCUGCUCCUAAUAAUGUAUUAUUUAUGGAAAAUAUUAAAGAUAAUAUGGUGAACGAAGAAACUAGAAGGAGUUCUUCAUCAACUUCAGAAAAUGGUCAAUUUGCAGAGAAUAGUGGAAGGAGCAAGAGCAGAAGACCAAGAGGCCAUGGAAGAAGUAUGAGCAAAUCCAAAACAAGGCUCGUUUAGUUGUCAAAGGAUUCAGCCAGAAAGAAGGAAUCAAUUUUGAUGAGAUUUUCUCACUUGUUGUCAAGAUAACUACGAUUAGAGUCAUUUUGGGCAUGGCUGCAAGCAUGGAUCUUGAGGUGGAGCAAAUGGAUGUGAAGACUGCAUUUCUUCAUGGUGAUUUAGAAAAAGAAAUAUACAUGGAUCAACCAGAAGGCUUUGAAGUCAACAGAAAGGAGCAUAUGGUUUGCAAGUUGAAGAAUAGCUUGUAUGGAUUGAAGCAAGCACCAAGACAGUGGUACAAGAAGUUUGACUCCUUCAUGGGGAGUCAUGGGUACAAGAUAUCGUUAGCUGAUCCGUGUGUGUAUAUUCAACAACCCGUUGGAGGUAAUUUUUUUUCAUCUUACUACUCUAUGUAGAUGAUAUAUUGAUUGUCAGCAAAGAUACUGUUAUGAUUCAGUAGUUAAAAACAGAUUUGUCACAGUCCUUUGAUAUGAAGGAUUUGGGACCACCCAAGCAGAUUUUAGGCAUGGAGAUUGCCUGUGAUCGAGGGAAUAAGAAAUUGUGGUUAUCACAACAAAAAUACAUCGAGAAGGUACUGGAGAGGUUCCACAUGGAGAAAACAAAACUGGUUGCUAUUCCACUUGCCAGUCACAUGAAGCUCAGCUCAAAGCAGAGUCCUACAAGUCAGAAGGAGGAGGAAGAAAUGACAACAAUGCCAUAUGACUCAACAGUAGGGAGCUUGAUGUACACGAUGGUUUGUACGAGACCAGACAUAACACAUGUAGUUGGUAUUGUUAGUAAAUUCUUAUCUAAUCCAGGCAAGGAGCACUGGAAUGCUGUUAAGUGGAUUCUGAGAUACUUGCGAGGAACUUCAAAGAUAAGUCUAUGCUUUGGAAAUGGCAAGUCUGAACUGGUUGGCUAGACAGAUGCAGAUAUGGCCGGAGAUAUUGACACGAGAAAGUCCAUAUCAGGGUACCAAAUUACAUUUUCAGGAGGAGCUGUCUCAUGACAAUCAAAGCUACAAAAAUGUGUUGUUUUAUCAACUACAGAAGCAGAGUAUAUUGUAGCUACAGAAGCAUGCAAAGAAAUUUUGUGGUUGAAGAGAUUCCUACUAGAAUUAGGUCAUUCACAACAAGAGUUUGUCUUGCAUUAUGACAAUCAAAGCGCAAUUCACUUGAGCAAGAAUUUGAGUUUUCACUCGAGGUCAAAGCACAUUGAUGUGAGGUAUCAUUGGAUACGUGAUGUGCUGCAAGCUAAAGAAUUACUAUCAGGACCCACCCCGGAUUUCUUCUUGAAAUCCGCGAUAAACUCUGCGGGACCCACCUCAAGGGAAGUUCUACCAAAAUUUUGGCAUAACCUCCCUUAAAAUGGGCGACCCUACUUGAAAAAUUAACCAACUUCCAACAACACUUCUAAAUAACCAAAUAAUCAACAACUCCUGGAGCCACCCGCUCCCCCAAAUAAACAACCACCACAUCAACAAAAAUAAUAUCUCAACAGCAAAUUCAUAAUUCAACAUCUCAUAAUAAUAACUCCAGAUAAAACUUCAAAUCAUCCCUAGAUCGGGUCAUAAACCCUUAACACACAUCCAAAAUAAAUACAACAUCCCAUGGUUAUCAGAGCAAUCUAACAGAAGGAAACGAGAAAAUACACAAGUAGGUUUAAACAGGUAACCUACGAAUGAAAACUGGAAGUGAUGAAAAAUAUGACUCGCCUCCUACACUUGUCGAACCGAACUCUGCAGAUUGGACAUUUAAAAAUGAAAGGACCAGGGGAGAAGCAUUUAAAAACAUUAGUGUGAGUGGACAAAAAUAAAUAACAAUAAUAUUAACUUAAUUAUGGAGCACUGAAACCAAAGUUUAUGUUUUCCCAAAUUUUCCGUUGAGAAACAUUUAGGCAUGCAACUCUUGAAAUUUUCUAAUAAUAUUUAUGGAUAAAAGUGAAGAACCAAUCCCAUUGGUUCAAAUAAAUCAUAAAAAUGGGGAAGAAAUUUUACCAUAACGAUCGAUGAGCCUCCUAGGUUAGGGUCAAAGCCUCCUAGACUCUAGUAGCGUCCCACGCUAAGCGCUCGACUCACCUAUGGUGAGGACCGCUAAUAAAAACUAGCUAACAAUGAAUAAAACCGAUCGGUGCCUCCUAAGCUAUAGUAGCGUCCCACGCUAAGCGCUCAACUCACCUAUGGUGAAGACCGCUAAUAAAGGCUAGCUAGCAAUAAUAAAUAUAUAUCAACCCUUUUAUGGUGAAGUAAAAUGAUAAAAAGAUAAGGACAACACUUCCCCAAAAUAUAGUAAAUCAAUAGCGCUUAGUACAGUUCCCAGCUGUACUUAGAAAUAUAACAUAAUAAUCAUACAUGCAGUAAUAAUAUAAAUGACUCGACAUGUACCACAUGUCAAAUAAAAUUAGUAAGAGUUCCAGAAAGCAAAUGAAACUCAUUAAUCCAAAGAAUAUAAUAAAACUUCAAUAUGCCUUUGCAAUUAAGAAAACUUUAGCGCAUGCAUGAUGUUAAAAUCAAAAGUCCACUCACUGUGCUCGGCUAUGCCUGUCGAUGAUCCGAGGCUUCCUCCACACAAUCCUCCUCACGCCCUGAACAGUAGAUAAUAUUAAAUCUCAAGAUUAAAUUGAUAAUUUAAUAAAAAUACAAGAAUAAAAGUGAGCCUAUAAUUUCUUCACCCUUGCCCAACUUCACCAUACUUAAUACCUUAAGGCCCAAACUUCACCACAAGUAUCGACAGCCUUAAAAAAAAACUUUCUAAAGUUUAAUCCAUGCUAAUCCAACGACCGGAUUCUAUUCUAUCACCUGCCAAACUCACCAAUCUUUGAAAAAUUCCAAACCUAACCAAAAUUCCUCCAAAAAUUGUAAACUUCACACGGACUCCUCUCAACAUAACAAAUUUAAUAACAUGAAAAACUACCCAAAAGAGGCGGCGCCAUCAUCUCUACUCCUCCUGCAGCGGCGGCCGGCCAGCCCCGACUCUGGCCACCUCCAAUGCUCACCAAAAUUUGAUACAAUCUUCCUCUCAACACGCACAACAACUUUCUUAACUAACACAAAGUCCAAUUUCAAGCCUAACUAGGGUAAUCGAAGCCAAACAGUAAAAAUCCAAAUUUUAAACCCUAGAAUUUCAAAUGCUCGAUUCUCCUUACCUAGAUCGAGAUAGAUUGAAACCUUUUGAGGUUUUGUUGUACAGGAUGAGAGCUUCCAAACGAGACAAGCAACUUCGGCUAUGGUGGCCGGAAAAGGGAGUUCCGACGACGACUCCGCCAUGCACACCCGCACCUUCUUAGCGUGAUUCCUCCCUCACGGCGGCGCAACACAACCAGCCACCUACCUAGACUUGAAGAGGAUAUUCCAAGCUUCAAUUUGAUACCUAGCUCGCCACCUAACUAGGCCGGACGACGAUGAUGAAGUCCAGCGGAGGAGAGAGAGAGAGAGAGAGAGAGAGAGAGAGAGAGAGAGAGAGAGAGAGAGAGAGAGUGAAAUCUGAUUUUCUACCUUACCUCAAAUGGUAAGUUUCCAUUUUUAUACCCCCCGACCAAAAUAGUAACUUUACAUUUUACACAAUAACUUUUGCAUAAGAACUCCGAUUUUAACGUAUAGCAUGUCUACGGAUUUGUAUUAACGUCAUUUACGACUUCAUUAAAAAAAUGUCCUAAAAUAAUUUUUCUACAAAAAGUCAACUCUAGUGUCUUUUAACAAUAAACGGUUACUCAAAACGGUAAAAGGUCAAAAUAACACAAAAGUAAAUAACCGCAAAUUAACUUAAAAACUGAAAAUUAUUGCUAAAGAAGAUUCAUACAGACAAUAACAGUUCGGAUAUGAUGACGAAGUCUCUACGAAAAGAGAAGUUUGACUUCUGCAUAAGUGCGUCAGGAAUGACGCAUCCCUCCAAUUAAGUCGGGAAAGGGAGAUUGAAGGGUCAAAUUUCUCUCCUUAUUUGGAGGAGGAUGUCAUAUAGUUUACUACAUGUGUAAAACCUUUCGGUGAAGCCUCAAAACCCAUUCAAUUAACCAAGAGGUAAGAUGCUACAUGAAUAACAAAGUUGGUGGUGUGUAUAUGUUGAAAUGCAAGAGAGAGCCUAUAUGUAUAGGCUUGUGGAUAGCUGAAAUGUUUGACAAAAAGAAUACAGAUGCAUUGAUGGUGCAUACAAACAUUGAAGGUUGAAUUAAGGAAGAAGUUUGAAUUCUCUUCCUCGUGCAUGGACGUGAAGGAUUUGCAUGGGAAAUGCAUGAAGAAGUUUGCCUAUAUAAAGGCGUGAGCAAUGGUGCAAUUGAUAUACUGGUGAGUUCAUCUUGUGUUAUACAAGAGUGUGUGAGAUAGAGACAAAACUCCAAGUCGAGAGUUUUGUGUACAGCAAAACAAAGUGAUGAGAGUGUGAGCGUGUAUCCUUUCAACUGUAAGUCUUGAAGUAGUGUUUCUCUUGCUGUAACCUUUAUUCGUAUAAUGGAUUUUCUUUGUUGAUGUUGCCUCGUGGACGUAGGCACUUUGCCUUGCCGAACCAGGUUAAUUCUCGGUGUUCUUAUCAUUUUAUUUCCGCUACAUUUUACAUUUAUGGUUAUAAGUUUACAAUUUCAUUCUACAGUUUAUUCUUCCGCAAUAACCCAACAUGGUAACCUUGGUCAUUUGAAAGGAUCAAGGACACCAAAACUUGGAUGAUCCUUGAUAAUUCCAAGAAAACCAGGUGCGAAUGGAAUUGGCUCACUCUUCAUUGGGAUUGGGAUGAAACCAAGCAUAUUAUGAUCUCUCCACAUCACCAAUGCCUUCUUCUGUUGCUCCCUAUUCUCCCACUUCCCAGCAAACCGAAACUUCCAGUUACCUAUUCCUCCUGCUCCUGGCCCAAACUCCUCCAGAAACUUCUGCUUCCACGUACAGCUCAUCAUUAUUGGCUAGAUUUUGUAGUUCCUUUCACAGUUCUUUGCUUCACCAUUCUUAUUUCUUAAUUUGCUUCGCUAGCUAUUGAGUGUAUACGUUGUUGGUUUGGUACCAUCAAUCAACCAUUAUGUUUGGUCGUCAAUUGGGGCUGGAGUGUCGUGGCCCCCGGUGGUAAUUUCAAAUUUCCCCUUUAAUUAUAGUUUAAUUGCAUAUAAUUAUGUAUUCAGUUUAAGAAUUUGGUAUAUAUUAGCCCUUUCAAAAAUUUUGGCCCCUCCAUAAUUUUGUUUGAAGUUCCGCCACCGUCAUUGGUGUUAGGUUCCAAGCCUUAAUACCAACAACUGAACCCUAAAGACAGGUACCAUCUAUUGCAAAACCACCAUACGUUAUAUAUGUUAGCAAAAUGAAAACACACAUCAAAUUGCACAGUUUUGUUGUAAAACAAAAGGAAUAGAUUAAGAAAGAGAGAAACAACCAAGAGAAUGAGAGAAUAUGUGUAUAUUAUUGAGUAGGGAACCAUCUCUUAUAUAGAGAUGAGGUCAUGAUGUAAAUUAUAAUAACAACCCUAGUUGGCUAAUUAUAAGAAUGCCCACUAAAUAAUAACUAUUUACAACACUCCCCCUUGGGUAUUCUCUGUCAUUAGCUUCCCCUAAUAUGUGCUUCGGUGUUGCCUCGUCAAAACCUUGCCAGGUAAUAAAAACCCUAUGGGACAAAAACAAUCCUGGUCGAAGGAGAAACGAGUACAACGCACAAGUAGCAGUGAUAGUCAGAACCCUUGAUUUCGGUGAAGCGGUUUAGUCUGGAUCAUAAGAUGUGAGUCUAUGAGAGAUAGAUGCAUAAUAGUUGCUACACCAAAACCUUGCCCAGUAAACCCAGUGGGACAAACCCGUGGUCGAAGGGAAAAGAUGAGCAAAUGCAUAUAUUUCAAAUAAAGGCAUCUUCAAGAUGCACCAUGAGGAAGGUGACCAAUUACAUGUGUGCCUCAUUAAAACCUUGCCAGGUAACAAAACCCAGUGGGACAAAAUAACCCUAGACGAAGGACAAAAAGAGUACACAAUGGUCAAGAGUAUACUUCAGGAUACUCCCCCUAAUAUUGACUCCCCCUAAAAACUACACACUAGGUAAAACUACUACAUUGAUCAUGCUUCUUGAAUAACUUAAUAGUCAGCAUGAUUUAAAGAGGUUUUUGUUUCAUAUACCUCUAAGAUUAUUGUAUUCCCUAUAAUAAAGACAUAACCAGUUGGGAAUAAGCCUUGUGUGGGUUUACAUAACCCGUGUCAACAUAUUUAACAAGGCAAACAUCAUUCCAAGGAUCAUAGGCGGUUGAUCCAUUCCAUAAUGCCUAGGGAUAAAAUGAGUCAUUUUCCAUCAUACAUUUAAAGUAACGGAAAAUUGUCUUUUAUGCCAUUUACGGAGGCGACAUGUUGGCGCAGAGCUAUAUCUAGCUAACAAAUUCACAUUAGAUGAGAUGUCCGGUCAAGGCCAUUUAACCAAGUACAAUAAUGCGUCUAUUGUACUUAGAUAUGAGUCUUCUAGCCUUAAUAUCUCUUCAUUAUUAUCUGCAUGAUAAUACGAGUGUCUUUAGACCUUGGAUGACUAUAGGUGUGCUUAAAUACUUUGUUUUAUCCUCAUCAAAGUAUCUUAACAUCUUCUAGAUUUAAUUUGAUUGAUGGACCAAAAUUCCAUCUGCACUUUGCAUGACUUCAGGUCGACAAAAUAAUAUUUGGUCUCCUAAAGUCAUUCAUCUCAAACUCCGAUUUCAGGUGUUUUGCAGUUUCCUUAAUCUCUUCAAGAGUAUCAGUCAAAUUCAUGUCAUUGACAUAAAUUACCAUAAAUUACAAACCCGGAAUUUGUUUCCUUAAAACAAGCAUGGGCAUAGUCCAUUUGUUCAUAUAUCCCACCCCAAACAAAUAUUCACUUUAGACGGUUAUACCAACUCCGUCUGGAUUGUUUGAACCCCUAAAGUGAACUACUCUAGCAAAUGGAGAGCAUGUUCUGUGGUCUAGAACUAUUUGUAUUGGGUAACAGAAGUCCUUCAGGAAACUUCAUGUAUAUCUUUAUAUUCAGAUCCUCAUAGAGAUAAAUUGUUACCACAUUCAUAGACUGUUUAUUCAGUUAUUUGGAAACUACCAAACUGAUAAGGUAGUGGAACGUUAUGACGUCCAUUACGGGAAAGUACGUCUCCUCGUAAUCAAUCGCAGGGCAUUGAGAAAAUCCUUUCACCACUAAACGAGACUUAUAUCACAAUCUCGUUUUUCUCAUUACGUUUCCUUACAAAUACCCAUCUAAACAAUAUAGGUUUAACAUGGGUAGGUGUGGGAACAACAGGCCCAUAACACAUUUCUCUUAGUUAAUGAAUUUGAUUUGACCUGGAUUGUUUAUUUCCUUUUUAGCCAGUUGUCUCUUCGUUGAGAUCUGUCAACGAAGCAAGGUUCGACAUCAUCGCUUAUUAUAAAUUCGGUGGCCACCGCAAAUACAAACAUAUCAUCGAUGAACUUUCAUUCCGAUUCAAUAUCUCACAAAAUUUACCGAGAUUUUAUAUUCUCGGGAGUGGGUUUAAAUGUUGGAGCGUCUCCCAACAUCGUCUCUUCUAGGACAAACCCAUAAUCCAGAUUUAUCUCGUGAGUUGAAUUGGUUGAGAUUACGAUGGCAAGAAGAUUCAUUUGUGCCAAGUUUACCCUCUUCUAGGGAUAAGAAUCGUUUGAACCUAAUGGUUUACCUCGCUUCUGGGUAGGGACUAUGACUGGUUAGCCGCCAUGGCUGUACCUCGUCCAACUAGGACGAUACGUCCUACAGGGACAUUUAUCCUUGCAGGUUUGCAGCAGGUAUAUAUUAUCUCGUCACUUUAACUAGAAGUAAAAUUCUUCGCACUUCAAUUUCACAUGUGCGGUUUGGGGAUCAAGAUGAGACAUUCUACACGUCGUUCAUCAGGAACGCUCACAUUCUUAUCUCCCCCCAACGGCGGGAAGAUUGUCUCAUCAAAGUGACGACCACAAAUCUAGCGGUAUAGAGAUCUCCUGUCAAGGGCUCUAAAGAGCACAUAAUGGAUAGGGUUCAUAAUCGACAUAUAUGCCCAUCCUUUGUUGAGGACCCGAUUUUGUACGUUGUGGCGGCACAAUUGGCAUGGAGACUGCAAACCCAAAUGUGUGUAAGUGCAAAAACAUUAGGUUCACACCCAGUCACCAACUGUAACACGAAGUAAGACGGGUAGCAGGGGGCCUCAACUGGACCGACAUGGCUGCAUGCAAGAUUGCAUAGCCCGACGCAAACAAUAGAAGCUUGGUGCGCAUUACCAAAGUUCUAUAUGCGAGACCAUCUUAGGUUUGAACAUAGGAAACUAUAUGUUUUACAAAACCCAAGGGAUAUGCAAUAAUCAUCGAAAACCUUCGAUGUAAACUCUCCGGCAUUAUCAAGUCUUAUAGACUUUACGGGAUAAUCCGAGUGGUGUACCCUCUAUUUCAUAGGUGAGAGUUUAGCAAAGGCAUCAUUUUCUUGUGGACAAUAGUGUGACAUCUUAUCACUUAAUUUGUCGAUGCAUCAACCAAAACCAUUAAUAUUUAACUGGUCCGUAUGGUGGUUGGAUAGGUCCACAUAUUUUUCCUUGCAUUCUGUGCAUAAUUAAAGAGAUAAUGUAUAUUCUAGUCUUUGCAUGUGAUGGUCUAGUAUUCAACAUUCUUAACGAGCAGCUUGAUAUCAUGUGUCAUUAAAGACAAGACCCUUAUUUCUGAGGGGGAUGCCCGUGUGAUAAUUGAGUUUGAGGAUACGGUGUAUCAUAUGUUUUUCCUGGGUGCAUCAAACACCAAUACUAUAGCUAGUAUUUGCCCGAAUCAUUUAGCUUCUAGCUAAUAAAUUUGAAUAUAGUCAAUGUACGCUUUUGGCCGCACAUUCGAAGGUUACGCAAAGAUAUUACACCAUUUUUCUGGUGGUUUUAAUGUUUUAAGCAUUGAUUCAAUGAACUUACCUUUCGAUAACGUUCUUCUGAAACGUAAAGAUAUUUUGACCUCGUCAGCCAGACGAGAACGCUCAAUUCCUUAAUAUUGAUAACUCAUAUCAAUUUUAAUUUAGAUUCUAAAGCAACAAGCCCUUCCAUUUUAAUAUUCUUUUGCUUUAUGCAAGGAAGAUGUCUAGUUUAAAUUUUUUCUUCUGGAGACUACCAAUUAACAUGAUAAAGCUACCGAUUUUAUCAUGUCUGAUGAAUUUGGAAUGAAACUUCAAGUUUCUUAAGGGGAUUAUUAUCGAAACUAGAAGAUUGAUUUAUAAAUGAACUACGGGUUCAUGUCUGAACUACCGGUUCAUUUCUGAACUACUAGUUCAUUAGGUACAUGUAUUUUCAAGUUAUAAUCAUGUAACAAUUGAUGAUAUUAAUUCCACGCUACUAAUUUAGCAUAGUGAAUAUGUUACGUAACUAUGUGUAAAUGCUUCUGGCAAUUAACUACACAUUAAAUAUGAUGAAUAUAUUAACGUACAAUAGCCAUUAUGAGAAAAUAUUUGGAGAGUCCUAUAGACAUACAUAAUGACUAGGUACGAAAAUCCAGUGUCAUUAGAUUAUUUUCCUUUUGUUUGAUUCUGCUGGACCAAAGGAAUUGACUGAAAUUAAAGUGAAAUAAAUAAACCUAGCCUAUACAUACUUUACAAGCCUACGGGGCACAAUCUGAGAGGUAUGCUAGGCUUUUAGGUCCCAUAGAGGGAGAGUAGGCCUACUGGGCUAAUAAUGGUCUACCAAGAAAUGCAAUGUUAUUAAUCAACCCUUUCGGUAACUCCAAUUGUAUACGACCAGGUAAGCCAUGAUGAGGUGGUGGAGGGAGGCUCACUUAAGUACACAUCCUCAAAAGUACUUGCCUAGACAUCGCAUCCAACUGGGUGAGCUUAGUUUGAGAAGAGUUAUAAUCAUUGUCAUAGACUCAAGGCGACACAUGACGAGCUUAUGUUCUAGCCUUGGAGCUUAGGUCGAGCUUCUGGCUCAAUUUCAUAUAUAUUCAUGUUUGAUUUAAGCUUCUGACUUAACAUCAUUAAUAUUCACCAAUAUAACAUAAACCAAUGGAAUAUAUGUUAUUAAAUAGUAACAUACAAACUUAAUGUGAAAGUAAUUAUAUGAAACCGAAAUAAAUUAAAUUAUAACGGAAACAAUUUAAUUCUCAUCGACAUAAUGUAUAUGCAAUAAAAUUACUAAACCAAUAAAUGUCAAUAACGUAGCGGUUACUUGCAAAACUAACUCAUUUGCAUCUCCAAUUGCUUCUGGCAUUAAUGUGUCAUUACAUACUCAUAAUAAUUAUCGAUAUAAACGAUAACAUAAUUGAGAACUAAUUGAAUAAAACUGACGCGAUUUGAAUUUAGUAACCGACAAUUAAUAUAUGACAUAAAUUACUAAAUAAAUAUCAUUUAUGCAGCGGUUAAGUACCAAAGGCAAUGAGUUCAAAUCUCAUUAAUGUUUCUAGCAUUACACAUAAGUAUUAAAUUGGAUAAAUGCUUCUGGUAUGACAUUGAUGUAAUAAUCACGUAAUUAAACCUUAAUACUUCAAGCACAAUUUAUGGGGUUAUAAAUGUGUAAUUGCUUCUGGCAUUAUACCCUCAUAAAUGUCAAAUUGAAAUGAAUAUGAUUCUAAUUCGUAAUUGACAUUAAAUUAGGAUCCGACAUAAAGUCAAUAACAAAUAUCAUUUAUGUAGCGGUUAUGGGUUUAAAUCCCAUUAAUGCUUAUAACAUUAUGUAUUACUGUAUUAGUAAUAAAUGAGGUAAAUGCUACUGGCAUAACAUUUAUAUAAUAAUUAUGUAAUUAAACUCAAAAUUCAUGCUUCUUGCAUAAUGAAUUAUAAUGAAAAUUAUUCAAAUUGACGUAACUGAAUAUUAAAUUCAUAACGUUUGUAUCAUAAUGUGCACAAUAAUUUGGCCCAUAAUGCUUAUAGCAUAAUGUGGGUUGUAAAUUGGUAAAUUGGUAAAUGAUUCUGGCAUUACAUGUCCUUAAAUGACAUAUUGAAUUUGACACAAAUCAAAUUUGUAACAGACAAAAUAUACAUAUUAAGCUACAAUUAAGUAACAUAAUUAGCACUAAAAUGUCGUUAUGUCCUUAAAUGACAUAUUGAAUUUGACACAAAUCAAAUUUGUAACUGACAAAAUAUACAUAUUAAGCUACAAUUAAGUAACAUAAUUAGCACUGAAAUGUCGUUAUACCAUUGACGUAACAUUUACUAACGGAUUUUAUUUAAACCCCAUUAAGAGCAAUAUUAAUUCCUUCUUAUCACUAAAUGAUUCAGGCAUAAUGAAUAUGAAAUAUAUGUAACGUCUGCUAUCAUUGACCAAAUUAAUAGUAAAACCUUAAUGGUUACAAGCACUACUUCCGGAAUGCAUGCAUGAUCUUGAGUUUGGAUAUCAUGAAAAACUAUACUUUUUGCUGAUCCAUGUGCCUCCUUGUCUGCACUACUAGGUAGUUGCGAAGGUUGAUUUCGGUGGCUACUGGCCUCCGUAGUGAUUUCCUUUUUUGGUGCUAUAUUUCCUUUUCCAAUUCUCAUAACAUAAGAAAACUUAUAUGACAUUUCAUGUUCAUAUGUAUUAACCAAAUAGACUAAUACAAUAUAUUUGGCGCUCAUGCAUCGUAGACGGAUUUUUCAAUAUGCAAUCAAAGUUAAUAAGCAUGAAAUCAUAAAAUCGAAACAUAAACAACAUGUGGUUCAUGCUUCAGGAUGGUUUUUCAUGUAAUCAAGGUUUAAAAGAAACAUGAAUUAUAAUAGAGUUUAGAAAACUUUACUCGAUGCAAAGCGAAUCAAUGAGUGUUCAUCUUAUGUGUCAGAACCGAGAAUAUUGGUGGACUAAACUUCUAAUCCAAUCCGAGAGCUUGUUUGUGAUUGAAAUUUUGAACCAUGUUGAAUGAUUCUUCCAUCGAUUGAUCAACGGUCUCUCUUCCAUGCUGCAUAAAAACUACCUUAGCGUUAGAACUAUUCAUGCUGAUAACGUGUUGUAAAAUAAAAGGAAUAGAUUGAGAAAGGAGAGAAACAACCAUGAGAAUGAGAGAAUAUGUGUAUAUUAUUGAGUAGGGAACCAUCUCUUAUAUAGAGAUGAGGUCAUGAUGUAAAUUACAAUAACCCUAGUUGGCUAAUUACAAGAAUGCCCACUAAAUAAUAAUUAUUUACAACAAGUUUUAGUUUAUUACAGAACCACAUUUUCUUUGUGAAAGACUUUUUAACAAUAAGACAGCUCCUCAAUCAACAUCAGGUAGCGAUGAACCAGAGAUGCAAUGAACUCCUCAAUGUUCUUGUUAGUGCUUCCAUCUUCAUCCACAGCCUUUCUAGCCGAUUCUUUCAAUGCUAUAGCAUUUCUCUAUAUUUCUUUUCCCCUUUGUCCCUCCAAUAUUUCACUUACACAAUGCUCUACUUCUUCUUGCCUCACAAUCCCUUUCUCAUCAACUUGAGCUUUGAUCCCAAUUUUCCACACAUCCAUAAUGUACGUACUCAUUGGCAUUGGUGCUUUGGUCAAUCCAUCGAGGCAUUGCAACCAUUGGAACCCCCAAACUCAAAGCCUCCAAUGUGGAGUUCCAACCGCAAUGUGUAAUGAAGCAACCAACUGCUUCAUGAGCUAAAACCUCCAAUUGGGGACACCAGGAAACCACCAAACCCUUUGCAGAUGUCUCCUCGACAAACCCUUUCGACACCUUCCUUGCUUCUGAUUCUCUAAUCACCCACAAGAAUUUUCAAAGAUGCAUAUGGUCUAGGCAACAUUGAUCAUUAGCUUAUGAAACUCCAAAUCAUAUUUGUAGCCAAAAAGUGACUGAGAUAAGGGAAAUAAUUCCUAUAUACUUACUUGCUCUUCCAACUCAUAAAAUGUAUUGCAGAGGACCCAAUCAGCCUUGUCAACAUUGCAGAACUGAUCCACAACAACCAUUUUAUAGGCGGCCAGGUAAGACCCGAAAUCAGAUAGAAAGGAUGGCAGGUCUGAGGGCUUAAGUGUCAGCAACCCGGAAGCGAUAUUUCAGACUCAACAACAGGCAGUUUCAGCGAUCCAUUCUUCACAUGGUAGUAGAUGGUGUUUACAGCACAAGACUAUGUGAAGAAGAUAGCCCCAAGAAUACCAAAUUUCUUAGCAAUAUCCAGAGGCCAAGACAAGAAUGCAUCAUGAACAAUACAAUCAACUGGUAAGCCUGAGCUUGAAAGCUUCUCAAGAAGCUCAGCCAAAGUUUGUGACCCUGAUUUCCUCAAGCUCUCCAAAUAGACAUCUAUGCUUCCUUCUUCUACUCUCCCACCUUGAUCAUAACCAUUAGAGAUCGUCUCCAAUGGAACAUGACUUGACCCUGACCUGUGCAUUGUCUUGCAUAAAAAGCGAGUGGUAACUAGUGUCACUUUGACUCAUUUAUGCUCUAAGAGCUUAGAGAAUUGGAGCAUGGGAUUGAUAUGGCCUUGGUCAGGAUAGGGUAAGACCAAGCAGUGAGCUUUGUAGGCUCUUUGUUGACCCUUCUCCAUUUCUCUAUCUAUGUCUUGCAUAGGCAAGCCACAACAAUGGCAGUUUAUAUACUGAUGAACAAUGAAUAUGAUGAAUACACAACUACUCAACCAAAUGAUGAAACUCAAUACGUCUCUUAGUCAUUUGGACAUGAAUUUCCAGAGAUGAAUGUUUUUAUAUUUAGGGAAGGUGGAAUAUGAGGGUAAUCUAAAAAGAACACUAGUGUAGAACCCAAAUGCAAGUGUUCAACCACAAGAGUUGGAAAUCCAUAAUAAAAAAAGAAAACUACAAAGGGACCCUGAGGUUUUGUUUACUACAUAAAAUUAACAUAGAAUGAAAAUUGAACGGGCCAUUUUAGUUCGUAAUUCAAAAACAUUAGUCAGGGUAAACAACACAGAAUCAAUUUUCUUAUCAAUUCUGAAGCCCCCUAAAUCAUGACAAUAAAAAUAUCAGUUAUCACAAUCAACUAUUAAACUUUUAUAAAGGAUUCACUGAUGUAUAGUAAACUAGUGCAACUAAUUAAGGCAAAAUAAUACGAAGGGUAUACUAGCAUUAGGCAUUCAGGCAGGCAUCAUUUUCAUAAGAAACUGGUUUUUUCCCAAGUCAUGUUACAAAGCAAGCAAGUGCAGAUACCCCAUCAAUAUUACUAGUGUGUAAUGAAGCACCCAACAGCCUCAUGAGCCAAAACCUCUAGUUGGGAGCACCAUGAAAAUUGAAUCAAGAUGAACUGCACAAUCAGGAUUCAGGAACCAAGAUGAAGUGUACUGUCAUCCGACGAAAGCGUAAUGGUCAAAAUGCUAUAAUAAUUUCUCAAUAAUGUGAAGUUGCAGGCCAAGUCUCUAUAAGUCUCUAUACGUCUCUUUGUUGCAUUAUGACUAAAAACAAUGUUUGGGACAACUACUUACUGACCCUUGGUGGUGCUUAAACAUAGAAUAACACUCUCUAAGUGUUGAAUAUGAAACAAAAGAAAUAAGUGAAUGUUCUCAAUGAUUGACCACAGUACCAGUACCCCAGUUAAUUUUUGGGUCUCACUUCUCCUCUUUCAUCGCUGAACACAUUAAAAUCUGAAACAGAAUUAAGUAAACUAAUUUGCAUCAAGAAAAGAAUCAAUCUUCAAAAGCAAAGAAAAUAAAAGGUUAAAUUAUGGGAGGGAAAAGCCAACGCCACAAUAUUGAUCUCUUAAUUGUAAGUAGUGGCAUCAGAACGAGCUGCGUAAAUUUGCAUUUUAUUUUUCAUCACAAGAACAAUUCUUAUUCUCAAAAUAGACAAUUCAAGGAUUCAGAGGACUUGUAACAGAACUACAUAGGAAAGGCACUAACUGAAGCCAAACUAAUGGAAUCAUCAGUGUAAAGGCGUGCAAUAGUACAAUAGAGAUCGAGGUACCAAAGAAGUUGCAGAGUUUCAGUGAACUUGACACUUGAGCAACUCUUAAUGCUUAACCAACGUCGCAAUGAACUCAUCAAUGUUUCUGUUGGAACUUCCACCGUCAACCACUGCCUUUCGAGCCAAAUCUUUCCAUUUCAUGGCAUUCUUUUGUAUUUCUUUUCCGUUGUCCCCCUCCAUGAUUUCAUUAAUACAACGCUCAACUUCUUCUCGCCUUACAAUGCCUUUCUCAUCAGGUUGAGCUUUAACCCCUAUUUCCCAAACAUCCUUAAUGUACUUGGCAUUGGUGCUUUGGUCAGAAUAUUGUGGCAUUGCCACUAAUGGAACUCCUAAACUCAGAGACUCCAAAGUUGAGUUCCAACCACAAUGUGUAAUGAAGCACCCAACAGCCUCAUGAGCCAAAACCUCUAUUUGGGAGCACCAUGAAACCACCAAACCCUUCUCAGCUAUCUCCUUGAUGAACCCUUCGGGGACUUUAGCUGCUUCUGAUUCUCUAACCACCCACAAGAAUUUGCUUUUGCUCCUUUUCAAACCCCACGCCAGUUCCUCCAUUUGCUCAAGUCCAAGUUGUGCAGCACUGCCGAAUGAGAUGUAAGCAACAGAGUUCUUCGGAUGUUUGUUUAACCAUUUCAUGCAUGCAUCAUUGCUGGAUUUAAAGAGGUCAACGCCAUAACCUUUGUCGUCUUUAAGUCGGUUAUCCAAGUAGUUAGAUGGUAUAGUUGGUCCAAUGGUCCUCACUGGCCAAAACUUUGCCAACCAAUCCACCACCUACACAGAGCAAAAACAAGGAAGCAAGAUAAUUGACAUCAGUAAGUUUAGUUUUGUGGUUAUAUAGCAACUGGUUUUGGAACUUAGAUUCAUAUAAACACCAUGAUAAAAAAAUUGAGAUCUCAAAGCACCAAGAAGAAUAUAUAAGCAAAUGAGACAGAUGUAACAGACCAUGGUUGUAUACUUGUGUGUAUGUGUGUGUAGCAGUCUCUAAUGUACUCACUUGUUCUUCCAACUCAUAAAAUGUGUUGCAGAGGACCCAAUCGGCUUUGUCAACAUUGCAGAACUGACCGACAACAACUUCAAAGUAAGCUGGAUAAGACCCGAAAUCGGAUAGAAAAGAUGGCAGGUCCAAAGGCUCAAGUGGUAGCAUCCCGGGAAGAGAAAUUUCUGAGUCAGUAAGAGGAAGUUUCAGUACCCCUUUGUUGACAUGAUUGUAAAUGUUGUCAACAGCACAAGACUGAGUAAAGAAAACAGCCCCAACUAUUCCAAACUUCUUGGCAAUGUCCAAAGGCCAAGGCAUGAUUGCAUCAUAAACAAGACAGUCAACUGGGCACCCUGAGCCAGAUAGCUUCUCAAUGAGCUCAAACAAAUUCUGCGACCCCACUUUCCAAAAGCUCUCCAAAUAGGCCUGGAUACUUACACCCUGCGUUUUCCAGCCUUCGUCGAAACCAUCAGAGAUGGCCUCCAGUGAGAUAGUCUCAAGUGCAGUGCAACAUGAUCCUUUGUACAUUGUAUUGUAGAUAAAACGAGUAGUGACCAGUGUGACUUUGACUCCUUUGUGAUCUAAAAGCUUAGAAAAUUGCAGGAGAGGGUUGAUAUGGCCUUGACUAGGAUAGGGAAAGACCAAGCAGUGAGCUUUGUAGUCUCUCUGUUCUUUCUCCAUUUCUCUGGUUUGUUGUGUAUCUGUGUUGUUUGGAAAGAACUUCAGCUGCAAGGUAAUAUAUACUGCUGAAGUAUGAAGAUGAAGUGCACAAUCAGUCCACGAAACUAGUGGUCAGAUAAGUCUUGUACACCAAGUUCUAUCUAUACGUCUCUUUAGAAGCAAGGUAAUAUAUUCUGCCGGAAGUAACGUUAUAUCAUUGUUUUAGAAGUUGGUAAAAAUACGUGCAAAGGUUUAUGAUUGACAUCGAUUGACCAGUAGUUGGAAGAAUGCUGAUCUAUAGACUGUUGAAAGCUUAUCUAUGAUUAUGGCGACCUAAGAUUAGGUACAGAUAGCCAAUAAUUCAGUAUAAUAAAUUUUAUAGCUCAUUUGGGGAAGUCAGAAUGUCAAGUACAAUUUGGCUUUUGCAUCAGUGCCGCGUGAGUGCACUAUAACUUGAAUGGAAAUCCUAAAAAGUUCAGUGUAUAGAUGAUCACCCUCUGCAGAUUAACAUGGACACCCUGAGGCGUGUCAUUUGGAACCAUUUACUUUUAUGUCCCAGAAUACUCUAGAAGAGGGGAAGAAUGUUUAAACCCACACAACAUCAAAUAUGGUUCUGAGUGUGCUCCUAUUCCCUCCUGUCAAACUAUAUAACCUGAUGGUUCUGGGGUUUCAAGAAUGUAAAUAGGGGAUUCAAUGGCUGGGAAGAAAAUAACAGGGUUGCGAGGAAGGCAAGAACUGGAGUUUAUUAAGUUGGACGAUGUAUAAUAUUGUACUUGGUAGAAUUUCUUGAUAAACUAAAAUUUGCUUUUAGUGUUCUACAAUCCACAUGCAAAUGAUUGGUAUCCGAUCAGCCAAAUCAACUUGAACCAUAUUAGUCGGUGAGCUGUGGCUUAGUUAGUUAAAGUUAAUUAAAGUGUUUAACUGACAAAUUUGAGGUCACUGGUUCAAACAUAUGUAGGGUGUGUGAGUUAUUAAUAAAAUAUUUAUAAAAAAAAAAAUUUGAACCAUAUUAUGCUGGCAGAAUAGAUAUCAUUGAUAAAUUAAAGCUAGGAGACAUUUGUUGUUACCGAAAGUAACUCUGCUCAUAAUAGUGUAUUAUCUAUGAAAAAUAUUAAAGAUAAUAUGCUGAAUGAAGAAACUAGAAAGAGUUCUUCGUCAAGUUCAGAAAAUGGGCAAUUCUUCAUUGCAGAGAAUAGAGGAAGGAGCAAGAGCAGAGGACCGAGAGGCCAUGGAAGAAGUAUGAGCAAAUCCAAAACAAGGUUUAACGAAAAAUGUCAUCAUUGUGGUCUUCCACAUUACUACAAAAACGUUAUCAGACAACACUCAUCAUACAACCUUUUAAGGUUCCCUACUUGUUUGAUGAAGUGAACUGUUACAUACAACGCAAAGUUACAAAGUUUUGUUGUUUGAUGACACAAAAUUGUCAGGUUAUAUUUCAAGAGUUCAAAACACAACAAUGAUGCUAAUUUUAUGUUGUAUGAUUUAUGAAAAUUUUGGCUGAAGGAUUCCCCCCAUCACCAAAUUGAAAGUCGUGCAAGAUGCAAAAUGUUUGGACAAUAGACUUUUAUUUCUUUGUUGUAUGAUGUUGUUACAAUUUAUACUAGGCAAUACCUAGUGCAAGUUUAGAAAAUAUAUACAACAAUUUAAAACGUUCUGUUGUGUGACUGGAAAAUCUGAUGGCAUGCCAAAGUCGUUUUGGCUCCAAAGUUUGCCUCCAUCGAUUUGGUGUGCUAUGCCAAAAUAGUUUUGGCUCCAAAGUUUCCCUCCGAGUAUAUAUUCUGUUGUGUGAAAAAGUAUGACAAAUUCAAUAAGGUACCCACCAACCCUAAACGCUAGUCUCACACUCUCACUCCACUACCACAAAAACAGCUUUAAACAACGCCUAUCAAACGACGUAUAACAAUAAACCGUCGUGUGACUAAUUUUUAACUUUUUAGAUGUCAGUUUUUGAAUAAAUCAUCGUGUGAAUGUGUAAAAAUUUGAGCCCAGAUUGCAAGGUAACCAACAUGUAAGAAUGAUACGACGUUUUGUAAUAAAAAUGUGGUGUGAGUGUAUGUUUUUGCAGCAAAACCAUGUCAGCCAAUAUUUCCCUCCAACUUUCUCCCCAAAUUUAGCCCCAAACUUAGAGAGGGAACAUGAAUUUUGAUGGAGGCAAUGCCAAAACUUAAAAUUUCAGGCAUCAGACCAUAUUUAUAGGUUUUACGUGGUGUGAUUUAGUGUCGAAAUGAAUGCCAACUUCAAUCUGCCCAUACCUUCCCCUUUACAUUUUAGCCCAAAAUUAAAUUCUCCCCCCAACACUUAAACAAAAACAAAAAAGUUAAAAGCUAAAACCUCGACAAACACACUCACAAAACCAAAAAACAAACACUCACAGCACCAGAAACCUCGACAGCUCUCGACAGCUCUUGAGCAAAAACCCAAAAUAUUCGCAAAAACCCAAAAUAUUCACAUCUUCGUCUGCCUCGUCUAUCUCUUUACCGAAAACCUCAACCCACAUCUCUCUCGACCCCCAUCUCUCUCAGCCUCGUCUACCUCAACGGAGACGACGAGGAAGCUGUCGGCGCUGCCUGACCUAGCCCUAGCUUCUCUCUAGAUUCGUCUCUAGCCUGGUAAGCUCUAUCCCUUACAUCUCUCAUAAAUCGAUUUCGAUGAAUUCAAGGUUUCAAUUUUGAUGCAGGUGACUUGGACAGUUGGAUUGAGACAACUACAAUACCAUUUGGAGCUUUGAUUUUCUGACGAUUAUUUCUCUUAUGGUAAUUGUUGGAAUCAAAAUUGCUGGGUUUUGGGUUUUGGGAUUUAGGAUUUGGGAAUUCGGUUUUGGGUAUUUGAGUUUUAGGAUUUCACUAGAUCUGUUGCUGGGUUUUGGGUAAUAAGGCUUUUAGGUUUUGUGCUAUAAGGAUUGUAGUUCUUUUCUGGGUUACUGCUUUGAUGAGUAGUUGUUCUUCAUGAUUGUUGCUUUUAUUAAUUGUUCUCAAUAUGAUUACUCUCACCUUUAUGCAGAAAUGACAGAGUUUUUCUUUGUGGACAUGACCACAUUUGUAGAUGACUACUUCACAAAUCCAAAAGAGCAUGUCUAUGACUGGAGAGGCGUCAUUCCUUGAGAGGAUUACCUCUCAAAACUCUUCAAGGUAUGCAACCACAAUUAAUACAUUAUUAAAAGGAUUAUUGUUUUCUUUUAAAUAUCCAACCUAAUACAUUGUUGUUUCUUAAAUGGGAUAUAUAUGAUGCAUAUAUGAAAUUUAGUGAUCUGUUUAAAUGUUGUUUAGGAGAUGGAAGGAAAACAAAUGAGCAAAAAAUGGAAUAUAUUUGUUUGAAUUUAGCAGUUUAGUAUGGGUAAUGGGACUAUGUUCUAUAGUUUUAUGGAUGUUUAGUGGGUUAAUUUAGUGGAAUUGAGUCUCUUAAACUGUUUUCUCUACUAUAAUAUAGUGGAAGCUGGUUAUNNNNNNNNNNNNNNNNNNNNUUAUAUAUAUAUAUAUAUAUAUAUAUCAUGUAGUAUGUCAGCUUUAUUGGAUGAUCUAGGUUGUUAUCUAGAAUCUUCACCAUUAUUCCUUAUUCUUGGUAGUUGAUAGCAAUACAGCAAAGGGGAAUUUUCUGAUUUGAAGGGGAGUUUUCUAUAUCUGAUUUGUUUGUUGGUAUGUGAUAUUGCCUUCGAUCUAUCAGCUAUUCCCUAACUUCUUUUUUGUGGUUUGUCUUGCCAUUCCGGAUUACAGUGAGUAGGAGUUUUAGAAGUAUGGUCAUUAGCAGCUUCAAGUGAUGGAUCGUCUGUACAAUUUCUGCAAUGCUGAGGUAGCCUUAACCUCUAUGCCAUUUAUCUACUUGUCCAAGUUAAUUGCUAAAUAAAGUGGAACCUUGGUAGUGUUGUAGAGCAUUAGGCUUCUCAGAUAACUAAUAAUGCGAAUUUCCUACUGCCCUAUCAUUUGCUAUCUACCUUUCUCUUAAGUUUGUGGAUUUUUGUUUUCAUUGCCAAUAUUGUUUAUUUUCUGGUGUCUUUAUGCAUUAUAUGCAGCUUUUAUGCUGAACCAUUUCUCCAUGCUUGAAAAACUAUGUGGUAAUCUAUUUCUCUUACACUCUUAGAUAUUAGUACAUGUCAUUUGCUAUGUUUGAUGUCAUUUGUAGCCUUAGUGUUUACUUUAUGCAGUUGGUUUUGAUUUGAUGCAAGUAUGUUGGGCAUUGUUGAACAAAACGUCUCCUACCAUUUUGUCUAAUAUAAGUUCUCUUUCUUGAUUAUUGAAACAGACAAUGGAGCUAUAAAGAACAACUAAUGAAUUGAUAUUCCUAGCCUACUCAAACAUGUCAAAGAACAAAAAGAUGCUAAGGGCUAAAGAGAUGACAUCAAAAGGACUGCGUAUAGUUUCUAAGGCAAUUUUAGAUGAAAGAGAUUUAGUUUUGAUGCUUGGAAUGAACAAAUGCACAAAUUUUUGACUUGGAAAGAUCGGUUACAAAUAGCAAUAGAUGCUGCACAAGGUCAGCAAGUAAUUGAUCAUCGUUGUCCUUUACUUGCACUCAUUUUUCUUCUCUUUUGUUUUCUUUUGUUUAUGGACUUUGUUGAUAAAUGAUGUCUCAAUUGUAUAUGGAAUUUUGUAGGACUGGAAUAUUUGCACUAUGGUUGCAAGCCGCCCAUAAUCCACAGGGAUGUCAAGUUGACAAAUAUCCUGCUGAAUGAAUAUCUUCAAGCUAAACUAUCAGAUUUUGGCCUAUCCAAGAGUUUUCCAACUAAUGAUGGCAGUCAUGUAUCAACUCUUGUUGUUGGCACUCCAGGGUACCUUGAUCCUGAGUAAGCGUUUUUUGUUUAUAUCUUAUCCAUUAUAUUUAUCAUUACAGUUAUUGAAACAUUACAGGAACACAUAUUAAUUAAUCAACUAGAAAAAGAUGAGUAAUGAAGUUAUGAAGAAGAAUGAGGGACUUAAAAAGUCAAAAUAGAUAGUUUGGCAAAUAUUGUACUGGCCGUCUUGAUAUCCAAUCCCUUGUAUGUGAAAUUUUUGGAUAGAUUGCUGGAAUUAUAGUCUGACAUGGUAUGCAAGCCUUAGUUGAAGACGGUUCUGCAUUUGAAACUUGGAAUCCUUAGUUAUUUGUUGGCUUGAAGGUAGACCAGGGGCUGUACCUAGUAUAUCCUUGUGCAUGCAUUUUUAUGAUUAAGCAGUGAUUGUGGAACUAAAGGAGUCUUUGGCAGCAAAACUGGCUCGAACUAAGCAGAGCCAUGAAACUGAAUCAAUAAGAGUUUCGAUGGAGAUCAUGGCUAACAAUUCCAUUGCUAUGCUAACUCCCUCAAUUAGGUAGCAUGUAUCUUGCAAUACCAGAGGUUUGCACUGAUGCUUCUGUGGAUGUUAUAUGCACUUAUUUAGAGACUAAAUUUUUAGUCUAUCUAUAUAUGCCAUUGCAUUUGUAUUUGAAGACCUGGAUUUUGUUUAUUAAUCAAAAUGUAAACUUCUAGUUGGCAUUGUUGAACAGUAUCAAGCAUGACCGUUAAACAAGCAUUUGGCAAAGCUUAUUUAGUUGGUAAAGGCAGUUGCUCAUUGUGUGGCAUUGCUGACUAUGAAGUUGGAGGAUCAAGAUUUUUGGGGAAGGCAAUUACUCCUCAGCAAGAACAACCAGCUGAAUAGAAAAACAACUGAUGAAGUAUUGCUAAAGAGUUAAGACAGUGUAGUUGCAAGAACACAAGAAACCUUCAGUUAUACUUGUGAGGAGAAUAAUUAGAUAAAAGAGAUGUAUGGAAUGAGAUCAAAUGAUCUCCAAAUUCAUGUAUGAGUAUUUGAGAGAUGUUACUUGUAUGAUAUAUUUUACAGGCCAUCAACUUGAAUUCAUAUAAUGAGAUUGAAAUUAAUGUGUGCACUGAAUAUUUUUAUUGAAAUUAUUUUUUAUAAAUAUAAAACUGGAUUAUAGCAAAAGAAAUAAUAAUAUAUAUAAUUGGAAAGAAAUUAAACCAAAAAGUUCCAUUAAAACUGACUUCUGAGUCUAUAUCAGAUAACAGUUUUAACAAUAAACGUUGUAUGACUACCAAUUACACAACUGUUACACAGAAUAACCGUGGAGUGAGUGUAUGUCACACGACAAAUAAUAUGUCGAUAUGCUGUCGACAUAUGUCGACAUCCCAUGGCUGUCGAUAGAUGUCGACAGCAAUCAGAUGACGUUUUUACAAAGUAUCAGACGGCACGCAAAAGACAACGGUAACUUGGACAAUCAGACGACGUUUUUUUGCCGUGGUCUGAUGCUAUUUUUGUAGUAGUGCUCUCUCACAUUCAUAUCGCUGUCUCUCUCUCCCUCGCAUUCAUUCACCCUAAACCCACCAAACAGAUUGACUCUCAACUCUCACUCUCAAACAGAUCGAGACUCUCGCCCUCUCUCUCAACUUUGUUGCUCUCUCACUCUUCUCUCAAAUCGAUUGAAUCUCUCAAAUGAUUCAAUCUCUCUUCUCUCUUUUAUAGCUGUGCACGGCGAGGUGAGGCCGGUCCAGAUCUCUAGUUCCGAUCAGAGCCGCCAUGGCUCCACCCUAGCUCCACCGCUCUCAGUAUUUGAUAGGUAACCCCCGUCUUCCUUUUCUUGGUCGAAGCCUCUGUACUGAACUGAAUUAUCAGCUGUUUUGGUAACUAAGAGGUGUGGAGUACUGUGUCUUCGUCGAUUUUGGGCAUAUGCAUGAGAUUUGGGGAUCUACAACAACAAGUUUUGGAGAGGAAGAGAGCUGCUGAUUUGGUCAUGUAGGGAAUUAAUCAUGGUAAGGCUUAGAGCAUGUUCGAUUUUGAUUCCAGUUAGGGUUAGAGAUUGGCUACUAAUACUUUGGUGCCUUAGGUGUUGAAAUGGUUGUUGUGGGGAAUGGCAGUAAAGAGGAAUUGAAGUUUGGGUUGGAACAGAAUUGAUUUCCCUUGUAAAAUGCAGCUCAUACAUGUCCAGGACUUGAGACCAAAAUGACAUGUCCAGGACUUCCGAAGACCAGGUUAGAUGAUUCAUAUGUACAUGUUGGUAUUGGUAUCAAUUCCAACUUCCAAGUAUCAGAAGAUUUACUUCAAUAAGUUGUUAUCAUUACUCUACCUGUUCUCUAUGAACUAAUUUUUAUAUAUGUCAUCCCAGGUUGGAGCUUUUGGUUACCGCAUGUUUGAGUUGGAAAAACGAGGUAAAAAAGUUUUUACUUUCAACCUCAAAUUGAGUGCCAUUAAAUCUCAUAUAUAUAUAUGAAUCCCUGAUUGUAUGAAACACUUGGUUCCUUGAAAAGCAUUUAAAAAGAUUUCUGUAAAAUAGUAAUGGUGAUGCAGGGCAGAAUUUGUUCUAGUUGGCUUUUCAUAUAUACAAAGUUGAUUGUUUGCGGUUAGACUUGUGAGGAUUGAUAUAACAAUGAGCUACCAAUUUGUAUGUUAUGCACUUAAUUAUGUGGAUAUUUAUUAGCAUAUAUUAUGUGUUGUAUGUUAUAGGUUAAUUUUGUACAAGCAAAAUCACUUCAUUCUUUGCAGUCAGUUUUGUGAGGAUCAACUUGACAAUUAACUAUUUUAGAUCAGUGAGGAGACUCGAUUUCAUUUCAUAGGUAGUGUAAUCCUAAAACUUGCUGAGCAUACUAAACUGGAAUUUGUUCACCAAUGCAUUAUGGUCCACCAAGUCCCAAGACUCCUUUCAUGGAGCCAUAGGAUAUACUUGAAGAUGCAUUUAAAUGGUUAAAUCGGUUCUCUUAAUAUUGUAGAGAUGCCAUGCACUAUUGAUAUUUGAUUCACAAUUACAGCUCUUUAGUGGUUCUAUUUUCACUACCAGGACAAGCACUUUAGCCGACGAAAAAUUUUCAUCGGCCUGUUAGCUUAAUUCGUCGGCUAAGAUUUCGUCGGGAAAAGGUCGUCUGUGAUGACUUUAGCCGACGAAAAAAAAAAUUUCGUCGGCUAUAGUCCUGCAGUUUAGCCGACGAAAAACAUGUCGUCGGUUUUUUUCCCAGACUUUAGCCGACGAAACAAUUAAGAUAUUCGUCGGCUAAAGUCUGUAAUAAAAAUUUUUUUCCCAGACUAUAGCCGACGAAAUAUAGUAUGUUUCGUCGGCUAAACCUUAUAAAAAAAUUUUAAAAAAUAACCAUAGCCGACGAAAUAUGGUCUGUUUCGUCGGCUAAACCUUAUAAAAAAUUUAAAAAAUAACUAUAGCCGACGAAAUAUAGUCUGUUUCGUCGGCUAAACCUUAUAAAAAAAUUUUAAAAAUAACUAUAGCCGACGAAAUAUGCCAUAAUUCGUCGGCUAAACCUUAUAAAAAAAUUUAAAAAUACUAUAGCCGACGAAUAAAUCUUUAAAUAUCGUCGGCCAAACCUUUAAAUAUCGUCGGCUAAAGUUGCUGGUUUUUGAAAAGAAAAACUGCAGAAACUUUCGGCCACCUCCAAUUACCACCAAAAUUUGAUAGAAUCUUCUUCUCAACAUUUCGAACAACUUUCUAGAAGAAGUCGAAUCCCAAUUCUAAGCCUAAACAGGUCAAUUGAAUCAAAAUAUAAAAAUCCCCAAUUUUAAACCCUAAAAACUUCAAAUCUUCGAUUCUCCUCACACAAACCGAAUCGAGCUACCAAAUUCUAGGGGAAUGUAGUACUAAUCAAACUCAACUUAUCCAUAUAUAGAACUCACCAAAUGGUGACCUGAGGAAGGAGAAAUUCGAUCGACACCGAAUCCGAACCGGCGGAGUUUUGGAGCUCGAUUUAUCUCUCACGGCGGCGCCACUAGAUGCACCACCUAUCCAGCAAUGAAGUAGAGACGACGGCGAAGCUUUUGGGACAAGUGUGGCGGUCUCCGGUGACUUGACGGCGGUGCUAGGCUGAGAAGAAAAUCUGGCAGGCGAAAUAGACUUCUUACCAUCCACCUUCGGUAAUAUAAAGAACUUUAGCCGACAAAAUUCUUUAUUUUCGUCGGCUAAACUCUUUUGAAAAUUUUGAAAAUUUUGGUUGACCGCCAAAAAAUUUUGGUUGAAAAUUUUGAAAAUUUUUCGACUUUAGCCGACGACUUUUCAUAUAUUUUCGUCAGCUAAAGUCCUUUGAAAAUUUUCCUCCAAAUUUGGUUUACCGCCCAAAAAUUUUUGACCUUAACCGACGACUUUUUUAAUAUCUCGUUGGCUAAAGUCUAUAAAUUCACGAAAACGCUCAUAUCUCCCUCUAUAUUACGUAGUUUGGUCAAAUCUUCCACACGAAAAACUUUCACGUAGAUGAGACGCAACCGCCUAUAUAAAAAUUUUGAGACAUUUGCCUUUCGACGAUAGGGCUCCCCAUAGGGAAUAAUAACGGUAAAUAGGGUAGACACGUGAUUCCGAUGACUAAAAUUUACAAACCAAAAUUCGACCGUCCGAUAUGAUCAUUAUGACGAAAGAUGUCUAUGGUAAAAAAUUCAACUGGAUUCGACAACGUUAAGGGCUCGAUCGAAACGGUCAACUCUAAUCGGAAAUAAGAAAACUGCAUUUUGAAGCCCUAAACGGACUCGGAUGGCCAAAAAGGCCCAUACAUCAUGGCAUUAGCCAUGAGUUUGACUCGUAGGGCCGUUACGCUUUCGGAAAGGUAUCACAAUAGUCAAUUGGACACCAAAAACCAAAUCUGCAGCAUAGUAAAUAAUAAGGGUAAAUUGCAUUGACCGCAACUAUCGGCACCAAGACUUUACCAGAAUACCGUGAUUUUUCAACUGUAGACGUAUUUCACCAUUCUGGUAAUAUCUUAUUUCACUACUUUUUUGCGUUUGAAGGUUCUACGUAUAGUUUUUUUUUCCCAGAUGAGUUGUUGUCCAGAUCUGCAAAUAUAAGGCACUUUAGCCGACGAAAUUAUAUUUUUCGUCGGCUAAACUUUUAAAAAUUUCGUCGGCUAAAGUUCACAGACUAUAGCCAACGAAAAAAAUUAUUCAGACGACGAAAUUUUAAUUUCGUCGGCUAAAGUUGACCAUAGCCGACUAAAAUUUUUAAUUAGCCGACGAAAAAAUAAUUCGUCGGCCUGGUUUUUUUAUUUUCAUCGGCUAAAGUCUUUCUUCUGGUAGUGUUUAUAAGUUUAGCUGCCUUUAGGGGUGCCAUGGCAUGUAAGUCUUCAGUCUAGGUUGUAUUCGAGACGGGCAGUAACUUUAAGGGAGUCCAAUGUCCAAAGAUAUGUUAAAUCAGUUCUCUUAAUUGUGCAUUUUCAAUGGUGGUUGUUGUUUGAUUACAUUUUGAGAUUUUGAUAAGUGUUUUGUUCUAUUUCAAUAAUUAUGAUUGUGGAAAUAAAAUUGAUUGUGAUUCUUGGGGAGGAGUUAGAGGAUUGAGUAACAGGUGCUUCAAUGAGUGUGUACAAUAGUUGGUGUUGUGUAGGAUGAAAUGAGGGCUGUGUAUUGAUUAAGAUGAAGGGAGUUACUGGAGUUUACUGAAGUAGAGUGAUUACCAAAAGAGUCCUUAAGAACUUGUGUCAGCUUGCUGUUCUCGUCAUUAGUAAAGAACCAAAAAAGAAUUCAGUUAUUAGUUCGUAUUGCUGCAGCCUCAUUGUUGCCCUGUGUAUUGAUUAAGAAUUCAGUUAUGUAGCUAAAUGUCUCCUAGUUAUCAAUGUGCGGUAGCUUUAUUUAGACCAUGUUUUGCUGGAAUCUUGUUUACUGGCUGUCCUUUUAUGUUGUUCUCUUGAUUGCUCUUAUGGUAUCAUGUGUGAUCAUGUUAGUCUCUUAUAUUAUACCUUUAUGACUCCUCUUUGAGUUCGUUCUUCUUAUUUUCUCCUCCAUCCAAUAACCAUAGAAAUCUACAGAAGAGCAAAAUGAUGUCUCUUUAUUACUUGUAACAAAAAAAGAUAAAUGGCGUAUAUAUCUGUUGCUUGAUCCAUUUUUUUUUAUCUCUAGUUUUUGCUAAAAAGAAUAGCUGAUGAGUGAUAUGGUUGGACUAGUAUUUGCAGACUUAUAGGCUAUCACAUAUAUGCUUUGAUCUUACUGAUGAUUUCACAAUCCACUAUUAUUUGGGGAGAAAUAGCAGUACCCACAAACAUCUUUUAUUAGUAAGAUUUACCANNNNNNNNNNNNNNNNNNNNNNNNNNNNNNNNNNNNNNNNNNNNNNNNNNNNNNNNNNNNNNNNNNNNNNNNNNNNNNNNNNNNNNNNNNNNNNNNNNNNNNNNNNNNNNNNNNNNNNNNNNNNNNNNNNNNNNNNNNNNNNNNNNNNNNNNNNNNNNNNNNNNNNNNNNNNNNNNNNNNNNNNNNNNNNNNNNUAUUUAUACUUUCUAUUGCUUUGCUACUGCAAUUAUAUAUUAAUACUAAUAUUUCUUUUCUGUGCUUGAUUAAUACUUCUAUCUAAUGAUCUGAUAUAUGUUUCUCAUAUGUGAUUUGAACUUGAUUUGCUCUAAGAGCUGUGAUAGUUUAUUUGAUGAUUUCAUUAGCAUAUUACAUCUAUCAGUAAUAUAUGUAUAGGUUUCUUUGGUUAUGAUUUUCAGUCAAUUCCAAGGCCUUUGUUUGGUUUCAUUAUUCUCCAGCUUUUAGAGUUAGGUCUGUGUGUUUAAACUUAAGGCAAGAACAAAACUUGCAAAUCUGAAACAUUGUUUCUGAAAUUCUGCAUCAGUUAGCUUUCGUUUGAAAACAGUACAAUUUCAUUUGGAAUUUGAAGUUGGUUUCAUCAAGAGAUUUGUAGUAGACAUCUUAAGGUUCAUUCCAAAUUUUAAAUCACUUGAAAACGAUUUGGAAGAUGAAAUUAUGAUUUUUCAAAGUUUAGGGUCUGCAUCAGGAAAUUCUGCAGACCAGUGUUUCUGAGAUUUUGACCAGUUCCCUUCUUUCAAAAAACUGUAUAAAUUGGUUAGUUGUUUGAACUUGGUGUCUUCAUGAAAGUUUGAGUAGAGACCUUAAUGAUCGUUUUAGAACUGGAAUCUCUUGAAAAUAAGUUUUCUAGAAUUAGUUAUGAUUUUCCAAAGUUACAGCUCAGUUGCAUUUUUUUUUUUUGAAAGUUACAGCUCAGUUUGAGCAUAGCUUAGCAAGUACAUGUCUUGAGGACAACAAUGCAGUCUUAUAUAUCAGCACUUCUUUAUAUUGUAUGUAUAUGAGCAAGUACUUUUUUUGUGUGAUUUAUAUAUUUGUGUUGUUGUAUAUUUAUAUAAUGCAGGUUUUGGAAGCAAAAAAUGUUUAUAAAGAUAAAGAAAAGCAUACUUGUCUACACCCAAGAUGAUUUGGAUGUGUUAAGGAAGGAGUGGGCAAAGUUCAUCAUCAGAAAAUACCUGUAGGGUGCAUGAUCUGGUCUGUUUUGGUGAACUUGGUGCUUUCUAUAUAUAUGUGGUAGUACUUUGCUUUUGAACUUGGUGUUUCUAUAUAUUCGGAACAGCUAUAUGGUAGUACGUACUUUGUGCAUUUCUCAUGUUGGAAUGCUUUUGGACAAGUAAGACUAUCUAGGAGUUUAACUAGUUGUUUGUUUUCAUUUUAUUAUUCAGCUGUAAUAUUGUUUGUGGAAGCUUGAAUGAUAUAUAUGAAAGCUGAAAUGCAAUGUUUUAUGGUAUCAGUCAAUUUGUGCAGCAGUUUCUUUUGUGAUGCUUGUGUGUGUAAAACUUGGACAACAAAGUCUGUCCACAUGAAAAUGCAACUGUUGUAUGAUUCUCAUCAAACAAGAAAGCAGAAUGCUAUAUCUAUUGUGUGAUACAACAGUCCAAAUAUUUCAGUUGUAGGUUAUUCAAUGUCACACAACAGUAAAGAUAGGGAGUAAACCGUUGUAGCUUACUGAAAAACACACAACGAUAGAAAUGAAAACCAACAGUUGUCUGAAAGGGUAAAAAUACAACGAAAAUGUUUUAUUGUUUGUUGUCUGAGUGGACUUGUCGAUGCCGCGCAUGGCAUCGAUCUGCGCAGCGACUUAUACAACGAAAGUAUUGAACUGUUGAGCAAAAUGUGAUCACACAACGGUGAUUUUCACACUUGUCUGAAGAUUCAAUCAGACAAGCCCGAGAUAUACAACGGAAAACCUAUAGUCACCGUUGUGUGUUGACAAAUCUGUAGUAGUGCCAGGCCACAUGAAGAAAAAUUGUUACAAGUUGAAGCAGGAACUCAAAGAAGGGCGAGAAGACGCAACUCAUCAACAAAAGGAGGACACGAACAAUGUUGUUAUUGCAGUGUCUCAUGAUGGGUGUGAGUUCCUAUCCCUCGAAGGUGAAUGUCUACUGGUAGAUCAUCCUGGAGUUCAAUGGAUUGUUGAUUUCAGAGCCUCAUUUCAUGUCACGUUCCACGAAGAGUUAUUCACUACGAACAAAGCAGGUGACUUUGGUAAAGUGAAGAUGGGCAAUGACAUGCAGCUACUCCAAUAUUGCUUGGAUUGGAGAUAUUUGUUUGCAAACGGAUGUGGGCUACCAGUUAAUGUUGAAAGAUGUGAGACAUGUUCCUGGUCUACAUCUCAAUCUUACGUCAACCGGUGUACUUGAUUGACAAGGUUUUUAUCAUCAUGGGGGUGAUGGAAAGUGGAAGCUUACCAAGGGAUCUCUUGUAGUUGCUAGAGAAAAAAUGUGUUGCACGCUCUACAAGACUUAUGUGAAGAUUUCCAAGAAUGAGCUGAAUGCAGUUGAGGAGUCUUCUCCAAGUUUGUGGCAUAGACGUCUUGGCCACAUGAGUGAAAAAGGACUAUAGAUGUUGGCAAAGAAGUCGCUAAUUUCCUGUUGCCAAAGGUAACUCACUAGACUCUUGCGAUUAUUGUUUAUUUGGUAAACAUAAGAAAAUUAGUUUUUCGAAGUCUUUCACGAGGAAAGAAAAUAUUCAAGAUCUUGUACAUUCGGAUAUGUGUGGUCCGAUGGAAGUUGAAUCAUUGAGUAUGCAUAAGUAUUUUGUUACUUAUAUCGAUGAUGUUUCACGAAAGGUUUAGGUUUAUUUGUUGAAAUCCAAAGACCAGUUAUUCCAAACAUUUACAAUUUUCCACGCCAUGGUGGAAAGGGAGACUAGAAGAAAAUUGAAGUGCCUUCGUAUUGACAAUGGCGGAGAGUACACAUCGCAUGAAGUCAGAGAUUAUUGUACAAAGUAUGACAUCAAACAUGAGAAGACGGUUCCUAGAACCCCCUAACAUAACGAUGUAACAGAGUGGAUGAACCGUACCAUUAUGGAGAAAGUCAUAUGCAUGUUGAAGAUGACCAAAAUUGUCAAAAGAAUUUUAGGGAGAAGCUGUGAAGACUGCGUGUUACCUCAUAAACAGAGCACCAUGUGUACCUUUGGAAUUUGAGACUCCAAAUGAAGUUUGGACCGGCAAAGAUGCGUCAUACUCAUAUCUAAGAGUAUUUGAAUGUAAAGCAUUCGCACAUGUAUCCAGGGAGCAGAGAUCAAAGUUGGAUGACAAGGCAUUGCCAUGCAUAUUUGUUGGCUAUGGCAAUGAAGAGUUUGGCUACCGGUUGUGGGAUCCAAAGACGAAGAAAUUCAUAAGAAACAGAGAUGUGGUGUUUCAUGAAAACCAAUCAAUUGCAGAUUUCGAUAAAGAGGCACUACCGAGAAAUGCAGGAAUUGACAGCAGCAUUUAUAAUUCAACGUUGCAGUAGAAAUCUAAUGUUGGGCUACAAGGUGAUAGAGUUGAAGGUGUACCAGACAUGGUUGAUGCUGAAGCCGAAGAUGAGAGGGAGCUUGGGAGCAGCCUGUGAAUAAUCAAGCAGCAAUUCGCAGAAGCACUAGGAGGCCGAUUCCAUCCACAAGUAUCCAUCAUCACAAUAUAUUUUGGUGACUAACGAUGAAGAUGAUCCUUAUGAAAAUUACAUCCUCUUGACCAGUGACGGAGAGCCUGAAAGUUAUGAGGAAGCAAAGAUUCAUCAAAACUACUACAAAAGGAGGCUAGCCAUGGAGUCUGAGAUAGAGUCUUUACUGAAAAACGACACCUACGAGUUGGUGAAGCUUCCGAAAGGCCAGGAAGCACUCAAGAACAAGUGAGUGUUCAAGCUGAAGCCAGAUGAGAAGUACAAGGCUCGUUUAGUUGUCAAAGGAUUCAGGCAGAAAGAAGGAAUCGAUUUUGAUGAGAUUUUCUCACCUGUUGUCAAGAUGACUUCGAUUAGAGUCAUUUUGGGCAUGGCUACGAAUAUGGAUCUUGAGGUGGAGCAAAUGGAUGUGAAGACUGCAUUUCUUCACGGUGAUUUAGAAGAAGAAAUAUACAUAGAGCAACCAGAAGGCUUUGAAGUCAAUAGAAAAGAGCAUAUGAUUUGCAAGUUGAAGAAAAGCUUGUACAGAUUGAAGCAAGCACCAAGACAAUGGUACAAGAAGUUUGACUCCUUUGGGGAGUCAUGGGUACAAGAGAUCGUCAGCUGAUUCGUGUGUGUAUAUUCAACAACCCGUUGUAGGUAAUCUUUUUUCAUCUUACUACUCUAUGGAGAUGAUAUGUUGAUUGUCAGCAAAGAUACUACUAUGAUUCAGCGGUUAAAAACAUAUUUGUCAGAGUCCUUUGAUAUGAAGGAUUUAGGACCAGCCAAGCAGAUUUUGGGCAUGGAAAUUGCCCGUGAUCGAGGGAAUAAGAAAUUGGGGUUAUCACAAGAAAAAUACAUCGAGAAGGUACUAGAGAGGUUCCACAAGGAGAAAGCAAAACCAGUUGCUAUUCCACUUGCCAGUCACAUGAAGCUCAGCUCAAAGCAGAGUCCUACAAGUCAGAAGGAGGAGGAGGAAGAAAUGGCAACAAUGCCAUCUGCCUCAGCAGUAAGGAGCUUGAUGUACGCGAUGGUUUGUACCAGACCAGACAUAACACAUGCAGUUGGUAUUGUUAGUAGAUUCUUAUCUAAUCCAGGCAAGGAGCACUGGAAUGCUGUUACGUGGAUUCUAAGAUACUUGCGGGAAACUUCAAAGAUGAGUGUACGCUUUGGAAAUGGCAAAUAUGAACUAGUUGGCUACACAGAUGCAUAUAUGGCUGGAGAUAUUGACACAAAAAAGUCCAUAUCAAGGUACCUGAUUACAUUUUCAGGAGGAGCUGUCUCAUAACAAUCAAAGCUACAAAAAUGUGUUGUUUUAUCAACUACAGAAGCAGAGUAUAUUACAGCUACGGAAGCAUGCAAAGAAAUUUUGUGGUUGAAGAGAUUCCUACUGGAAUUAGGUCAUUCACAACAAGAGUUUGUCUUGCAUUGUGACAAUCAAAGCGCAAUUCACUUGAGAAAAAAUUUGAGUUUUCACUCGAGGUCAAAGCACAUUGAUGUGUGGUAUCAUUGGAUACAUGAUAUGCGGGAAGCUAAUGAAUUACUGUCAGAACCCACCCCGGAUUUCCCCUUGAAAUCCGGGAUCUGGGAUAAAUCUUGCGGGACCUACCUCAAGGGAAGUUCUACCAAAAUUUUGGCAUAACCUCCCUUAAAAUGGGCGACCCUACCUGAAAAAUUAAUCAAUUUCCAACAAUAUUUCUAAAUAACCAAAUAAUCAACAACUCUUGGAGCCACCCGCUCCCCCAAAUAAACAACCACCACAUCAACAAAAAUAAUAUCUCAACAUCAAAUUCAUAAUUCAACAUCUCAUAAUAAAUUAAUAAUAACUCCAGAUAAAACUUCAAAUCAUCCCUAGAUCGAGUCAUAGACCCUUAACACACAUCCAAAAUAAAUAUAACAUCCCAUGGUUAUCAGAGCAAACUAACAGAAGGAAACAAGAAAAUACACAAGUAGGUUAAACAGGUAACCUACGAAUGAAAACUGGAAGUGAUGAAAAAUAUGACUCGCCUCCUACACUUGUCAAACCGAACUCUGUAGACUGGGCAUUCAAAAACGAAAGGCCCAAGGGAGAAGUAUUUAAAAACAUUAGCAUAAGUGGACAAAAAUAAAUAACAAUAAUAUUAACUUAAUUAUGGAGCAAUGUUAACAAAUAUUAACCAAUGUUUAAUAACAAUAAUAUGGAGCAAAAAUAAAUAACAAUAAUAUUAACUUAAUUAUGGAGCAAAAAUAAUUAACUUAAUAUUAACCAAUGUUUAUGUUUUCCCAAAUUUUCCGUUGAGAAACAUUUAUGCAUGCAACUCUUAAAAUUUUCCAAUAAUAUUUAUAGAUAAAAGUGACGAACAAAUCCCAUUGGUUCAAAUAAAUCAUAAAAAUGGGGAAGAGGUUUCACCAUAACGAUGAGCCUCCCAGGCUAGGGUUGGAGCCUCCCAGACUCUGGUAGCGUCCCACGCUAAGCGCUUGACUCACCUAUAGUGAGGACCGCUAAUAAAAGCUAGCUAACAAUAAAUAAAACCGAUCGGUGCCUCCCAGGCUGUAGUAGCGUCUCACGCUAAGCGCUCGACUCACCUACGGUGAGGACCACUAAUAAAAGCUAGCUAGCUAGCAAUAAUAAAUAUAUAUAUCAACCCUUUUAUGGUGAAGUAAAAUGCUAAAAAAAUAAGGACAACACUUUCCCAAAAUAUAGUAAAUCAAUGUUCCCAACUGUAAUUAGAAAUAUUACGUACAUAAUAAUCAUGGAUGCAGUAAUAAUAUAAACCACUAGACCUAGACAUGUCCCACAUGUCAAAUAAAAUUAGUAAAAGUUCUAGAAAGCAAAUGAACUCAUUAAUCCAAAGAAUAUAAUAAAACUCUAAUAUGCCUUUGCAAUUAAGAAAACUUUAGCGCAUGCAUGAUGUCAAAAUCAAAAGUCCAUUCACUGUGCUCGGCUAUGCCUGCUGACGAUCCGAGGCAUCCUCCAAAUGAUCCUCCUCACGUCCUGACCAGUAGAUAAUAUUAAAUCUCUAGAUUAAAUCGAUAAUUUAAUAAAAAUACAAGAAUACAAGUGAGCCUAAAAUUUCUUCGCCCUUGCCCAACUUCACCAUACUUGAUACCUUAAGACCCAAACUUCACCACAAGCAUCGACAGCCUUAAAAAAAAAAUUCUAAAGUUUAAUCCAUGCUAAUCAAACGGCCGGAUUCUAUUCUAUCACUCGCCAAGUUCACCAAUCUUUGAAAAAUUCCAAACCUAACCAAAACUCCUUCAAAAAUUGCAAACUUCACACCAAAGGACUCCUCUCAACAUAACAAAUUUAAUAACAUGAAAAACUACCCAAAACAGGCGGCGUCGUCGUCUGCUUCGCCGGCAGCAACGGCCGGCUAGCCCCGACUCUGGUCACCUCCAAUGUCACAUCCCGACCCUUAUAUUUUUACCUUAUUUACUAGCGUGAUUAUAAUAAGAAUUUUACCGUCUCGAUCAUUGAGUAAAUAGUUUAAUUGGUCCCUAGAGGGGUUUCGGGGACGAUUAUGUGCGGAGGAUUAUUCGUAUGAGGAAAAUACAACGACGGUAAAAAUAGUAAAUUUUAGCUAGAAAAAGUUAAUUUUUAUUCGGGUAUUAUUUUUCGGGGGUUGUUUUUAUUUUUGGAAGUUUGGGUUAUAAAUGGUGUGGACCGGUUUGGGGUGUGAGGCCCAAACCCUUUUUCUUUUCUCUCUCCCUCCCUCCCGAUUUUUCUUCUCCUCCCACCCGAUUUUCUUCUCUCUACACCCACCGGUAUUCCGGCCGUCCUCCCGCCGCCGUCCGNNNNNNNNNNNNNNNNNNNNNNNNNNNNNNNNNNNNNNNNNNNNNNNNNNNNNNNNNNNNNNNNNNNNNNNNNNNNNNNNNNNNNNNNNNNNNNNNNNNNNNNNNNNNNNNNNNNNNNNNNNNNNNNNNNNNNNNNNNNNNNNNNNNNNNNNNNNNNNNNNNNNNNNNNNNNNNNNNNNNNNNNNNNNNNNNNNNNNNNNNNNNNNNNNNNNNNNNNNNNNNNNNNNNNNNNNNNNNNNNNNNNNNNNNNNNNNNNNNNNNNNNNNNNNNNNNNNNNNNNNNNNNNNNNNNNNNNNNNNNNNNNNNNNNNNNNNNNNNNNNNNNNNNNNNNNNNNNNNNNNNNNNNNNNNNNNNNNNNNNNNNNNNNNNNNNNNNNNNNNNNNNNNNNNNNNNNNNNNNNNNNNNNNNNNNNNNNNNNNNNNNNNNNNNNNNNNNNNNNNNNNNNNNNNNNNNNNNNNNNNNNNNNNNNNNNNNNNNNNNNNNNNNNNNNNNNNNNNNNNNNNNNNNNNNNNNNNNNNNNNNNNNNNNNNNNNNNNNNNNNNNNNNNNNNNNNNNNNNNNNNNNNNNNNNNNNNNNNNNNNNNNNNNNNNNNNNNNNNNNNNNNNNNNNNNNNNNNNNNNNNNNNNNNNNNNNNNNNNNNNNNNNNNNNNNNNNNNNNNNNNNNNNNNNNNNNNNNNNNNNNNNNNNNNNNNNNNNNNNNNNNNNNNNNNNNNNNNNNNNNNNNNNNNNNNNNNNNNNNNNNNNNNNNNNNNNNNNNNNNNNNNNNNNNNNNNNNNNNNNNNNNNNNNNNNNNNNNNNNNNNNNNNNNNNNNNNNNNNNNNNNNNNNNNNNNNNNNNNNNNNNNNNNNNNNNNNNNNNNNNNNNNNNNNNNNNNNNNNNNNNNNNNNNNNNNNNNNNNNNNNNNNNNNNNNNNNNNNNNNNNNNNNNNNNNNNNNNNNNNNNNNNNNNNNNNNNNNNNNNNNNNNNNNNNNNNNNNNNNNNNNNNNNNNNNNNNNNNNNNNNNNNNNNNNNNNNNNNNNNNNNNNNNNNNNNNNNNNNNNNNNNNNNNNNNNNNNNNNNNNNNNNNNNNNNNNNNNNNNNNNNNNNNNNNNNNNNNNNNNNNNNNNNNNNNNNNNNNNNNNNNNNNNNNNNNNNNNNNNNNNNNNNNNNNNNNNNNNNNNNNNNNNNNNNNNNNNNNNNNNNNNNNNNNNNNNNNNNNNNNNNNNNNNNNNNNNNNNNNNNNNNNNNNNNNNNNNNNNNNNNNNNNNNNNNNNNNNNNNNNNNNNNNNNNNNNNNNNNNNNNNNNNNNNNNNNNNNNNNNNNNNNNNNNNNNNNNNNNNNNNNNNNNNNNNNNNNNNNNNNNNNNNNNNNNNNNNNNNNNNNNNNNNNNNNNNNNNNNNNNNNNNNNNNNNNNNNNNNNNNNNNNNNNNNNNNNNNNNNNNNNNNNNNNNNNNNNNNNNNNNNNNNNNNNNNNNNNNNNNNNNNNNNNNNNNNNNNNNNNNNNNNNNNNNNNNNNNNNNNNNNNNNNNNNNNNNNNNNNNNNNNNNNNNNNNNNNNNNNNNNNNNNNNNNNNNNNNNNNNNNNNNNNNNNNNNNNNNNNNNNNNNNNNNNNNNNNNNNNNNNNNNNNNNNNNNNNNNNNNNNNNNNNNNNNNNNNNNNNNNNNNNNNNNNNNNNNNNNNNNNNNNNNNNNNNNNNNNNNNNNNNNNNNNNNNNNNNNNNNNNNNNNNNNNNNNNNNNNNNNNNNNNNNNNNNNNNNNNNNNNNNNNNNNNNNNNNNNNNNNNNNNNNNNNNNNNNNNNNNNNNNNNNNNNNNNNNNNNNNNNNNNNNNNNNNNNNNNNNNNNNNNNNNNNNNNNNNNNNNNNNNNNNNNNNNNNNNNNNNNNNNNNNNNNNNNNNNNNNNNNNNNNNNNNNNNNNNNNNNNNNNNNNNNNNNNNNNNNNNNNNNNNNNNNNNNNNNNNNNNNNNNNNNNNNNNNNNNNNNNNNNNNNNNNNNNNNNNNNNNNNNNNNNNNNNNNNNNNNNNNNNNNNNNNNNNNNNNNNNNNNNNNNNNNNNNNNNNNNNNNNNNNNNNNNNNNNNNNNNNNNNNNNUAUUAAAUGUUUUCCCCUGGGCCCUUCGUUUUAAAUUGCCCAGUCUGCAGAGUUCGGGGUUGGAUCUAGUAGGAGACGAGGCAUAGUCACCCGCUUUUCGGCCAGUUUUCAUCAGUAGGUUACCUGUUCAACCUACUCGUGUUUUCUUGCUUCCGCUUGUGUUUAGUAGCUCUGAAUACUUUAGAAUUUUUGUAUAUUAUGUGAUAUUCAGAAGCGUUAAAUUAAGAGUGUAAUAUGAAAUUUUCGACUUAGGGUUGUCCAUCUGCAAGGGAGAUUUGCUUAAUCUUUUCAGUAAAUUUUCCUUGGAGGUGGUCCCCGCACGACUUACUCUGGGUUUCAGGGUGAAAUUCGGGGUGGGUCGUGUCAUCCAAUGCUCACCAAAAUUUGACACAAUCUUUCCUCUCAACACGCACAACAACUUUCUUAACUAACACAAAGUCCGAUUUCAAGCCUAACUAGGGUAAUCAAAGCCAAACAGUAAAAAUCUCAAUUUUAAACCCUAGAAUUUCAAAUGCUUGAUUCUCCUUACCUAGAUUGAGAUAGAUUGAAACCUUUUUGAGGUUUUGUUGUAUAGGAUGAGAGCUUCCAAACGAGACAAGCAGCUCCGACUAUGGUGGCCAGAAAAGGGAGUUCCGACGACAACUCCGCCACGCACAGCCGUACCUUCUCAGCGUGAUUCCUCCCUCACGGCAGCGCAACACGACCAGCCACCUACCUAGACUUGAAGAGGAUGUUCCAACCUUCAAUUUGAUACCUAGCUCACCACCUAACUCGGCCGGACGGCGGUGAUGAAGUCUAAAGGAGGAGAGAGACGCGGGAGAGAGGGGAGAGAGAGAGAGAGAGUGAAAUCUGAUUUUCUACCUUACCUCAAAUGGUAAGUUUCCAUUUUUAUACCCCCUGACCAAAAUAGUAACUUUACAUUUUACACAAUAACUAUUGCAUACGAACUCCGAUUUUAACGUAUAGCAUGUCUACAGAUUCAUAUUAACGUCCUUUACGACAUCAUUAAAGAAAUUUUCCCAAAAUAAUUUUCCUACAAAAAGUCAACUCUAAGGGUCCUUUAACAGUAAACGGUUACUCAAAAUGGUAAAAGGUCAAAGUAACACAAAAGUAAAUAACCGUAAAUUAACUUAAGAUCCAAGAUGUCACAAUUACUGCUAAAGAAUAUUCAUACAGACAAUAACAGUUCGGAUUUGAUGACGAAGUCUCUACCAAAAGAGAAGUUUGACUUCUGCAUAAGUGCAUCAAGAAUGAAGCAUCCCUCCAAUUAAGUUGGGAGGGGGAGAUUGAUGGGUCAAAUUUCUCUCCUCAUUUGGAAGAGGAUGUCAUAUAGUUUACUACAUGUGAAAAACCUUUCGGUGAAGCCUUAAGACCCAUUCAAUUAACCAAGAGGUAAGAUGUUAUAUGAAUAGCAAAGUUGGUGCUGUGUAUAUGUUGAUAUACAUGAGAGAGCCUAUAGGUAUAGGCUCGUGGAUGGCUGAAAUGUUUGACAAAAAGAAUAGAGAUGCAUUGAUGGUGCAUACAAACAUUGAAGCUUGAAUUAAAGAAGAAGUUUGAAUUCUCUUCCUCAUGCAUGGACGUGAAGGAUUUGCAUGGGAAAUGCAUGAAGAAGUUUGCCUAUAUAAAGGCAUGAGCAAUGGUGCAAUUGAUAUACCGGUGAGUUCAUCUUGUGUUAUACAAGAGUGUGUGAGAUAGAGAGAAAACUCCAAGUCGAGAGUUGUGUGUAUAGCAAAACAAAGUGAUGAGAGUGUGAGAGUGUAUCCCUUCAAGUGUAAGUCUUGAAGUAGUGUUUCUCUCACUGUAACCUUUAUUCAUAUAAUAGAUAUUUUUUGUUGUUGUUGUCCCGUAGACGUAGACACUUUGUCUUGCCGAACCAAGUUAAUUCUCGGUGUUCUUAUCAUUUUAUUUCCGUUACAUUUUACAUUUGUGGUUAUGAGUUUCUGAUUCCAUUUUACAGAUUAUUUUUCGCAAUAACCCAACAUGGUAACCUUAGUCGUUUGAAAGGCUCAGGGACACCGAAACCUGGAGGAUCCCUGAUAAUUCCAGGAAAACCAGGUGCGAAUGGAAUUGGCUCACUCCUCAUUGGGAUGAAACCAAGCAUAUUAUGAUCUCUCCACAUCACCAAUGCCUUCUUCUGUUGCUCCCUAUCCUCCCACUUCCCAGCAAAUCGAAACUUCCAGUUACAUGUUCCUCCUGCUCCCGACCCAAACUCCUCCAGAAACUUCUGCUUCCACAGCUCAUCAUUAUUAGCUAGAUUUUGUAGUUCCUUUCACAGUUCUUUGCUUCACCAUUCUUGUUUCUUAAUUUGCUUCGCUAGCUAUUGAGUGUAUACGUUGUUGGUUUGGUACUAUCGAUCAACCAUUAUGUUUGGACGUCAAUUGGGACAGGAGUGUCGUGGCCCCCAACAGCAAUUUCAAAUUUCCCCUUCAAUUAUAGUUUAAUUGCAUAUAAUUAUGUAUUCAUUCCAAGAAUUUGGUAUAUAUUAGCCCUUUCAGAAAUUUUGGCCUCCCCAGAAUUUUGUUCGAAGUUCCGCCAUUGACGUUGGUGUUAGGUCCAAGCCUUAAUACCAACAGCUGAACCCUAAAGACAGGUACCAUCUAUUGCAAAACCACCAUAUGUACGUUAGCAAAACCACCAUAUAUACUUUAGCAAAAUAAAAACACACAUCAAAUCGCACAGUUUUAGUUUAUUACAUAACCACAUUUUCUUUGUGAAAGAAUUUUUAACAAUGAGAUAGCUCCUCAAUCAACAUCAGCUAGCGAUGAACCAGAGAUCCAAUGAACUCUUCAAUGUUCUUGUUAGAGCUUCCAUCUUCAUGCACAGCCUUUCUAGCCGAUUCUUUCAAUGCUAUAGCAUUUCACUGUAUUUCUUUUCCCCUCUGUCCCUCCAAUAUUUCACUUACACAAUGCUCUACUUCUUGCCUCACAAUCCCUUUCUCAUCAACUUGAGCUUUGAUCCCAAUUUUCCACACAUCCAUAAUGUACUUGGCAUUGGUGCUUUGGUCAGUCCAUCGAGGCAUUGCAACCAUUGGAACCCCCAAACUCAAAGCCUCCAAUGUGGAGUUCCAACCGCAAUGCGUAAUGAAGCAACCAACUGCUUCAUGAGCUAAAACCUCCAAUUGGGGACACCAGGAAACCACCAAACCCUUUGCAGAUGUCUCCUCGACAAACCAUUUCGGUACCUUUCUUGCUUCUGAUUCUCUAAUAACCCACAAGAAUUUUCUUUUGCUACUCCUCUAUCCAAAAGCCAGUUCCUCCAUUUGCUUAGCUUCAAUUUCUGCUCGGCUGCCAAACGACACAUAAACUAUAGACCCCUUGGUCUGUUCAUUGGGCCAUUUCAUGCAGGCAUCACUCUUUGGUUUAAACAUGUUGAAACCAUAGUCUUUAUCAUCUUUAAGACGCCUAUCCAAGUAAUGGGAUGGUAUAGUUGGUCCAAUGGCAUUCAUUGGCCAAACCUUUCCCAUCCAAUCAACCGCCUAUAUAUGAAGAGCAAUAUUGAUCGAUUAAGACUACAUAGUUCAUGAUAAAAAUUAAUCAAUCUAGUAAUGUACGUGGUAUACACAAUGUCUACAAAGAUGCCAUAUGAAUGAUACAGAAUGUGUGCAAAGAUGCAUAUGGUCUAGGCAACAUUGAUCAUUAGCUUAUGAAACUCCAAAUCAUAUGAAAGCCAAAAAGUGACUGAAACAAGGGAAAUAAUUCAUAUAUACUUGCUCUUCCAACUCAUAAAAUGUAUUGCGGAGGACCCAAUCAGCCUUGUCAACAUUGCAGAAGUGAUCCACAACAACCAGUUUAUAGGCGGCCGGGUAAGACCCGAAAUCAGAUAGAAAGGAUGGCAGGUCUGAGGGCUUAAGUGUCAACAACCCCGGAAGCGAUAUUUCAAACUCAACAACAGGCAGUUUCAGCAAUCCAUUCUUCACGUGGUAGUAGAUGGUGUUUACAGCACAAGACUGUGUGAAGAAGAUAGCCCCAAGAAUACCAAAUUUCUUGGCAAUAUCCAGAGGCCAAGACAAGAAUGCAUCAUAAACAAUACAAUCAACUGGUAACCCUGAGCUUGAAAGCUUCUCAAGAAGCUCAGCCAAAGUUUGUGACCCUGAUUUCUUCAGGCUCUCCAAAUAGACAUCUAUGCUUCCUGCUUCUGCUCUCCCACCUUGAUCAUAACCAUCAGAGAUCGUCUCCAAUGGAACAUGACUAGACCCUGACCUGUGCAUUGUCUUGCAUAAAAAGCGAGUGGUAACUAGUGUCACUUUGACUCCUUUAUGCUCUAAGAGCUUAGAGAAUUGGAGCAUGGGAUUGAUAUGGCCUUGGUUAGGAUAGUGUAAGACCAAGCAGUGAGCUCUGUAGGCUCUUUGUUGACCCUUCUCCAUUUCUCUAUCUAUGUCUUGCAUAGGCAAGCCACAACAAUGCAGUUUAUAUAUACUAAUGAAGAAUGAAUAUGAUGAACACACAACUACUGAACCAAGUGAUGAAACUCAGUACGUCUCUUAGUCAAUUGGACAUGAAUUUCCAAAGAUGAAUGUUUUUAUAUUUAGGGAAGGUGGAAUAUGAGGGUAAUCUAAAAAGAACACUAGGGUAGAACCCAAAUGCAAGUGUUCAACCACAAGAGUUGGAAAUCCAUAAUAAAAAAAGGAAAACUGUUGCAGGAAAAGUAUGGUAUAAUCCAGAGGGACCCUGAGGUUUUGUUUACUACAUAAAAGUAACAUAGAAUGAAAAUUGAACGGGCCAUUUUAGUUCGUAAUUCAAAAACAUUAGUCUGGGUAAACAACACACACCUCUUUUCAAUAACAACAGUAUGUCUUGGACUCUUGGACAUACAUAAUCAAUUUUGGGUAAAAUAUUGUAUAGUCCUUCUAAUUUGAAGUCGACAUUUGUUUAGUCCUUAUGAUUUUAUUUUAAUCUGAGUAGUACUUAAAGUCAUGAUUUUUCAUCUAAAUAGUCCUUAUAGUUUUAUUUUAAUAUGAAUAGUCCUUAAAGUCAUGAUUUUUCAUUCAAAUAGUCUUUAUGGCCUUUAACUGAGAAAAUUGUCGGAAUGACUAUUUGGAUGAAAAAUCAUGACUUUAAGAGUACUAUUCAGAUUAAAAUAAAACCAUAAGGACUAUUUGGAUGAAAAAUUGUGACUUUAAAGACUAUUCAGAUUAAAAUAAAACCGCAAAGACUAAACAGAUGUCAACUUCAAAUCACAAGGAUUAAACAAAUUUCAAUUUAUUAAUUUUCUUAUCAAUUCUGAAUCCCCCUAAAUCAUGACAAUAAAAAUAUCAGUUACCAUAAUCAACUAUUAAACUAAUUAAGGCAAAAUAAUACGAAGGGUAUACCAACAUUAGGCAUUCAGGCAGGCAUCAUUUUCAUAAGAAACUGGUUCUUUCCCAAGUAAUGUUACAAAACUAGCAAGUGCAGAUGCCCCAUCAAUAUUACUAGUGUGUAAUGAAGCACCCAACAGCCUCAUGAACCAAAACCUCUAGUUGGGAGAGCCAUGAAAGUUGAAUCAAGAUGAACUGUACAAUCAGGAUUCAGGAACCAAGAUGAAGUGCACUGUCAUCCGACGAAAGCGUAAUGGUCAAAAUGCUAUAAUAAUUUCUCAAUAAUGUGAAGUUGCAAGCCAAGUCUCUAUACGUCUCUUUGUUGCAUUAUGACUAAAAACAAUGUUUGGGAAUUGAAUGUAAAGGCUAACGAAAGGCUCGGCUAUACAUAAAACUUCCGGGUUGUGAGCCCGUACAAACUGUUUCAAAGCAUCUUGAGUGGGGACAUUAGCAAUGCCCCGUAGGUUCCAAUAAAGAACCCUCAUUUAGGAGUGUCUUUGGAGCGACGGAGAUAGGCUUCCCUAUUCUCCUUAGAAGCCGCCUUUCUCUUUUGAGACCUGGACAUAACGACAGUAAAACCAUCACCAAUGUUAACUCGUUCUGUCUCCUCGUACCAGCUAUCAACACGAGUUACUGAAUUUGCAACAACAGCAACCCCAAUGUCAGAAGACUGCUCAUGCAUACUACCACCUGCAGAGUCAUCAUCUUCACUAUUCUGCUCGUUCUGAUCAAUAGCAUACCUAGUAUCAUCAUCCUGCUCAACAUUAGCUAUUGGUUCCAAAGCCACAUUCACCCUCGGCUCAACCACUUCAACAGGUUCCACCACUUCUUGGAUGACAGGUUCCAUUACUUGCGGUUCCGGCAAAACACUAGAUAUCACUAGUUGGCCGACCGGUGCUGGAGACUUCUGCACAAAGGAAGGACCCUCACCAAAAUCUUCCCUGGGGGUUGGAGUUGAAUCAAUAAUCAUGCUCUUACCUCGAUCCGAUGUAUUAGAUGGGUUUUUAGGCACAUACACUUUGGAGACUCGAUGCUGAUCACGGUUCUUGCGAGACCGUCUACUACGCUUGCGGGAUCGACCUCUGCCUUUCUCAGUCUCAUUAUCCAUUGGAACAGAGUCAGAAGAUCUAUGCACAUACUUGCAAGCUGUAACAAGGUGCCCAACGUCACCACAAUGAGCACAUAUAUCUGGAAGCUUUUCAUAGUCCACAGUCUGAACAGAUGACGAACCACACUUACGCUUGACAACCAAUUCUUGCGGUGGAACAACAAAGAGAUCAAUAUCAACCAAUAUUCUAGCAAAGAGACCCACCCUUCUCUCCCUUGUGUUGGCAUCAACUUUAACAGGAACUCCAAUACCAUUAGCAAUUUCAAAUAGGGUUCUAGGUUCCCAAAACUCAAGACCUAGAUCCCAAAACCUCACCCACACCUGAGCAUUCCUAUUACGUUGGUUCGCUGGGGAGAAAUUUGGAACCCAUCGCAUGAAACGCAAGAAGCCAGGCUUGAGAGCAAUUGCACCCUUUACCCAGACUGUAGAGAGAUCCUCAUCCGUAGAGAAGCUAAACGUGAAAUAGCCUUUUCCCAUGGGAAUAACCUUCCAAGCCCCCAGACUUCCCCAGAGAAGAGAAAGCUUAUGAGACAGAUCUGAUGCAGAGUAGGGUUUAUCCUUCAAACCCAAUUGCACCCUUCUGAUUACCAUAUGUUUACAAUUAUCCAAACCAGAUUGAUAGCCCUCUUCUGAAAUAGUAAUAGUUGUCUUGCCAUCUAAAAUCUCAGGAAUAGGCAGAUCAUCAAUUGGGAUGGAAGCUUGCGCCGCCGCCGCCGCAUAAGAUUUCGUCGGCUUCGCAGCCCCUUCGUCGAGAAAAGACCACGGGCAUAUGGGAUGACGCUGAACAGCCAUGACGUCGUGAAGCAAACGGAACUCGAAUUCAAGGUUUUACUACAGGGAGGCUCCAGCACGGGGAAACCCUAGCAGAGCCAUCCUUAUUCAAACAAAAAAUGCAGGGAGGUGCAUGCUAUAAUAUACAGUGUACAAUAGUAAACAUGUUCUAAAUUAUUAUUGAGAAAGGCAUAUGAAUGCAAACAAACAUUGUACCCCACGGAUCGUAGUCGAUCAAGUCCAUAUGUUUUAAAACAAAACUUCAUUUUCAAGAAAACGAUUUCACAAUUUUACGAUAAAUGAACUAUAAGACAAAUAUGGUUCCAUUAUGAACCAAGUGAGAUUUACUCACCUUUAACUCCCGCUGCAUCUUCACACACAACAAGAACAAGCACAACUCUCACUUCGUCAAUCACCUAGAUAACACAAUUCGACUUAGUGACCAAACAAAACAAGUGAUUACCAUUUACAUCAACUAGUUAUUAUAACUUAACCCGGAGAAUUGCCACAUCGAGGCAAUCCUCUUAUGAGACCUCCCAAGGUCACCGGAACCCCAUGAACAGCCUUUACAUUCAAAUUCCAUAAACCGAAACCGAAAGGAAACGAAUUCCGGAAAAGCCCUAACAUGCUCAAGCAACUCCGAAACCUACAAUCUGCAUGUUCACUUGCUCGUAUCGAUGAGUAAAAGCUUACAAUUACCACAGACCUCCCAACCUCUGCUGGACGCGCCACCACAGAUGGCGGCGAGUGGGCCCCACGCGCAGUCCCUACAACCUCAAAAUCUGGGCAAUCUCCCAACAACAAACUUGUAGAUCACAUCAAAUGGAACACUUUCCAUUCCUGUGGCCAAAGCUAAUUCAGCUAGAAAAAGGCCGGAAACGUCACCGGAAAGAAAUAAGAUGCACUUCGAAGCCAAAAGCUCCACGCUUCGAAUUAGGUUCCAAGGCUGGUAUCAUCAUGCUCAUAAGGUUAAGAACUUCCAGAAACGAGUAGCCUCAACCCUCAAUGUCGUCGGAAUCGAUUGGAGCUUCACCACCAAUAAAGGCAGUAACUUGCGUGCGUUGCUGCAUUGUGCACAGUGAUCCAUAGGGUGUGAGGCUAGUAUGAAUAGAAAGACGGGAGUGAGAGCUUUCCAACAAUACCAAGCACGCACAAAUCCAUCACCGGACGGCCGAGUUGUGGCCGAAAGAAGUUUGACGGCGAAAAUGGAGAAGGGAGAGAGAAAAAUCUGAUUUUUUUUAAGUUAGGGUUUUUUGAAAAUACCCAAAAAAUUCCUAUUUAUACCCCUUCCCAAAAACUUUGACUGACCAUAACUUCCUCACACGAUGUCCGUUUUUCCCAUGCCACGUGCCCACGAACUCGUAUCGCCGUGCUCUAUAACUUUGGAGAAGGAAGUUUUAUGAGAAACCCAACUGAUAAAAAAUCAACUCUUUGCCCCUUCGGAUAAAUACUCUUCUAGCCAAUAAUCAUUCUGAACACUCCCACUCUUCUCUCGAGCCACGAAUCCCAUUAACUUCUAACUUGAUAAAUUCCAAAAAAAUAAUAGAAAUUAGUAACAAAAACUCGGGGUAUUACGUUCUACCCUCCUUAAAGAAAUUUCGUCCCCGAAAUUUAAACGUGCUAGUCCACCACAAGUGUUGCUAACUCCCCCUCCAAAAUUAGGUUCACAAUCCCCAACAAUUACUCUAGUCCUGAUGCGUCCACAAGCCAUUCAAGUUCCCUCACUAUAUUGUCAUACCACUUCAUAGGAAAACAACGGAACAUUACCCAUGAACUUAACUACCCGGACUACGUUGUCCAAUACUCAUUAGAAGCAACAAUCGACUUGACACCUAGAAGACCAACGCAAUACACCACACUGUCCCCUCUAGACUUCUCGUGAAACACGGCUCUGCAUACUACUCUUACCACUACGCCACUAAGAAUAACAAAACACACGGACUAAAUGAAAAUGUAUGUGAACUCAGUUCAAAACAAUAUCUGCAUCAUGUUGUCGUUCUUCAACUAUAACUCCAUAAGUUUUCAAAAAAAAAUUAUCACUCAAUAGAAAUCAAAACUUUUACACUUCCUAAGUUAAUAAAUCACGAAGUCAUCAAAUCCACACAAAUCCUUCAUACAGGUAUAGAAUAUGCAUCAUCACUCAAUAACUGUUAAACCACUUCAUAACAAAAAACCAUUAAGGUCAAAUCUCAACCAAUUCAUAAGGUGACCUCGAUUUCUAUAAAACAAUACUACAAAAAGGGCUCAUUCAAACGUCAACAACCAUUUCUAAACUCAUGAUCAGCUAAGACCAAGCCUCGAUCGAUCAACACAUAAAUCAUAAUAUCGUAUCACACAAGCAAAAAUAAUCAGAGUGGUAAGGAAUCUCUACCACCCAUUGAAGAAAGACGUAUCAACCAAGAUAACAAAACAACGACACACUGCAACAUAUUGUCAACAACAGGGGUUUAACCAUGCACCUUAGGCAAAACCCAACGACCACUCUCAGCAACUGCCUUUGUCAUUUCUCGAGAUCCCUAUAGUCGCCCUCGCUCUUUGAGAAACCUGAAACUCCUGCUUGAAACUCAAGGACCUAGUUAAGACAAGUACCACAAUAAGUAGCAAACAAGGAGCCCCUCCGAUCAUUUGAUUCGAUCCCCGUUAAACCUUUUGAGUCAAGGACCCUAGGUUCCAUAGGGGCAACAAACCGACACAAAUAUGAGAAUCCGGGUCUCGUAGUCAUGAUACUCAUAGUCCCCUAAGCUAGAGUGACAAAUUACAUCCUCGACCUUCCCUGAUCAACCUAGAUAGAUAUGUAGCAUUCACUCCCCCAACAACAGACAAAGCACGUGGUACUUCCCUUCAUCCCUAAGAUAGAAUUCUCUCUAAGGGAGAAUCAUUUCCCAACUCCCCAAUCUGACCCCUGUGAGGAUCUGUUACUUGUUGAGUAACCAACGAUGGGUUCACUUGAAUAAACUUAAACACAAGUUUAAAUCACACACAACAGACAAACUAACAACUAACCACGACAUCAAUACAAGAAAGAUAGACUUCCACAAUCAAAUCUGUGAAGCCAAAUAAGAGUUUCAAUUUAGAGGUUCUUAUUCCUCAUAAGACUAAAACUCAAAACAUGUCACUCAAAUCCCACACACUUUACCUACUGAGCCAACCUAUGCUCUGACGACCUAACGCUCAAGACAACACCUUAGACUCUCGCAUACCCAAUGACAUAUCAGUACCAAGGAGUAUGAUGGGGAUCCGCUGCAGUCGGACCAUCACUCAAAAGAUAUUGAUUAUCACCAAAUAUGCAACCCUAAGCUCUGAUAUCAAAACUGUCACACCCCGAAUUUUGACUAAAAAAAAAAACAAUUUCGAGAGUGCAAUAACUCAAAACAAAGUCAAAUAUUACAUCAUUAUAGUUUUACAACUUGUGAAUAUAAUUUGAACAAUGUAAACCUCAUUCAAUACUCACAACAAUCUAGAAAGUAAACAAAAAGAUUAAUGCCUAAUUGCCGCAGCCUCAACUCUGUUAAUCCUGAGCUGCAAAAUCAACCUCUCUACACCAUGAAUUGGUGCACCGGAUUGUAAACAACGAACCCGAUAAGCUUUAAAAGCUCGUAUGAGUAACUCUAACUUAAAGAACUCAACCCAAAAUCACAUAAGGUAAAACUGGUAAUUCCUGGAUUAAAAACUUAGUUCAGGAAAUCACCUAAAAGCAAGAGAAUUCAAAAUAAAGUAAAUAAGAAAUCACGACAAUUCAAAAUCAAUCAAAAUCAUAAUCGAAUCAUGCAAAAAGUGUAGUUCAGGAAUUCCGCUAAAAUCACACAAUUAAGAUUAAAGAGUCUCCUGCGGAAAAACAUAGUUCAAGAGAUACUCAAAGCAAGGAAUUUAAAUGACAACACGUAAGAAAAUCACACAAUCAUUUCUCCACCCUUACUUAUGAGUUCGGCAACACUUAGUCAUCCUCCAUAAGUAACUAGGCAAACACAUACUCAUGGGUUCAUCAACACUUAGUCAUCUCUCAUGAAGUAUCGAUAGACAGACUAGAGCGAUUUGCAGGCCUUGUUGCAUUGUGCACAGUGAUCCAUAGGGUGUGAGGCUGGUAUAAAUAGAAAGAGGGGAGUGAGAGCUUUCCAACGAUACCAAGCACGCACAAAUCUAUCGCAGGACGGCCGAGUUGUGGCCGGAAGAAGUUUGGCGGAGAAAAUGGAGAAGGGAGAGAGAAAAAUCUGAUUUUUUCUAAAGUUAAGGUUUUUCUGAAAAUACCCAAAUUUUUCCUAUUUAUACCCCUUCCCAAAAACUUUGAUUAACCAUAACUUCCUCACACGAUGUCCGUUUUUCUCAUGCCACGUGUCCACAAACUCAUAUCAUUGUGCUUUAUAACUUUGGAUAAGGAAGUUUUACGAGAAACCCAAGGGAUAAAAAGUCAACUUUUUGACCCUUCAGAUAAAUCCUCUUCUAGCCAAUAAUCAUUCUGAACACUCCCGCUCUUUUCUCAAGCCACGAAUCCCGCUAACUUCUAACUUGAUAAUUUUCAAAAUAAUAAUAGAAAUUAGUAACAAAAACUCGGGGUAUUACAAGCUGUGAAGACUGCGUGUUACCUCAUCAACAGAGCACCAUGUGUAUCUCUGGAAUUUGAGACUCCAAAUGGAGUUCGGACUGGCAAAGAUGCAUCAUACUUGCAUUGUAAAGCAUUCACACAUGUAUCCAGGGAGCAGAGAUCAAAGCUAGAUGACAAGGCGUUGCCAUGCAUAUUUGUUGGCUAUGGCGAUGAAGAGUUUGGCUACCAAUUGUGGGAUCCAAAGACGAAGAAAUUCAUAAGAAACAGAGAUGUGGUGUUUCAUGAAAACCAAUCAAUUGCAGAUUUCGAUAAGGAGGUACUAUCGAGAAAUGCAACAACUGACAGCCGCAUUUAUGAUUCACCGUUGCAACAGGAAUCUAAUGUUGGGCUACAAGGUGAUAAAGUUGAAGGUGUACCAGACAUGGUCGAUGCUGAAGUCGAAGAUGAGGGAGAGCUUGAUCAGGGGGAGCAUCAUGUGAAUAAUCAAGCAGCAGUCCGCAGAAGCACCAGGAGGCCGAUUCCAUCCAACAACUAUCCAUCGUCACAAUAUAUUUUGGUGACUAACGGUGGAGAUGAUCCUUAUGUUAUGAAAAUUACAUCCUCUUGACCAGUGACGGAGAGCCUGAAAGUUAUGAGGAAGCAAAGAUUCAUCAAGACCAGGACAAAUAGAGGCUAGCCAUGGAGUCUGAGAUAGAGUCUUUACUGAAGAACGGCACCUACGACUUGGUGAAACUUCCUAAAGGCCGGAAAGCACUCAAGAACAAGUGGGUGUUCAAGCUGAAGUUAUAUGAGAAUGAGAAGCUGACGAAGUACAAGCUCGUUUAGUUGUCAAAGGAUUCAGCUAGAAAGAAGGAAUCGAUGUUGAUGAGAUUUUCUCACUUGUUGUCAAGAUGACUUCGAUUAGAGUCAUUUUGGGCAUGGCUGUGAUCAUGGAUCUUGAGGUGGAGCAAAUGGAUGUGAAGACUGCAUUUCUUCACGGUGAUUUAGAAGAAAAAAUACACAUGGAGCAACCAGAAGACUUUAAAGUCAACAGAAAGGAGCAUAUGGUUUGCAAGUUGAAGAAAAGCUUGUACGAUUGAACCAAGCACCAAGACAGUGGUACAAGAAGUUUGACUCCUUCAUGGGGAGUCAUGGGUACAAGAGAUCAUCAGCUGAUCCGUGUGUGUAUAUUCAACAACCCGCUAGAGGUAAUUUUAUCAUCUUACUACUCUAUGUAGAUGUGUUGGCUCAAAAAUCGUCUCGGCCACAUGUCAAUGGGCCGAGGGCUUCUUUGGGCUACACGUGUCAUGUGGCUUGGUGACGUGUGCAAUGGCAUGCCAACUCUCGGUCGAGAGUCCAAACGAGAUUUUGUUCUGAUCUGUAGAUGCGCUGUCCUGACUUCUAAUCAGUCGACUGUGGGCCGAGGAAGGAUCGAUCUCAGUCGCAGGGUUCUCUUUGCCUUGGAUGCAAGGACUUUAACACAGAUUGGCUUACUAGCCAAUCUUGGUGAUGUGUGACUAGGUGAAUGUUGUGAUGGUGCAAGUGAUGUGAAUGCAGGAAUGUAAAGUGUAGAAAUCUUAAAGAAAAGGUAAAGAACAUGAAUGCAAAUUGCAAGAAAAAUAGUAACGAACAGUAAGAUAAAUUACAAGUAUGAAAAGAACAAUAAAGUAAAUUGCAGCAAAAGAAGAACAAGUACCGGUAAAGUAAAGCGAUAAGAUAAACACGAAAAGGGUUGAUAAUUGUGCUGAGAAGCUGAAUUUUAUUGAGAUAGAAAAUUUGUAAAUCGCGUUGAGCGUUUGGUCGAGGACCUCUAACAAAGAAUCCUAAGGUCUUUUUUAUAGUGAAACAAAAUAAAGAAAUGUAAUCCCGGCUUUAAACAUAGGGAUUGAUUAUAGGUAAAUCAUAGAUUGAAAUUGUAGUACGUAACGUUGAUUCAAGCAAUAAAAUGCUUUCAAGCACAUUCAAUCUGAUUGAAACAUGUUCGGUAAUGGCUCCCCUGAAUGCGCUCUGGCACGGUAGUCAUUCAUUAAUGACCACGGUAAUUCUCAUAGUCGGCCGCGGUCAUUGCGCUCCUGGCACUUUAGUCAUUCAUUAAUGGUCGCGGUAAUUCGUAUAGUCGGUCAUGGUCAUUCGCCAAUAGCCACGAUCACUUGCCUUGUCGUGCAUGUUCUAUUGCAGAUCAAGGGAAUAGACCGCUAUAACCCCUCAUUAAUAGCCGUAAUCAUUCGUGGGCCUAACCCACUUGAUCUACCAUGUAAGCCUAGCCAAAUUUUGGUUCAAACAAAAUGAUAUGUUGAUCAACAAAGAUACUGUUAUGAUUCAGCAGUUAAAAACAGAUUUGUCAGAGUUCUUUGAUAUGAAGGAUUUGGGACUAGCCAAGCGGAUUUUUGGCAUGGAGAUUUCCAGUGAUCGAGGAAAUAAGAAAUUGUGGUUAUCACAAGAAAAAUACAUCGAGAAGGUACUGGAGAGGUUCCAGAUGGAGAAAGCAAAACCAGUUGUUACUCCUCUUGCCAGUCACAUGAAGCUCAGCUCAAAGCACAGUCCUACAAGUCAAAAGAAGGAGGAAGAAAUGGCAACAAUGCCAUAUGCCUCAACAGUAGGGAGUUUGAUGUACGCGAUGGUUUGUACUACACCAGACAUAACACAUGUAGUUGGUGUUGUUAAUAGAUUCUUAUCUAAUCCACGCAAGGAGCACUAGAAUGCUAUUAAGUGGAUUCUGAGAUACUUGCGGGGAACUUUAAAGAUGAGUCUAUGCUUUGGAAAUGUCAAAUCUGAAUUGGUUGGCUACACAGAUGUAGAUAUGGCCAGAGAUAUUGACAUGAGAAAGUCUAUAUCAGGGUACCUGAUUACAUUUUCAAGGGGAGCUGUCUCAUGGCAAUCAAAGCUACAAAAAUGUGUUGUUUUAUCAACUACAGAAGCAGAGUAUAUUGCAGCUACGGAAGCAUGCAAAGAAAUUUUGUGGUUGAAGAGAUUCCUACUGGAAUUAGGUCAUUCACAACAAGAGUUUGUCCUUCAUUGUGACAAUCAAAGCGUAAUUCACUUAAGCAAGAAUUUGAGUUUUCACUCGAGAUCGAAUCAUAUUGAUGUGAGGUAUCAUUGGAUACGUGAUGUGCUGUGUGAGACCCCGUAAAGUUAUAGCUAUAUGUAUUGCAGUCACGAAUGAUUUUAGUAAAUGAUUUAUAUAGUGGACGGACAUUACUUGGUUUAGUUGGGUUCGAGAAGUUUCAUUUUUGAAUCGGGCCUAUAGUGUAAGCUUGGAAUUACCCGAUUGGGUCACAUGUUUGGGCCUAAGGAGGGCAACAUUGUAAUUAUAUAUAUAUGAGCUACAAAUUGAUAAACUUUGUGUAGAAUGACCAGAAGCUUCUCCCGUUUUCUUUCCCUCUCCUACGAACACUCUCGAUAUUGAUCACUCUCUUUCUUUCUCUCUCUGUCUCUCUGUUCAAGUUCAAGAAGGCAAAGCUGCUAAAUAUUCAUGGUGGGAUGUUAAUCUUAAGUUCAAGGAUACAACAGAGAUGGAGUUUGGGUCGUUUGACUAUGUACCAUCGACACCGAUUCGAGUUGUAGAAAGCCACAGGCAUGAACGUUAUUCUUCUUCUCUUAGCAUAUUGAGGUAAAGUCCUAAGAACCCAUAGAUUUGGGAUUUCUGAUUUUGAUAGAUUGGGUUCUAAUUAUUCUGUUAAUUGGAAUGCCAGUGACAGAAUUUCGAGUGGAAUUUGAGUUCCAAGGAAAGAAGCAUGAAGUCCAUGGAGAGUUACUGAAUUUGAAAAGGGAGAAGUGAUCGAUGGAGCUGAAAUGAAAGAAUGGAAGAUUUCCAGUAUAAUUACAAAAGCAAGGAUGGAGAUAUGUAUUUCAGAAGAAGGUAAGAUCCUUUUUACGAAAGUGAAUGGCAUGUGUUCAGUAUUUGGAAUUUGGUAUUGAUGAUUUGUAUUUCUAUCAAUGAAAACAGAGCAUAUGGCGAUCAAUUGCUUUGGUCCAUCAACGCAUCAAAAAGGAAAAAGUUUCCAGUAAAUAAAGUACAAGGUGAGUAGGUGAUCACUUUGGACAAGUAUUGUUAGACUUGGUUGUGUUUGGCAUGGACAUACUUUAGUGAAAGUAUUAUAGAGCAACUGUAAAUAUGCGUUGAUCACUUGCUAUGUACGAUAUGGUUUUGAUCCUAUGGUAAUAUGCUGCAUUAUAUGUCCAGAAAUGACAAAGUUGGAAACUAGCUAUUUUGAAGAGUAUAAUUGAUAUAUUAUUGGUAUCUGGAAAUUUUUGUUGUUGGGUGUACGUAGUAAAUUCUAUCAUCUAGCUUAAAGGCAUAUCGGUUUGGUUUAAAUCACGAUAGGGAUAGAAAGCAUAAGCUGCUGGACAUGUUUUGAAAUAUUGAUAACUAUGUGUUUCUUGAAUGGAACACUUGUUAUAUAGUUCCAGCAUGUUCAUUGAAAUACUAUCUAUGGAAGUGGAGAAUCAGUUUACAUGACAACAAUUCAUGGCAAUAGGAAUGAUUAAAGCAUUUGAAUGAGAAAUCAAUUAGGGUCAGAUGCUCUUAUAUUGAUUAAAUUAUGAGCCAUUAUUAAUUGGCUAAAUAUACAUUGAGCUAAGCUCGGUCCUUAUAGCUAGUUAUAGUUGGCUAUCACCUUAUAUGAUAAUGGUGAAAUACAAAAGUGUUGCUGUGAUCUUGAUAAGUUUUUGAAAGAAUCCUAAUUGAGGAUUAAGGAACUAAUAUUUGGAUUUGUCGGACAGAGCUCCGGUUCUCGAGUUCUCGAGUAUGGUGGUGUUUGCCGAUGAUUGUGGAGCAAAGACUCGGACUCCAGGAAUGCCAGGUAGGGGAUUCUAGACUCUUCUUGGCUAGUGGUUUUUCGUAUAUUAUAUAUGAAAAAUGAUCGCAUGGCUGUGAUUGGUUUAUUAUAAAGAUUUGAUAUUUCUAUUGCCAUGCUUGUUUUCAAUGUUUUCAAUAUUGUGUGAUGACUUGAGAGUGAGCGGGGCAUAGUGACUUCCUUGGGUUUCGAUCCCCUAAACCUCCGGAGGGGCUGUACGGACUGGAGGACACCUGACAUCCUUUGAGGUGUGGCGUCGCUCCUAGGAGGUAUGGCGUAAAUGGACACUCUCGUUACACCUUGCCGGUAUGGACGAUAUUAAUUGUGGUAAGGUUGUAGUUGGCAUAAGAGGACCGGUCAUCAGGUUUGUGUAUUCUGGGCGCGCAGAUAUUUUUCUAAAUGAAACUUAUACUUUGAUCAUGAUUUAUAUUUAUAUUUGUUUUCACAUACUGGCUAAUAAAUUAAAUAGUUUUCAAACCUAGUUGGUUGAGUCUUAAUGAGCUGCGAGGACGAAAGCUCACCCCUACAACAGUUUUGGAUGCAGGUUCUGUGCACAAGAACGGGAUUGAACUGGAUUGAGCUGGGUGUGCAUAUUUGAUUAAAGUUAAAUGUUUUUUUCUAAAUUUGUUAUCAUAUGUAAGGCUUCCAUUUUAUAUCGUGAUUACUUGAUACAUUUCCUUGUGUUAUAUUUGAAAACCUUAUUUGAAGUUGUUAGUCUGUCAGCUACUUUAUUUUAUUUUCGUGACAUUGUUAUCCGUACUACCAAGGAAAUAUGUUUUAGUUAAUCUUGGCUAUGUUUAACUGGAGUAGUUAUUUCACAUUAGUUUUGCUUUAUAGCUUGAUUCAAAGGAAGUAAAUCUGUUUUAUUAUAAUGUUUCCGACUUUAACUUUGAUUUUCAAUUUAUAAAAGUUUUAGUUAGUUUAAUUAAAAUGCCUUGCGGGUUCUUAGGGCUUGAGUGAUGGGCCCUAGCUUAGGUUCUAAGAGAACGCGGCACUGUAAUGUGCUCGAUUUGAUGAGGUGCAAAUCGGGGCGUUACAUGCUGGAAGCUAAGGAAUUACUGCUAAAGAUGAUUCAUACAGACAAUAACAGUUCAGAUAUGAUGACGAAGUCUUUACCAAAAGAGAAGUUUGACUUCUGCAGAAGUGCGUCAAGAAUGACGCAUCCUUCCAAUUAAGUCGGGAGGGCGAGAUUGAUGGGUCAAAUUUCCCUCCUUAUUUGGAGGAGGAUGUCAUAUAGUUUACUACAUGUGAAAAACCUUUCGGUGAAGCCUCAAGACCCAUUCAAUUAACCAAGAGGAAAGAAUAGCAAAGUUGGUGGUGUGUAUAUGUUGAAAUGCAAGAGAGAGCCUAUAUGUAUAGGCUUGUGGGUGGCUGAAAUGUUUGACAAAAAGAAUAGAGAUGUAUUGAUGGUGCAUACAAAUAUUGAAGCUUCAAUUAAGGAAGAAGUUUGAAUUCUCUUCCUCGUGCAUGGACGUGAAAGAUUUGCAUGGGAAAUGCAUGAAGAAGUUUGCCUAUAUAAAGGCAUGAGCAAUGAUGCAAUCGAUAUACCAGUGAGUUCAUAUUGUGUUAUACAAGAGUGUGAGAUAGAGAGAAAACUCUAAGUCGAGAGUUUGUGUGUGUAGCAAAACAAAGUGAUAAGUGUGAGAGUGUAUCCCUUCAAGAGUGAGUCUUGAAGUAGUGUUUCUCUCGCUGUAACCUUUAUUCGUAUAGUGGAUGUUUUUUGUUGUUGUUGCCCCGUGGACAUAGACAUUUUGCCGAACCACGUUAAUUCUCGGUGUUCUUUUCAUUUUAUUUCCGCUACAUUUUACAUUUGUGGUUGUGAGUUUUUUAUUCCAUUCUACAGUUUAUUCUUCUGCAAUAACCCAACAUGGUAACCUUGGUCGUUUGAAAGGAUCAGGGACACCGAAACCUAGAGGAUCCCCGAUAAUUCCAGGAAAACCAGGUGCAAAUGGAAUUGGCUCCCUCAUUGGGAUGAAACCAGGCAUAUAUAUUAUGAUCUCUACACAUCACCAAUGCCUUCUUCUGUUGCUCCCUAUCCUCCCACUUCCCAGCAAACCGAAACUUCCAGUAACCUGUUCCUCUUGCUCCCGACACAAACUCCUCCGGAAACUUCUGCUUCCACAGCUUAUCAUUAUUGGCUAGAUUUUGUAGUUCCUUCCACAGUUCUUUGCUUCACCAUUCUUGUUUCUUAAUUUGCUUCGCUAGCUAAUGAGUGUAUACGUUGUUGGUUUGGUACCAUCAACCAUUAUGUUUGGUCGUCAAUUGGGGCGGGAGUGUCAUGGCCCCCAGCAGCAAUUUCAAAUUUCCCUUUCAAUUAUAGUUUAAUAGCAUAUAAUUAUGGGAAAAUUCUAGUAUACCACAUGGUAUAGCAUGCCUCACACAAUGUGUGGUUAUCAUUGAUUGAAGAAGCAACUAAAUGACCAUGUAAUGACCACUUACCCCUUCAAAAGCUCCCAUGUGUCAUACAAUUAGACAUAUUUGCAAUAGGCAUGUCAUACCAUAUGGUAUGAUAGACAAACCCAUAAUUAUGUAUUCAGUUUAAGAAUUUGGUAUAUAUUUGCCCCUUCAAAAAUUUUGGCUCCUCCAGAAUUUUGUUCGAAGUUCCGCCACUGUCGUUGAUGUUAGGUUCCAAGCCUUAAUACCAACAACUGAACCCUAAAGACAAGUACCAUCUAUUGCAAAACCACCAUAAGUUAGCAAAAUGAAAACACACAUCAAAUUACAGAAACACAUUUUCUUUGUAAAAGACUUUUUAACAAUGAGACAACUCCUCAAUCAACAUCAGCUAGCGAUGAACCAGAGAUCGAUGCAAUGAACUCCUCAAUGUUCUUGUUAGAGCUUCCAUCUUCAUCCACAGCCUUUCUAGCCGAUUCUUUCAAUGCUAUAGCAUUUCUCUGUAUUUCUUUUCCCCUCUGUCCCUCCAAUAUUUCACUUACACAAUGCUCUACUUCUUCUUGCCUCACAAUCCCUUUCUCAUCAACUUGAGCUUUGAUCCCAAUUUUCCACACAUCCAUAAUGUACUUGGCAUUGGUGCUCUGGUCAGUCCAUCGAGGCAUUGCAACCAUUGGCACCCCCAAACUCAAAGCCUCCAAUGUGGAGUUCCAACCGCAAUGUGUAAUGAAGCUACCAACUGCUUCAUGAGCUAAAACCUCCAAUUGUGGACACCAGGAAACCACCAAACCCGUUGCAGAUGUCUCCUCGACAAACCCUUUCAGCACCUUCCUUGCUUCUGAUUCUCUAAUCACCCACAAGAAUUUUCUUUUGCUACUCCUCAAUCCGAAAGCCAGUUCCUCCAUUUGCUCAGCUUCAAUUUCUGCUCGGCUUCCAAACGACACAUAAACAAUAGACCCCUUGGUUUGUUCAUUGAGCCAUUUCAUGCAGGCAUCACUCUUUGGUUUAAACAUGUUGAAACCAUAGUCUUUAUCAUCUUUAAGACACCUAUCCAAGUAAUGGGAUGGUAUAGGUGGUCCAAUGGUCUUCAUUGGCCAAACCUUUCCCAUCCAAUCCACCGCCUAUAUAUGAAGAGCAAUAUUGAUCGAUUAAGACUACUUAGUUCAUGAUAAAAAUUAAUCAGUCUAGUAAUGUACGUGGUAUACACAAUGUCUACAAAGAUGCCAUAUGAAUGCUACAGAAUGUCUACAAAGAUGCAUAUGGUAUAGGCAACAUUGAUCAUUAGCUUAUGAAACUCCAAAUCAUAUGAAAGCCAAAAAGUGACUAAAAUAAGGGAAAUAAUUCCUAUAUACUUACUUGCUCUUCCAACUCAUAAAAUGUAUUGCAGAGGACCCAAUCAGCCUUGUCAACAUUGUAGAACUGAUCCACAACAACCAGUUUAUAGGCGGCCGGGUAAGACCCGAAAUCAGAUAGAAAGGAUGGCAGGUCUGAGGGCUUAAGUGUCAGCAACCCUGAAGCGAUAUUUCAGACUCAACAACAGGCAGUUUCAGCGAUCCAUUCUUCACAUGGUAGUAGAUGGUGUUUACAGCACAAGACUGUGUGAAGAAGAUAGCCCCAAGAAUACCAAAUUUCUUGGCAAUAUCCAGAGGCCAAGACAAGAAUGCAUCAUAAACAAUACAAUCAACUGGUAACCCUAAGCUUGAAAGCUUCUCAAGAAGCUCAGCCAAAGUUUGUGACCCUGAUAUCCUCAAGCUUUCUAAAUAGACAUCUAUGCUUCCUGCUUCUGCUCUCCCACCUUGAUCAAAACCAUCAGAGAUCGUCUCCAGUGGAAUAUUACUGGACCCUGACCUGUGCAUUGUCUUCCAUAAAAAGCGAGUGGUAACCAGCGUCACUUUGACUCCUUUAUGCUCUAAAAGCUUAGAGAAUUGGAGCAUGGGAUUGAUAUGGCCUUGGUCAGGAUAGGGUAAGACCAAGCAGUGAGCUCUGUAGGCUCUUUGUUGACCCUUCUCCAUUUCUCUAUCUAUGUCUUGCAUAGGAAAGCCACAACAAUGGCAGUUUAUGUACUGAUGAAGAAUGAAUAUGAUGAAUACACAAUUUAUGAACCAAGUGAUGAAACUCAGUACGUCUCUUAGUCCUUUGGACAUGAAUUUCCAAAGAUGAAUGUUUUUAUAUUUAGGGAAGGUGGAAUAUGAGGGUAAUCUAAAAGAACACUAGUGUAGAACCCAAAUGCAAGUGUUCAACCACAAGAGUUGGAAAUCCAUAAUAAAAAAAGGAAAACUGCUGCAGGAAAAGUAUGGUAUAAUCCAGAGGGACCCUGAGGUUUUGUUUACUGCAUAAAAUUAACAUAGAAUAUAUGAAAAUUGAACGGGCCAUUUUAGUUCGUAAUUCAAAAAUAUUAGUCAAUUUUCAAUAACAACAGUAUGUCUUGGACAUACAUAAUCAAUUUUUGUUUCAAUUCUGAAGCCUAGGCCCAUGACAAUAAAAAUAUCAGUUAUCAAUAAUCAACUAUUAAACUUAUAUAAAGGAGUCACUGAUGUAUAGUAAACUAGUGCAACUAAUUAAGGCAAAAUAAUACUAGGGGUAUACCAGCAUUAGGAAUUCAGGCAGGCAUCAUUUUCAUAAGAAACUGGUUCUUUCCCAAGUCAUGUUACAAAGCAAGCAAGUGCAGAUGCCCCAUCAAUAUUACUAGUGUGUAAUGAAGCACCCAACAGCCUCAUGAACCAAAACCUCUAGUUGGGAGAACCAUGAAAGUUGAAUCAAGAUGAACUGCACAAUCAGGAUUCAGGAACCAAGAUGAAGUGCACUGUCAUCCGACGAAAGCGUAAUGGUCAAAAUGCUAUAAUAAUGUGAAGUUGCAAGCCAAGUCUCUAUACAUCUCUUUGUUGCAUUAUGACUAAAAACAAUGUUUGGGACAACUACUAACCGACUCUUGGUGGUGCUUAAACAUAGAAUAUCACUCUAAGUGUUGAAUAUGAAUCAAAAGAAAUAAGUGAAUGUUCUCAAUGAUUAACCACAGUACCAGUACCCCAAUUAAUUUUUGGGUCUCACUUCUCCUCUUUCAUCGUUAAACAUUAAAAUCUGAAACAGAAUUAAGUAAACUACUUUGCAUCAAGAAAAGAAUCAAUCUUCAAAAGCAAAGAAAAUAAAAGGUUAAAUUAUGGGAGGGAAAAGCCAACACCACAAGAUUGAUCUCUUAAUUGUAAGUAGUGGCAUCAGAACGAGUUGCGUAAAUUUGCAUUAUUUUGUUUUUCAUCACAAGAACAAUUCUUAUUCUCAAAAUAGACAAUUCAAGGAUUCAAAGGACUUGUAACAGAACUACAUAGGAAAGGCCCUAACUGAAGCCAAACUAAUGGAAUCAUCAGUGUAAAGGCGUGCAAUAGUACAAUAGAGAGAGAGGUACCAAAGAAGUUGCAGAGUUUCAGUGAACUUGACACUUGAGCAACUAUUAAUGCUUAACCAACGUCUCAAUGAACUCAUCAAUGUUUCUGUUGGAACUUCCACCGUCAACCACUGCCUUUCGAGCCAAAUCUUUCCAUUUCAUGGCAUUCUUUUGUAUUUCUUUUCCUUUGUCCCUCUCCAUGAUUUCAUUAAUACAAUGCUCAACUUCUUCUCGCCUUACAAUGCCUUUCUCAUCAGGUUGAGCUUUAACCCCUAUUUCCCAAACAUCCUUAAUGUACUUGGCAUUGGUGCUUUGGUCAGUCCAUUGCGGCAUUGCCACUAAUGGAACUCCUAAACUCAGAGACUCCAAAGUUGAGUUCCAACCACAAUGUGUAAUGAAGCACCCAACAGCCUCAUGAGCCAAAACCUCUAGUUGGGAGCACCAUGAAACCACCAAACCCUUCUCAGCUGUCUCCUCGAUGAACCCUUCGGGGACUUUAGCUGCUUCUGAUUCUCUAACCACCCACAAGAAUUUGCUUUUGCUCCUCUUCAAACCCCACGCCAGUUCCUCCAUUUGCUCAAGUCCAAGUUGUGCAGCACUGCCGAAUGAGAUGUAAGCAACAGAGUUCUUCGGAUGUUUGUUUAACCAUUUCAUGCAUGCAUCAUUGCUGGAUUUAAAGAGGUCAACGCCAUAACCUUUGUCGUCUUUAAGUCGGUUAUCCAAGUAGUUAGAUGGUAUAGUUGGUCCAAUGGUCCUCACAGGCCAAAACUUUGCCAACCAAUCCACCACCUACACAAGAGCAAAACAAGGAAGCAAGAUAAUUGACAUCAGUAAGCUUAGUUCUGUGGUUAUAUAGCAACUGGUUUUGGAACUUAGAUUCAUAUAAAAACCAUGAUAAAAAAUUAAGAUCUCAAAGCACCAAGAAGAAUAUAUAAGCAAAUGAGACAGAUGUAAGAGACCAUGGUUGUAUACUUGUGUGCGUGUGUGUGUGUGUGUAGUAGUCUCUAAUGUACUCACUUGUUCUUCCAAGUCAUAAAAUGUGUUGCAGAGGACCCAAUCGGCUUUGUCGACAUUGCAGAACUGACCGAUAACAACUUCAAAGAAAGCUGGAUAAGACCCGAAAUGGGAUAGAAAAGAUGGCAGGUCCAAAGGCUCAAGUGGUGGCAUCCCAGGAAGAGAAAUUUCAGAGUCAGUAAGAGGAAGUUUCAGUACCCCUUUGUUGACAUGAUUGUAAAUGUUGUCAACAGCACAAGACUGAGUAAAGAAAACAGCCCCAACUAUUCCAAACUUCUUGGCAAUGUCCAAAGGCCAAGGCAUGAAUGCGUCAUAAACAAGACAGUCAACUGGGCACCCUGAGCCAGAUAGCUUCUCAAUGAGCUCAGCCAAAUUCUGCGACCCUACUUUCCAUAAGCUCUCCAAAUAGGCCUGGAUACUUACACCCUGCGUUUUCCAGCCUUCGUCGAAACCAUCAGAGAUGGCCUCCAGUGAGAUAGUCUCAAGUGCAGUGCAACAUGAUCCUUUGUACAUUGUAUUGUAGAUAAAACGAGUAGUGACCAGUGUGACUUUGACUCCUUUGUGAGCUAAAAGCUUAGAAAAUUGGAGGAGAGGGUUGAUGUGGCCUUGACUAGGAUAGGGAAAGACCAAGCAGUGAGCUUUGUAGUCUCUCUGUUCUUUCUCCAUUUCUCUGGUUUGGUUGUGUAUCUGUGUUGUUUGGAAAGAACUUCAGCUGCAAGGUAAUAUAUACUGCUGAAGUAUGAAGAUGAAGUGCACAAUCAGUCCACGAAACUAGUGGGUCAGAUAAGUCUUGUACACCAAGCCAUCUCCACAUAUGCUGAUGUGGUUGAGACUUGAGCACCAAGUUAUAUCUAUACGUCUCUUUGUUGCACAAAGCCCCAGAAACAAUGAUGUUUCGCUUGUGAAAAUGCAGCAAAAGGACAACUAUUGUUGGAUCCUGAGGUUUUAUAUAUAGCAUCUAUACAGAAUCAUUAUAUUCUGCCGGAAGUAACGUUAUAUCAUUGUUUUAGAAGUCGGUAAAAAUAAGUGCAAAGGUUUAUGAUUGACAUUGAUUGACCAGUAGUUGGGAGAAUUUGGGGAACUCAGAAUGUCAAGUACAAUUUGGCUUUUGCAUCAGUGCCGCGUGAGUGCACUAUACCUUGAAUGGAAAUCCUAAAAAGUUUAGCGUCUAGAUGAUCACCCUCUGCAGAUUAACAUGGACAACCCUGAGGCGUGUCAUUUGGAACCAUUUACUUGGUCUUUUAUGUCCCAGAAUACUCUAGAGGAGUGGAAGAAUGUUUAAACCCACACACCAUCAGAGAUGGUUCUGAGUGUGCUCCUAUUCCAUCCUGUCAAACUAUAUAACCUGAUGGUUCUGGGGUUUCAAGAAUGUAAAUAGGGGAUUCAAUGGCUGGGAAGAAAAUAACAGGGUUGCGAGGAAGGCAAGAACUGGAGUUAAAGUUUAGUCAGACAAUGUAUGAUGUACUUCGUAGAAUUUCUCAAAAUAAAAUUUUCUUUUAGUGUUCUACAAUCCACAUGCAAAUGAUUGAUAUCUGAUCACUCUAUAUCAUCACCAAAAAAAGGUUCUUAUUUGAAAUUGUGGUUUACAGUAACCAUGUAAGUCAUAAUCUAAGUCCAGUAUUCAUCUGCCUCGGCCAAAUCAACAUGAACCAUAUUAUGCUGGCAGAAUAGAUAUCGUUGAUAAAUUAAAGCAAGAUAACUUCUACAUGCAUGACAUUGUACUAGCAAUCAGCAAUGUAAUUACAGAACACUCAGAAUCAUAUUAUAUCCAAAAGCCAAAAGGUCAUCAAGACAAGAACAAUAUCCAACACAACUAAAACAGAUUAUUCUUCUGUCUUUUAGCUGUACUAGGAGAUCCAAGUAUGCUUAUUAUUUCUAUAAACGAAACAAGAACGGAUGAACCUGCAGCUUCAGUUGCAGCACUCAUCAGUGGAGAAGGUCCUGGACUAUCCACUGAAUCCUCCUCCCAGAUUGCAAUUGGGAGAGAAAGUAUUCCUCCUCCCAUGACGAAAUAUCACGGGCUGACCGCCACCAAAAGGGUAUGGUAACCUUGGUCGUCUGAAAGGAUCAGGGACACCGAAACCUGGAGGAUCCCCGAUAAUUCCAGGAAAACCAGGUGCAAAUGGAAUUGGCUCCCUCCUCAUUGGGAUGAAACCAGGCCUAUUAUGAUCUCUCCACAUCACCAAUGCCUUCUUCUGUUGCUCCCUAUACUCCCACUUCCCAGCAAACCGAAACUUCCAGUUACCUGUUCCUCCUGCUCCCGACCCAAACUCCUCCAGAAACUUCUGCUUCCACAGCUCAUCAUUAUUGGCUAGAUUUUGUAGCUCCUUACAAGCACAUCCCACUUUCGCAAUGUCAGCACCAGACAGCCUUUCCAAAAUAUUCAUCUUGACAUCCAACGGAAGGCACAUGAAGCUGGGUGGUUCCGGCAAACCAGCCUUUUCACAAAGAUCAAUCAGCAAUGGGUACGUAAUCCCAUCCUUGACAAUCCUCCAAAACUCAAAAAUUUCAAUUUCUGGGACAAAGACUUCACUGUCACUCACAUUCCUGCUUCCCCACACAAAAUCAAGCAUCGGAGCAAACCUCUCCACAUCCAAAGACACACGAUAAGGCCCAGAACCGCGGCCGCCACCGGCCAAAGACCCAUACACAUUAACAAAACGCCCCAAAGUCUGAAUCUUCAGCACCACAGCUUCAACCCCACCACCACCAUUGUCCCGAUUCUGCAGAAUCUCAGGCAAUGUAUACGAGAGGGACAAUGUAUAAGCCACAGCCGGCCAUUCUUUCGGAAGAUGACACCGGUCAGCCCGCGCACCCGAAACAGAAUCAAACCUUACAAAUCGAGACUCCGAUAGCACCGCGUGUAACGCAAUCACCAGUAGCUUGUGAUCGCUACGAUCUUCAGCCAACUCCUCCCUCAUUACUCUCCUCAAGAAAAACGGAACCGAGUACUUCUUCCUCACCACACCACUCGACUCCUCAUCAAUCUCCAUACCAGAUGAGCCUUCACCAAUUAGGGUUUCCGAAAUCGAAUUACUUCCAUCCAUUAGGGUUUGAGUAUCCGAAACCGCAUACCUCGCAUCUCCGGCAAUCGAAGCCCCUUCGCCAAUUAGGGUUUCCAUACCCGAAUCAAAGCUCGGAUCUUCAGCCAAUGCCUCGUCUUCGCCGAUUACGGUUUCGGAACCGGACCUCGGAUCUUCAGCCGUGGCCUCACCCGUGGAGGCGCCGUCGCCAAUUAGGGUUUGGGAGUAGAAGAUGAGGUCGCCGGAGGUGACGCCGAGGGAGGCGAGGGAGGCGUCGGGAGAGGAGGCGAGGAGCUCGUCGCGGCGGUUGAGGGAGAGGCGGAGGGAGGAGGAGGGAGCGGCGGAGAUGGAUUGGGAGAGGGAUUGUUUGAGGUGGUUGAGAGAGCAGAGAUUGGGGACCUCGAGUCGGAGCGUCUCUUUGGUUUCGAGGGAUCGUAGUCUCAGCUUCAUGGCUUUAUUCUCUCUGUUUACUCUGUAUCUGUUCUGGUUCUGGUUUUCGAAACUGGGAACAAGAAGCUGUGUGGUUCACUGAGCCAAAGAAACGAUUUUUCUCCUAUUUAUCUGGAAAUGAUUACAUAAUUACCAAAAUAGCCUUGGAUCUGAACCAACAGGAUCUUAAACUAGCUCUUCAGUCUUUAAUCAACAACACACGUAACAUUUCCUUACAUACUCCGCUUGGGUCAUGUGCCUAACACGACAUAACGACAUAAUGCAUGUGAUAUUGCCUCAUUAAAAAUUUUGUCAAGUAAAACAAAAAUUUUAUGGGCAAAACAAAAAAACUAGCUUGGAUAAAAGAGAAAAAGGGUACAACACACCAACUACAAUUAAAGAUUAAAUAUGAUAUAGACUUCUCAUGAUGUCUACAUAACGACUCCCCUAAUUAGUAACUCAAUCUCGAAGCAGAUAAACGACGCAUUUCAUUGCUCUUACAUGUUUCUCAAAAGUAGAUUUGGAUAGAGAUUUGAUGAAAAAAUCCGUUACAUUAUCCUCAUAAUUCACCUGGUUCACUUGGAUAUUAAAAAACUGUUGUUGUUGUUGAUUAUAGAAGAACUUCGGCAAGAUAUGUAUAGUAUUAUCACCCUUAAUGAAACCUAACUUCAUCUGUUCAAUGCAAGUCGCAUUAUCCUCAUAGAUGCAAGUUGGUUCAGUUGUAGUAGAUGUUAAUCCACUAGACUUUCGAAUAUGAGUCACUAGACUGAAGCCAAACACAUUCUCUAACUACUUCAUAUAGUGCAAUAAUCUCAGCAUGAUUUUGAGAAAGUAACAACAAGGGUUUGCUUGGUUGAUCUCCAAAAUAUCGUCGUAUUCCCAAUUGUGAACACAUAACCAGUUUAGGAACGUCUUUUAUGUGGGUUAGAGAGAUACCCAACAUUAGCAAAUCCAAUUAACACAUUAUUCGGUGUUUAAGAUAGGGGACUAGUCUACCGUGCGCAUGACCUACGCCUAUGGGCAUUGUCGGACACAAUCUCUAGGUGGGAGGCCAAGAGCUGUGUUCCACCAAUCCCAGGCUGGAUCUUUUGUUCUCUUGUUUCACUGUAGGGAAAGAACAAGCCUAAGUCAAUGGAACCUUGCUUAACACCAUUUCAAUGACGAUGAGUUGGCAUAGAGCUAAAUCUAACCAACAAGUUCACAAAGAAUGCAAUGUCUGAUCGAUGUGUUUUUUGUUACUAAUCGUGUGAUUUAUAUACCUUUCUAUCGAUGACAUGUGAGUCUUGACACGAGAGACUAAUUUUGUGACAAGACUAGAGGACAUUAGUUGGUAAUUUUAAGGAUUUGUAUGCCCCUCUUGUUUUCUUCAAAAUGAUUGGUACACUGAACUUUUUGUGUAUACGAAAUUCAAUGAGUAAGAAUUAUGUAUUGAGCUGAUUAUAGACUUCAUGAUAUAGUCUUUUGCGACUCUCAUUGCUCCAGUAUAAACAGGUUUCUGGUUAAAUGAUAGCUUAAUUCUUGGUGUCUCGCUGUCAGCAAACACGGCAUGGAAUAAAUAGAAGGGACGGCAUGGAAUAAUAGAAGGGUCAUCUGCAUUCUCAUUUGCAGUCGGUAAAACUCAUAGGUUUUUCCCUAAAGAAAUUGAUAUUGCUUGUAUAGCAGCAAAAAUGGAGAAUAUAUACAAGGUAUGGUGAAAGAAUACAAGGCAUCACAAUGGCUUGGAAUAGAAGGUUACUUGAGUCUACCAUGCUUGCAUACUAACCUGGAACUAUGUAUAUAUCAGUCUGUGAGCCUUCAUUCUUCCCUAGUUCUCUAUUUUGCAGUUACAAAGUGAGAAUAGAAAUAGUCAUCAAUCUACAAGAACAUAUGGACAUGCAGUUUUUGACUAUUUACAGAUCUCCCCUGAAGAACGGCGCAUUGAAAAAUGAGCUGGAGAAUGUUCCUCCGCCAUUGGGGAAUAGAGUGAGGAAACAUAUGAGUCCAAGGACACAACCCCAAGCAAAUCUGUCAUCCCCUAAUGGAGUGAUCUCAUCUUUUGCAGGUACUUCUUCUCCACCUCGGAAGAAGGUUGCAAAUAACCCCCAUGCCAAGCAAAGGACACUUCCACUCAGGCCACCAAUGCCAAGUAAAAGCGAUGUGGCAAAUGAUAGCAGAGUAGCUGUGCUUCUCCCAAACAUAGCUUGUGCAAUCCGGCCUCCCUCGAGCCUUCCACAAGGCAACAAGUUCAGAGAUGUCACAACCAUUCCUGCAGAGGAUAGAUAGUUGUCAGUACAUAACUUGUAUCCAUACUAGUUCUAUGUAUUUGAGGACCGCCUUUAGAUAAAUUACAAACCAUAUAUUCACUAAGACACUGGCUUGGCAUUAAGUAAUUGCAUCUUCCCCCAAAACCCAGAUUCUCAAUCAAGUCACACUUGUUUUCCACAAAUACAGACAACAAAGAUGGUCAAUAAUAGAAACAGAACAGGUGAUUUUAUACCCAACCCCAAUUUUCUAGCCAAUUCAUACUAGUUUCAUGUUUUUCUUUUCUUCUUCACCAUUUCAACUGGUUAAAUUCACAUUUAGACCUUGGGAAGAGUCUAAAGUCAUUUGCAUUUAUUCUGAUCAUAUGGAGUUACAGAAGCUAUAAUGCUUUGAAAGUGCCAAAGAGGUGAUCAAAAGGACCAAGUAGAGAUAGUAUAAACAGAAGCUGAGAUAGUAGAAUUGAGUUUCUGGGCAAAAGUUGACAUUUUUACCCAAAUAGCUGACCGCUACCAUAGUAAUUUUGCACUAAAAUAUUUUAUUUCAGGAAAAAAUAACUCUUAAUUGUAUGGGUUAAGAAGACCAAGGAACUCACCUAGAAGUCCAGCAAAAGCAAGGGGAUCAACAGGAACUCCAACACCUUCCACUGCAUUGGGUAGCACAUUUCCAAGAUCAUCAGCAUAAGGACCAAUAACGAAUUGGAUAAAAGAAAGCAGUGGGUUGUUGUCAAAGAACUGAGGCCUUAUAUACCUGCCAGGAAAUAAGAGAUGAUUGUUAGAACCAAAUAAUGAAGGGUGCUCUGAGGGAUGCCACAGUAUAGUGAAGAUUAUAGACCAGUAUUAAGAUAGGCAUAACAGUACUUUAAUAAGCGCCUCUACCGUUGCUUUACUUGUAAGGUUGUGCCCAAAAAUAUACAAGUAAAAGUUAUUUUUUGACAAUUUUUUUAACUUUUUGUUCCGAGGAAGGUUGAUAGACAUUACAAUGCAUUGUCACCCCCGUUGAAGCUGCCAUCCACCACAAAUGCAGCAACUGCAAGCAUCAGAGAUGUAAUAUAUGCACUAGCUGUGCGCGCCACUGGAAUAUCAAAGAGAGCUUUUUUAUUUGGAAGAAGUGAUUCAUAGUUAUUCAUCACUCCUACACACCCCGUCCAAUUGGAUGGCACAAGAAAAGAUGGGCUGAGUUUUACACCAUACCGAGCUGCUGUUACUCUAGUGGCUAUCUGCAUAGCAGAAGUUGUGUCAGAAUGAAAAGCAAAUAAAUGCUUAACACACAUAGACAACUGUAGUACAUUAUCUCUUAACCGUCACAUUGAAGUAUUGGACAAAGGGAUGGAACUGUCCUACUAGUUAUAUACUAUCCACUUAUUUAGGUACAAACAUCAGGGUAUAUAAACCUGAUAUCAGAUUUUCAUUUUCCAUUUCAGAAAAAGGUGUACUGUCAAAUAAUCAUGAAAAAGAUCAAUCAAGGUUGCCAGUUGAAUAAUAUGAACUAUUGCAUCAUGGAGACAUAGACAAGUACCCAUGUAUGAUAACAUACCUCAGAAACUCCCAAAAUGGAUAUGAAGCCACUGAAGAGAGGCACAGCAUUGGCUACGUAGUCAUCAAAAGUAGCACCAGGUUUAAGGAAGAAGCCACUCAUCAGAGCUAUUGUUCCAAAAGUAGCAACACACAAUGCUACUGCGCUAACAUAACCCCACGGAGUGCUCAGCUUGGUAUACUCAAAUUGGAGAUCUAUUUCUGCUUUAGGUUGCACCAUACAGACCUUAAACAAAACCAGUAAAAACCAUUAGUAUAAAUUUCCCCUCACAGUACUAAGUGUAGGAUCAGAUGACUACAGAAGGUAAACAAUUUAAGAAGUUGCAGAAGUUUGAAAACUCCCAAAUCAAGGCCAUAAGUCAGUUCAUGCUACAUCAAACUAAAGAAUUCAUUAUCACCAUGUAACAACAUGCUUAGGCAGCUUAGCAGUUCAGGAUACAGCUAUAAUAGUUCAUAAAGCUGGUUAAAUGCGUUUACUAAAACAAGGCAAUUGCCAUGAAUAUUGACCCCGUUUAGUAUAGCUUAGAAUCAACACCUCACAAAAUGCAUAAAAUGAGUGAUUCACCAAACCUAAUAGGUUAACAUUCAGGAAAAAAUGAUACAUACGGAAUCAGAUUCUCUACAAAUAUAAUUUAGAAAAGAAGCUAUCUCGGCUCCUGUUCAAGUACCUGUUUUGUGAUGUCAUUUGUUUUUUCCUCCAUGAACCAUAAAACAACCUCUCUUCCUGCCGCUUCAGACAGCUUUUUCUCUAAUUUGGGCAUGACCUCUUCAAUUGGUCUCCUCAAAUUUCCAAUGAAAAUGCCUCCAUCUCCAAAUCUCCGAACAUCAGUUGGAAAAAACGUAUCGAAACCAAAACAACUCUUCAACUGCCACAACAAACAAUAAGGAACAAAAGGUUGGUACUUGAUAAGAUACUAAUCAAAACCAAGUGAGCCACAUUAUUCAGGUCAUCUUUUGAGAUGAACCAUCAUGUUAAUAUCCAAAGUUGUUUGCUUCCUGACUUAUACAUUCAUACUCUAGAGAAAGUAAUGUAUCACAAACAUGAAUAAAGGAUUUUCAAGGGAAAAAGUUACCUUGUUAAGGUCAAUAGCCUUGAAGGUCUCUUCAGCUUUCUCCAAUCUCUCCUUCUCUCUAGUCAAACUAUCUCUUAAAGCUCUAUUAAGCAGCCCUACAAUUGGGUUAUCACUACUUUCCCUAUCAAGAUCCUUGAGCUUCCUAUCUGCCCUCUUCUUCUCCAACUUUAUUGCAGCUUCAAUUGAGGGGUUCCCCAUGAACCUCUUGAACUCCUCAUCUGUCUUCCAAUCCAUUUCUUGCUUCUCCUCAUCACCCUCUUCACCGUUUUCGCCUUCUUCUCCACUCUUUUGGGUAUCACUAGUGUCAUCACUUGGCUUCUCAGAAACUACAGCAGUUGAAGAAGAAGAAGAAGAUUGGUCAUCUUUCAUGGAAAAUGUAAUGGGGUGGUGUUUUCUUGAGAUGGGUUUAGGAGAUGAAGUAAAAGAGAAGUAAUGGGUUCUUUUACCAAAUGGGGUUUUGGUGUUCUUGUUCAUGGGAGGACAUGAAGGUAUGGAGGAAGCUGAAGUGAAAGAAAGAGAAGCCAUUGGAGUGAUUGGACUGAGAGAUGAGAGAAGACAUGGUUUGGUGAUCAGAGAAAAAGAGGGUUGGAUGUAGAGGGAUAGAGAGAGCUGGGGUAGUCUAGAAAGUUGGAGAAGAGAGGACAGGUGGAGUGGGUCUUGAAGGAGGUGACAAAAGUAUGAGUCCCCAGCUGAGCGCCAAGAUUGUGGUUUCCGAAUUUUUAAUUUUUUUAAGUGGAAAUGAUAAUAAAUCUAUUACGAUCGAACGGCCAAGCAGGAGAAAACUCCGAUUUAGUUCGUAGAUUUGGUCAAACAGGAGAUAAACUCUCAUCCAAGUCUAAAGAAACUUUACUCGACAAACCAAAUGUUACAACUAGAGUUUAAAUAGACGGACAAUUAAACCAUAACGAAAAGAUAUAAAACAUAAAUUAAAAUUUUCUGACCUUGUACUGACCAAAAUAGAACCAAUUUUUAGAAUCUUGGAUCGUCUGAAGUUGCACGGAAGGUGUUUGAGCCCGGCGAGGAUUUUGGUCCAAGACUCACAAUAAGUUUUGGAUAGUAUUUUGGCCAAUACCUGCGACACUUUUUUAAUGUAAAGCCCAUGAAGAGUGGCGAGCUUUGGCAGCGCGCGAGGUAGAAUUUGGCAAGGACUCUGGUACCCCGCGAGGUUCGUUUCCUCGCGAGAUCCUCGUUUCAGUUCGCGUAGGAGUCUACAAUACUUGGCGAGGCGGGACGGUAUUAGAAGCCUAAGCGGGGUCUGUUAUGACACGUGUCGCGUGGGUAGCACAGUUCGCGGGCAAGUUGUGUCCUUGUGGAAUUCUAAUUGUUGAGUCCGAAUGGGUUUGUGAUUAAAAAAUCUAUCAGCUGGCAGCAGGUGCUAUAUAAGGGAGCUCGGCAACGAUUCGAGACACACAAUCAAAUCAUAUAAAACUACAAACAAAUCUUCGAGCAUCCUCGAAACCCUAAAAUUCUAAGUGCACCUCGCCUAAGUUCUCAGAGCCCGUUCGGACUUGCCCUUUCUUCCUGAUUAUUGCUCUGCUCUCUCUAACAGUGAGUAUCGAUUCAUAGGUGAACAAGAGGUUUGCUCGUAAUCCCUCGUUCGCGAGGUGGCACCGGAAACCUUUUUCGCUUGAUUAGAAGUCUAGCACAGCGCACUCAUCCCGCGCCCGUGCGGUGGCACGCCCCGCAACCUUGUUUUUUACUUUUGACGUCGCCGGAGUUACAACUCUACCCCUGCUGAGACGCGUGGCCAAAACAUUGGCACGCCCAGUGGGACUGGGAGUAUAACAUUUUUGUCAUCAUUGGGAAGUCAGGCGGAUCCCCGUACGGGAGACCCUCGAUUUCUUGUCUCAAACAUAAAUCACCACGGUACAAGCCCCAUAACAGCGCCGCUUGCCGAUCUCUCACCCGAGAAGAGGUUUUUGCUCAGUUUGGCAACCCCGACUCUAGCGAAGCCACAAUGACAUGUUCACGACCAACCCAGGACUCAAGGUCUACUCUGUCUGCGGAGGAAAUCCGCCAGAUGUUUGAGGAACUGAAAGGCCGACUCGAGGCCACUGCUACCCAACAGAGCGUCACCGACCUGGCGGAACAGGUCAAGAGGGACAAGGUCCUUUGGGAAGCAGACCAGCACAACCUCGCCAUACUUACCGAGGAUUUCAACUAGUUUGCAGGCGAAGUAAGGGAAGAUAAGGACUUGGUCAACGGGUCCCUCCAGCGAAUCCAGAAGGGUUUGGACGAUAACACGGAGGUUCUGAAGCUUACCCGCGCAACCAUGAAUGAGCAAACUCGUCGCUUGGACGAGCACGAUACCAAGAUACAACAACAGCAGGACACUUCCUUCUUUGGAAGUAAGAAUGGCAUGGAAAAGCUCGAGGACUACAAAGAAUGACAUGAUAAUCUGAGCUUAAGGAUCCUACAAGUGGAAGACUGGAUGCGGUCUCAGGCACCAAAGAAUCAUACUCUGAACUUAACUAGUUCAAGUGCAACUGAGGGUUUAAGGUACAUUCCACCUAAUGAACGCCCUAGGGGAAAUCCGAAGGUCGGGGCCCAGAAUACUCCCCAAUUCACAUUGGGGGCCAGUUCAUCAAAGACGCCACCCCUUCUACCUCUGCCGCACAGCCCUGGAGUCACACUAAGGGGUGCUGGUAGUUCUCCAUAUUAAGGGACCGGGACACCAGAUGACCCAGUUAUAGCUUAUUCCAGUUCAGCCCCUAAGAACAUCGUGCAGGCCCCUAGCCUCUCUGCAUGGCUCAACCACGAUCAGGGGGCAGAGUCCACAUCAGUAACGGCAACCGAUUGGCGCCAGCUCAUCUCGAGCAUAGUCAAGGAGCAAACCGGAAAAUGUGACGCUAACUUGCACUAUCAUGACCCCUACCCUGAUAGCGUGGCACAAUAUCCCUUCCCUCAAGGGUUUAAGAAUAUUGUCUUCACCACUUUCUCUGGGGAGACAAGGGAAGAUGCAGCAACACAUAUGGCCCGUUUCAAGGUCCAAUGCGGCCAGUACGGGAAUGAUGAUAUUCUCAAGCUCAAGCUUUUUGGGACUUCUCUGUCCGGAGCUGCUUUCACUUGGUACUCCAGAUUGAAGCCUGGGUCAAUAGCAGACUGGCCCACUAUGGAAAGACUUUUCCGAGAGACGUACGGCACAAUUGAGCCUGAAGUCGGCCUCGACUCCCUCACACAGAUGAGCCAACAAAGCAUGGAGUCUGAAGUUUCUUUCCUUCAACGUUUCAAGAUCCAGCGAGCCAAGUGUGAUUACUUGCUACCUGAGCAGGAAGCCGGCCAUUAAGUUGGCUAUUAGAGGCCUGGAGCACCGCCAGCGGUUGAAGCAUCACGGAGAGCGCUUUACUUCCAUGGGUGACUUGAUUAACAAGGUAGGCAACUACGAGCUAAUCCUAAACGAGUUAGACUCCAAAGGAACCUACAUGCCAGGGAAGAAUCGGACAGUGGGGGCACUAAACCUACAGGCCCCUACUUAUGAUCCAUACUAUCAAAGAUCUGAGGAAGCUCAUACGAAUCAGGACCUAGAGGAUAUUGGCGCAGUAGAAUUAACUGGCAAGCCAUUAGCUCAUAAGUUGAAAAACCUGAAGAUAAUACAUGAGCCAAUCACCAUCCAGUCCUUUGCAUGGACCAAGCUAGAGUACGAGUCAUACACCUAUGAUGCUAAGAACGCCCAUCUGAUUGAGGCAAGAUACGUGUGCUUGGAUCAUAAGAUCCCGCCCAAGGAAGAGUUGAAGGACAAGAAGUACUGUGCCUUCCACAAUGUUUACAAUCAUGACAUCAAAGAUUGUGUCAAGCUCCGAGACCAGUUGCAGACAUGGCUAAACUCUGGCAAACUAAAGAUGAAGACGUACAACCUCGUUGGUAGAUAUAGACCAUUUCCCGCCUUUAGUUGGCAUGGUCGAGGUAAAUUAGGCCGAUCAGGCCGAGGAUGAAGAUCUACGCCGAGCACCUAAAAGGGGCCGCGAGGAAGGUCACAAUGAUGCCCGCCAGCCACGUCGCCAAUAUACCUACAACGUCAACCUUGCUCACGACGUUUUGGACGAUCUCAUUAAUGACGGGCUCGUCACAGUGGCCAAUUCCUUACCUUACAUAGAAUACAAGGAAUGGCGCAUACACUGCAAGUUCCAUAAUAGCUGGGGGCAUAGAACCUGCGAAUGUCAGCAACUCAGGGACCAGGUUCAAGAUUGGCUCGACCUCGGGGACAUUCGCUUUGAGAAUAAGAGCGACUUCAUGAUCGCAACGGCUGACAUCGCUUGGCCUCGUGUCGAUCAAUGAAGAUUAACAUUAGACUUGUCGCCAAAUGCAGGUUUACGCGAACCGCCAGGCCGAAACCGCAAACGGCCGGCGAAUAACUAUACUAUCCCAAAUAACCCGAGGGGGAAAGCAGACAACCUGACUCGGCAGUUGGUCACUAAGCUCGAACCAGAUCGCCCCUCUCGCAAAGAUUAGGGCAAAGCGGUCAUGAGAAACGAUGGACCGUCCCCCGCUGGAAAUUACCAGCCUAUGAGUCCCAGGACCCGAGAAGAGCUGGAAAGGAGGAUAGAACGUCUUGAGACGUUCGUCUAUACAUAUUGGACAGAGAAGGUACCUUCGUCUCCUGCCACAAGUGAGAUGGACGUGUCGGACUCCAGCAGCGAUCGUCACGACAACGAGGCCUCGAGCCCUCGUGGAGGUAUCUUGACCGACCUCUAUAUUCCCCCGACGUCCAAAUCAGCAAUCAAGGACGGGGUUUGGUACACACAGCAAGGGGGCAAGGCAGUUACCAUCAACAAGUCCAAAAAGCGAAAGCUCCAAAAGCGGUAUGGUAACAUCCUGUGUGCCUUACGUGCUGUCAAUAAGGGCGCUGUACGUCCCUCACAACUCGUGUAGACGCUUGAGCGGAUUUGGAGGGAGGCAGAGGGUUUACGUGCAUUCCUUCAAAUGCCGCCUGUUACACCCCCAAGGAUUUGCGAGCAGUUCGUAGACGAGCCUGCACCCAAAGCAAACAUCUUCUGCCGACUCUCGGUUCCACCAAAGCAGGACCCACAACCUUCCAGGCGUAGGCCAUCACCCAGCCUGAAAGGAGAAGGGAUCCACAACCUUCCAGGCGUAGACAGUCACCGAGCCUGAAAGAAGAAAGGAUUCACAAGUUCCUAAGCGCAGACCGUCACCGGAGACUGAAAGGAGAAGGGACUCACAAGUUCCCAGGCGCAGGCCAUCUCCUACAUCGGAGCCUGAGAGGAGAAGGGAUCCGCCUACUGGUCCUAGGCGUAAGCUGUUCAUGACCCCAAAGCCAGAGUCAAAGCGCGAACCACCUCAGCCCUCACGACGUCGGGAACCUUAGAAUCUGGAAACAGAUAUCAAAAGGGAACCACCACAACCGCAUCAGCCUCGGGCACGAUCUACACCGGACCCCAGACUCGGAUGGUUCCCCGAGUAUCCGCCUUGCAGCGGUUGAAAAAGGAGGACAACGAUAAGGCCCCUUUGGCAACAGACAAACAACCAGCCGGGGACCAGCAACCUUCAACUAAGGUAGUAUGGCUCCCGCGGCAGCCGGAGGCUCACGAGCCACCAGUAACCGCAUGUGCGUCCUCCAGUCCUAACCUUGCUCAGCAAAUAGCCCAGCGCUUCUACGAGAAUUCAGCGGACGACGAGGUGCACUUCGAACCUCGAUUUAACUUAGAGGAAGACCAAGAAGAAGAGCAGGGGGAGUUAUUCACCUGUAAUAUGGUAGAGGUCUCAGGAUGGGUUGCAGACGAAGGGUUUAGCCACGAAGAAGACGCCUUCGCGGUGCUCGAAGGGGAACAUUAGGUCAUUGACACUCCGCUGGUCCUAGUUCACGAACAAUUAUCCUUUCAGGUCGAGAUGGUGUUCUUCAUAUCGGAGAGAUACGCUCUUCCGCCAAACACAACCUGCAGCGCGGCAAAUAUUCCAGUCAGUAGCGAGAGUGUCAGUAGCAUACCUCCGCCAUGCAGCAGCAAAAUGUGACCAGUUCUGACACCAGCUGACGACGCCCCACAAGUAGAGGUUACGACCAGCAUCAAACAUAAACAAACUCUGACCUUCUCGACACCAACCUUAGACAUGGCCACUCACAUGCGGCCACUGUAUAUCACGGCUGAAGUCGAAGGGAAAUUGAUCAACAAAGUCAUGGUCGAUACAGGCGCCGCGGUUAAUGUCGUUACAACCCGCACCAUGGGACUCCUAGACAUCCCGCGCUCGAUGAUCCAGACUACGUCCUUAACAGUCAAGAACUUCACCGGGCAGGUGUCCAGGACCCUAGGCUUGCAAUAUCUACGAGUCAAGGUCGAGCCGGCGUCACGGGUUUACACCUUCUUCGUCGCCGAAUGCUCUUCCUCUUACAGCAUGAUUCUCGGCCGAGAUUGGAUCCACAGAAGUUUUUGCGUGCCUUCCUCCAUGCACCAAGAACUCAUGAUUUGGGACACCGAGAAACGCGAAGCGAUCAUCAUCAAAGCCGACUUGCGGCCAUUUUCUAUUUCCGCCAACUUCAACGACGCCCGAUAUUAUACCACAAACAUGGGCCCGUUGGACGUUCAAGGCGUCAAUGACAAAGGCCGCCCAUAUGGGGUAACGGCCUUCAAUUUAGCGCGAUGGGGACUUACCCAGGCGAAGGACGAUUUGCAACAUCCUCACACCAUUGCAGAUUCCACACCCCGUUCUGAUGGAUAGUGCCUUCUCAAAGGAGGCACGCGAGGCUAGCGAGUCUUUGUGCGAGAGACUCCUUUCGUACUAGGCAGAACGCGAAGCCUACGACAAGGUCGCGACUAUGGAAUAUGUCAACGAAGUAGUGGAUUAUACCGAUACCAAGGAGGAAGUUAUUCAGUUAGCUCCCGCUACCUUAGAUGAUACACCACCUCAAGUCCGCGACCCCAUUUCACAAGUUGACAUAGGGACUGCAGAAAAGCCCUUACUUAUUUCCAUCAGUGCUAAGCUGGCGGAGGACGAAAAGGAAGACCUUAUUGCCCUAUUACGCGAGUACAGGGAUUACUUCGCCGACAAAUACAAGGAUAUGCCUGGCUUGUCCCCAAAUUUGGUCUGCCACCGGUUGCCAACUUAUCCAGACCGACGUCCAGUGCGGCAAGAUGGCCGAUUCAUGCGAACUGAGACUCAGAUCAUAGUCAAGUGAUAGGUGCAUUCUAUGCAACGUUCUUAAUGUAUUUCCGACCCUAUUUAGUUAUGUAAUUCCUUUAACAAUAUUGAUUUUAACUUAGUUUGUGAUUUUAGGUCACAAAUAAAGCCGAGGAGCACAAAAGAGGCAAAAGAAGAGAAAUCUUGAAGGAAAAGGAAUCCAUAUGGCGCAAGGAAAGAAAUCUAAAAUCUGCCAAGAAUAGUCAGUCAACUUCGGCAGAGAAUUGUGAUCAGCUCACAACGAUCCAGGAGAUGAACUUUAUAUCAGCAGAAAGCUAGAAGAGUCUAGUUUUCAGAACUUUUCGCAGAUCGUCAAUAGCUAUUUUGGUGACCAAGUUAUGACCGUUUGAGUGACCAAAGGUCAGUCUGCCCGAAUUUCUGAUUUGGACCGGAACUUCAAUUUCAAGGCCCAGACCACAACGGCGAGCCCAUGGACGAAAAUUAAAGGUUCUCUAACCCUAAUAGCAGCUGUUCAUAUGUUCUCUAUAUGUAUGAGGAGUUGGGGACGGGAAAUGGUCGCUCUUGGCCGCAGAAAAACAACGUCUUUCAUCUCCUUCAGAAAUUCUUCUCCAAACACAAACCCUAGUUUUAGGAUUUCUCUUGCCGUGCCUUCUCCUCUGUAAUUCUCGGCGUAGUUCCUUGUUUCAAUACUCAAAGUGUAAUCUAAACUCAAACCUCAUGUUUUCUUUUAUUAUCUAUUCAAUUACUUUAGUUUGUUUCCAUCUCUCUUAUUCGUUUGUGUUCAUGAGUUGGAUUUUUGAUUGAGUUUGUUCUUAUAAUCAUGAAAAUCAGAUCUGUACACUUGAGUUGUUGGUGUAAUUGAUGAUGCUUUUGAUGAUCUAAAUUAUGUUUAUAUGUGUGAUUGACAACUUAUGACUUGUUCUUAAUCAAUAUGUGUCAUUGUUUGUGUUAAGUCCGCGUCGGUGAAUUACAUUCUAACAUGUUCAAGUUCUUCCUUUGAUCUAUUUUGGAUAUGAAGUCCGCGUCGGUACAUAUCUAUGAGAGGUUAGAAGGGUUUUAAGUAGUUAAGUCCGUGUCGGUAAAUUACUUGAAACAUGGAAUUUGAUUCGUUUCUCCAUAUGCAUGAUUUAGGUUGUUAGGGUUGAAAUUACAUAGCUACUUGAUUAUAUGAAUCUGAUUUAGUGUUUUCUUGUGUGCAAAGAGACGAUCACAUGUAUAUAGUAGCUUAGGUUUUUGUUUCUUUUUAGUUUAGGAUUUUCGUCACUCUUCUGUUCUCUGUUUUCUUUUAUUUUAUUUUUGUAUCAAACGAUCUCCGAAUCCCCUGAAAAUUUGUACAGUAGUUCCUCUGUGUGUCUAGUAGAUCUCUGUAAAUUUUCAUAUUUUUCUGAGUAGAUUAGGUUAGGUUUUUAAUUAGGUUUUCGACUGCUGUUCUAUGGAACAGUAGCUACUUUUGUAAAUUGUUUAAAUGUUUUAUUACUUGUUAAUAUUUGUUGUGUUUUUCUAACGCUUUGUUUUGCAAGGUACCCUCAAUCCCCGGCCCUAUACGAUACCCUACUUACUCAAUGCUACUAACGAUAAAAAGGGUUUAUUUGAUGCAGGUUUUGCACCCGUCAUCAAGGAAGAGAUCGAAAACAUGCACCGAUCGGGUAUCAUUCGCGUGGCAAAGUAUAACGAGUGGCUAUCCAACGUUGUCCCCGUUCGCAAGAAAAAUGGCAAGAUGCGCAUCUGUGUUGAUUAUCGUGACCUCAACAACGCAACGCCCAAGGAUAUAUACCCCAUGCAUGUCGCUGACCUCCUCAUUGACGCAGCCGCGGGGCAUGAAGUGUUGUCAUUCAUGGACUGAACGGCUGGAUACCACCAGAUUCCCGUCGUUGAAGAAGAUUGACACAAGAACGCUUUCCGCUGUCUCGGUUUUGCCGGCGUGUUCGAGUAUGUUGUCAUGCCUUUCGGACUUAAAAACGCCGGGGCAACAUACCAAUGCGCCAUGAACCUUAUCUUUCAUGACAUCUUGGGAAAGCUAAUUGAAGUCUAUAUCGAUGACAUGGUAGUUAAAACCAGGACACGCGCAACCCAUGUUGAGGACCUACGGCAGGUGUUUACACGGAUGCGCCUGCACAACCUGAAGAUGAACCCCACCAAGUAUGUAUUUCUUCGCAGAGGCCGGUGACUUCCUCGGAUUUCUCGUCCAUCAAAAGGGCAUCGAAAUCCCAAAGGACAAGGCGCAGGCGGUAAUCACCGCCUCACCCCCCACCACCAAGAAGGAGCUUCAACAGUUGCUUGGGCGAAUCAACUUUCUCCGCCGUUUCAUAUCCAAUACAACAGGGAAGGUCCAGCCUUUUUCACCUUUCCUCAAGCUCCAGGGGGCAACCGAGUUCGUUUGGGAACCACAACAUCAACAGGCCUUCGAUCGAAUCAAGGACUACCUUACGAACCCACCAGUCCUGAUCCCACCUCGCGAAGGUACCCCGCUUAAGCUCUAUAUCGCCGCUGCCGAUUUGUCCAUCGGCGGACUCUUGGCACAAGACGAUGAAAACGGGGUGGAACGCGCUGUCUAUUACCUCAACAGGGUGUUAACUGACUGCGAGACACGAUACUCACCUAUGGAGAAGUUGUGUCUUGCUCUAUAUUUUGCAAGAUGCAAGCUGCGCACUACAUACUUGCCUUUACCACGGUAGUGAUCGCUCAAUCCGACCUGGUCAAAUACAUGCUUUCUCGCCUUAUCUUGCGGGGACGCAUCGGCAAGUGGAUAUUAGCCAUGUCCGAAUUCUCGUUGCAAUAUGUUCCGCAAAAGGCAGUAAAAGGACAGGCAAUAGCAGACUUUCUCGCUCAUCACCCCCCUUCAGAGCUCACGGCGUUUCGCAAGUUGGAAUUCGCUGCUGUGGCACUCGCGUCGUGGACCCUUUACUUUGACGGCUCAUGGACUGAUACCGCAGCCGGCGCCGGGAUAGCCAUAGAAAAUCCCGCCGGAGAUCGCUUCUCCUACUCGCUCCAGCUCGAUUUCAAAUGCACCAACAACCAGGCCGAAUACGAGGCACUCAUCAUCGGACUGGAAAUUUUGUUGGACUUAGGUGUCUGAGAAGUUCAGGUCUUUGGUGAUUCCCUGUUGGUCGUCAACCAGCUGGUGGAGAAGUUCAAGUGCUUAAGCUCGUCCAUUGAACCAUACCUGCGCAAGGCAUUCGAAGUGUUGGAUCAAUUCGACGACGUCUACAUCGAACACAUACCACGCGAGUUCAACUUCGCCGCCUACGAGCUCUCUCAAGUAGCUUCCGGCCUCAGCCUGCGCCAUGAAGUGCACGAACGUUUGCUCAAAGUCGAGCGACGUACCCUUCCCUCUUUCAUUGCUAGGGGGCAAUUUCAGACCGACACCCCAGAGGUCGCGGCCCUAGACCCUAUUGACGAGGAUUGGCGGCUACCAUUUAUCGCCUACCUCCAGAAUCCUAAUGACGCCACUCACUGCAGACAGAUACGUUUCCUCGCUUUAAACUUUGUUUUACGCAACGGCGAGUUUCGUCGGCGUGGUGAAGACGGAAACGACUUCCGCUGCGUGUAUGGGAAUGACGCUAAGCGUCUCAUGCGCGAAGUAUAUUGUGGGGUUUGCGGUUCGCACCAGGCAGGGCCAAAAAUGCGUUGGUUAAUCCGCCGCCAUGGAUAGUAUUGGCCGACCAUUUUAAAAGACUACAUCGCCUUUGCUAAAGGUUGCCAAGACUGCCAGGCCCACGGACCAGUGCAACACAUCCCCAACAUUCCGUUACAGCCUAUCAUUAAACCUUGGCCGGGUCGCGAAUGGGCGAUAGAUUUCGUUGGCAUUAUUCAUCCACAUUCUUCUGAGCAGCAUAAGUUCAUUAUCGUCGCCACCGACUUCUUUACCAAAUGGAGGUCAAGGCCGAACCACUCAAGGUUGCCUCCGCCAACUCGGUCCGCAACUUCAUUUUCCGCAAUAUGAUUUCCCGCUUUGGUAUUCCGGAGUGCAUCGUUACGGACAGGGGGGCAGCUUUCAUGGCCAAUUCGGUCGUCAAAUAGUUAAAUGACUAUGGCAUCAAGCUCCUCCACUCUACGUCAUAUUAUGCACAGUCCAACGGCCAAGCCGAGGCCAGUAAUAAGGUCAUACUUGACAUUCUCCGAAAGAUGCUGGAGUUGACCCCGCGCGUCUGGCAUGAGGAACUUUACCACACCUUGUGGGAUUACCGCACUUCAAAGCGCGGCCCGACGGACACUACCCCGUAUGCUCUUAUGUAUGGUCAUGAUGUCGUCCUUCCCCUAGAGAUCAAUAUCGCUUCGCUCCGCGUUCAGGAACAACACCAACUACUUAGCGAAGAUUACGUCCAAACUAUGUGGCAGGAACUGGAAGAUCUCGAUGAACACCGCGUCAUCACUUUCAACAAUCUCAUCCUCGAGAAACAGCGCAUCGCGCGGUUGUACGAUAAAGUCACGUGAGGACGGAGCUAUGCCGAGGGCCAAAAAGUAUGGCGCGCGGUCCUCCCACUUGGGGAAAAAACCGAGGGUCGGGGCAAGUGGUCCGCUCGAUGGGAAGAACCCUUCAUUAUUCACCGUAUACUCCCCAAGGGGGCAUACCACCUGCACGACCUCGACGGCACCAUUCAUCGCAAUCCUAUUAAUGGCCGUUUCCUUAAGCGAUACAUUGCUGGAGUUUGGGAACGCGAGGAUCCUCCACCUCCCUCAAAACCCGCAACCACGGUCAAUAGUGCUACGCGCCAUCGCAUUCUUGCUCCGCCGCCUAGCACUAGGGGGCAACCCGGGAUAGAAGAUUGAAGAAGACAUUGUAACGUACCAGCCUAAAAAGGCCAGUGCUAGAUUGGGUCCUAUUCUAGAGGCCCUAAAAAAUAAGAUAACUCUAUUUAUUUAGUUAUCAUUUUCUUCAUUUUUUGUAAACGUGCAAAGUCUAAACACAAAGACAAGUACAAGAUUGGGGCCUAUUCCAGAGGCCCUAAAAAAAUAAAUUCAUUAUUUUUGCCCUUUUUGGCGUUUCUAAUACAGGUUUCAUACGUGGCUUUGCGGCCAAGGCAAAUACAUUGACAGAAAGGAUGAAAUCUGACUAUGUUUACUUUCAAAAGCAUAGAUCUAAAGGUAUUGGAAACCUCAACCCGCAUAUCUUGCAGGGUUGAAGAAGAGGCCGCCGCCGUGUUCUUCGGUUGAGACUGGCGAACGUCUCACCUCCUCAGGCCAGCACAAGCUUGGACACCGGCCCGGACCUAAGACAAAUUGUUGAGAAGCUAGAGGUCUACUGGACCUGGGUCCCUCAUGCUACCAAUCACGCCUCGAAGGUGCUUCAAGGGCACUGGCCAGGGCCUAAAGCGCAAGCGGGUGCGGAACCUCGAAAACCUCACGUUUAGACAGAACAGCUGGUGCAAAACAGAAGGUACUCAAACCAUUUGUUUGUCCAAACAAAGGCUUGGCCUGAGAGUAGAUUUUCAGACUCAAAAGGAACGAAGGGUGAAGUUGAGAAAUGGGGGUUUUGCUUUAAGCAAGGACAAUAGGAUGAGUAGAAGGGAAAAGAAUCCAUGGCAGUGGGUGCAAAAGACUUGGUUGUUGCUUCAACCCAACCAAGAGGCUCUCUUUUUUAUAGGCAAAAGAGGCCGAUUCUUCCUUUAACAAAUGUCCUGCAUGCAGCGAUGUGCUCCGAGAUAUGAGCCUUGGAGAUAAGGUCGAAUGCUUUGUUCCAUGAUGACUGCCCGCGUUCCAAGCAUGCAGUUACAUUGGAAACCUCCACCGAAUCUCGGAAAAAGAUUUUUUUCCUAAAAAAGCAGUUUUUACACAAGGAAAACUCGACAAGAGCGGGAAAGAAUUGAUUUCAUUUAAUAUUAUAAUAUUAUUAUUUAUAGAGGUUCAUACAGAGGGGGAAAAACGCUAACCGAGUCUAAACCCGCCUAGAGGCCCUAUACAAAUCUAAGAGAAGUCCUUCUAAGGCCAACUCCUCAAUAUCCGUCUGGGCUUAGGCUUCGUCCACAGCAGCAGUGGCUGAGUCCAAAGCUUCCUAGGUCACUUCCGCGGCCUGCACGCGGGCUUCUGCAUCUUCAGCUUGCGCCAGGCUCUGGCGAGCUUGAGCAAGUUGAGUUUGCAACUCCACUAUCUGAGCCUCCAAGGCCUCCACUUUCCGGGUAUAGAAAGUACAUGGGUUCUCUGAUGACGUCUCAGGAACAUUAACAUCUUCAAGCUCGGCCAAGAGGACUGACAUCUGUUGGUCUAAGGCAUGGCGAACUCUCUCCUGAGCAGCCAACUGAGUACCAACAUCCUGAACUCGGCGGGCCUGCAACUCAACGGCAUCAAUAAGCUCCAGGGCAUGAUCCAAGGCAGGAGUGUUGCUGGCUAAGUGGCGAGCCAAGGCGCCAUGAGCCUCGCAUGCGCGCUGCACCAAGUCAAAGACAUUCAUAUGUGGGCCUUAACGCAUCAGCCCAUGAAGGAAGCCCCGGGCCGAGCGAACGGGCUCUGGAUCGGCAGGCGGGGUGAUCCGGGCCCGAAGACGAGCGGUCCGGGUGGCCAAAGAAGAAGCCGUCUCGACAGAUGGUCUCGCCAGGGCCGGAGUGGUUGGCUGGAUUUCUGCAGCUGGUUCAAUCUCUGAAACAGGUGGCAGGAUGUCGGGUCCCGUUGGAGCUGAUUGUUCAUCGGUGUUUGAGCCCGCCGCAGGCUCCUCUUGAGCUGGUGCUUUCUCCUUAUCUCUGGCAGCCUCGGGCCUCCUCGAAGAUCUCCGGCAAGGUGUGGCCUGCAAAAAGAAGUUAAGCAAAUUGAGUAGAAGUACUUAGUUGAGCGUGGUGAGAGCGAUUAGGAAAUUGCACAGUCAGCGGCCUACCUCGGGGGCGGGAUUGCGUUCUCGAAUAACGAUCUCGGUCGAGCGGCGAGCAGCAGGAACUGUCGGGAGCAUAGGCCUGGACCUUGUAGCAGCCCUCUGAGGACCCUCUACAUGGUCGCGCUGGGUAUCAAGGAUGACGCGGUCCGACUCGCUCAGAGUGUCGUACAGAGGGGAAAAGAUGGCAGCGAAGACAGCGUCAUCCGAGUACCUCCAAUGGUUGUCUGAAAGAGAUCGCCACCAAGAGAGAUAGGCGGCGUCAACACCUAGUGAAGGCUCAAUCUCGAGCAAGUCGGGAGUGAGAGGAAAGAUGUUCUGCAGCGAAGUGACCCGGUCUGUCUCGCCAAUCUUGUGCCAGGAUGUGUACUUGUUCACUGAAUGGAAGAGUGGAUAAGGGACCCCUUGGAAAAAGCCAAGCUACAUGGCGAAGCGAUUUGGGGCGUCAGCUCGAAGCCUUGUUCAUCCUCGGCGAGCUGAAGGUCACAACAUGAGGUUGCCCUUAUGAAAGUUGUCUUAGCGUCUAAGUUCGAGUUAGAACAAGGGAAGAAGCCCGCUGACAAGACCUCAGGAUGGCGUCGGCAAACCAUCAUAUCUAUGGUGGGAGGCGGCUCAAGUUGGUUGUAUAGGAUGGAGAGGCUGGCAAAGAAGGAUAGAGGGGUCCGGUUCGCGGAGUUCCUGCACAUAGUGAACCCGAGCAGUUGGUCCACCGAUAGGAAAUCAAGCAGGGCGCGUCGGAAGAGCUGGAAAUACAGCUGCAUCCACAGAUCCAAAACCCACAUUGGGCCAGCAGAAAGAUGGAAGGGCCUUAGGGAGAGUGUAUGAAGGGUCCAAUAGAGCGCGCCCAGCACAGGCUGCCCUAGCCCUACUUUGAUCCCGUUGUAGAAUGCCUCGGCUAGUUUGGUCCAUUUCCCUGUAGGCUUAUGAGCGCUGCCACAGAAUAUGAAUUUAUCAAGCCAAUAUUCAAGGAAAGCGAUACCUCCUUCGUGCCGUUCUGCAUGGCCGAUGUAGUACUUCCUCCAUACUGCGUACGAGCCUUUCAGAGCGCGACGAGCCCCCAAGUUGCUGGAAUAUGUGAACUCAGUCGAUGCAAAGUCGCCCGGCACGUAUGGCUUGGCGUGGAUUGGCAGCCCUGUGAUGGCAAGAAUGUCCAACAGGGAGACACUCAUUUGCCCGGAGGGGAAAUCGAAGGUGUUGGUGGCACUGUUCCAUAGGCAGGCUGCGGCAGCGAUAGGAGCUCGGUCGGCGUGAGGGGGCAGCGAGAAACUCAAAGCGAUGGCUUCGCCGAUGCCGGCGGCUUCCCAGAUUGUUUGAUCGGACUGAAGGCGAGCCGCAUACCAUGCCCGGUCCUCCGCGGUGGUAGUGGGCCAUUCUCCGACCCGGAUGUUUGUAUGAGAACGGGCUUGCACCAGGAGGCGAAACUUCCCGGUUCACGGCGUUGGGCAAGGAUUAGCCGACGCACGGAGUCAGCAUAAUGGUUUAGGUCGGCGGCUGACAGAGGUUGUGAGGGCGUCGGACCAAGCAAGGUUGCCCCCGUUUCAAGGAAGUAAAUAAGUGUUCCUUGGGGGGGGGGGACCAGACCAAGCAAGGUUAGUCGACCAUAAGCUCACCGCCGUUAUGUUAAGGUUUGGGUCUCUAACAGCUGGUUUGGGAACCAUUUUCUGGGUUGAGUGAAGCACGGCGGUGAGGUUUGUUGGUUGCAGAGGGAAGGAGAAGGAUUGGUUGGAAAGCGAUGGUGAGAUGUAGGGACCUGCAUCGAGGCUUAUAAAGGGGACGGACCGUAACGUCUUUUCAAUCAGUCGCCGUAAUGAGGAGACGUGAUGACGACCGAAACGUCAGCGCGUUUCGAAAUUUCAAACAGUCGUAAUGAUGAAGGGAGGCGACGAUAACGAAACGUCAGCACCUUUUGAAUUUCGAAUUCCCGUAACAUAUUCAUUAAGGCCUUUUCGCUUAUCUGUUGCAAAAUGGGUCAAGCUCAAGGCCUAAGGGGCAAUGUUUGAGCCCGGCGGGGAUUUUGGUCUAAGACUCGCAAUAAGUUUUGGAUAGCAUUUGGGCCAAUACCUGUGGCCCUUUUUUAAUGUGAAGCCCAUGAAGAGUGGCGAGCUUUGGCAGCGCGCGAGGUAGAAUUUGGCAAGGACUCUGGUACCCCGCGAGGUUCGUUACCUCGUCAGAUCCUCGUUUCAGUUCGCUUAGGAGUCUACAGUACUUGGCGAGGCGGGACGGUAUUAGAAGCCUAAGCGGGGUCUGUUAUGACAUGUGUCACGUGGGUAGCACAGUUCGUGGGCAAGUUGUGUCCUUGUGGAAUUCUAAUUGUCGAGUCCGAAUGGGUUUGUGAUUAAAAAAUCUAUCAGUUGGCAGCAAGGUGCUAUAUAAGGGAGCUCGACAACGAUUCGAGACACACAAUCAAAUCAUACAAAACUACAAACAAAUCUUUGAGCAUCCUCGAAACCCUAAAGUUCUAAGUGCACCUCGCCUAAGUUCUCAAAGCCCGUUCGGACUCGCCCUUUCUUCCUGAUUAUUGCUCUGCUCGCUCUAACAGUGAGUAUCGACUCAUAGGUGAACAAGAGGUUUGCUCGUAAUCCCUCGUCCGCGAGGUGGCACCGGAAACCCUUUUCGUUUGAUUAGAAGUCUAGCACAACGCACUCAUCCCGCGCCCGCGCCGUGGCACGCCCCGCAACCUUGUUUUUUACUUUUGACAUCGCCGGAGUUACAACUCUACCCCUGCUGAGACGCGUGGCCAAAAUAGAAGGAUGAUUCAACGUAUUCUUUAAUAGCAGAGCAUGAUAAGACAAAUGAGCAGUUUUAUUUCCGUCUACCAUUACGGGUACUGUCACAACUUCUUGCUCUGUCUGUAGAUGGCAGCAAGAGGGUAUGUAAUUACCACUCUGGCAUUAGGCUAAAUCAAUCUAAAACUAUGAGAACACACCAUACAGACUUUUUAGAUAUGUUUCGGAAGCUUGUCACCAAGCUAGCUAUGGAAAAUUCUACAAUGAGUUAAUGUAAGACAUGUUUUGUCCUAAAGUUGUAAAAUGAGUCUUCAGAGUAGUAAAAUUAGUCUUCAAAGUUGUAAUAUGAGUCCUUAAAGUUGUAAAUAUUCUUAAUUAUCACAUGAGUCCUUAAACUAUGAUAACACACCAUAUAGACUUUUUAGAUGUGUUUCGGAAGCUUGUCACCAAGCUAGCUAUGGAAAAUUCUACAAUGUGUUAAUGUAGGACAUGUUUUGUCCUAAAGUUGUAAAACGAGUCUUCAAAGUAGUAAAAUUAAUAUUCAAAGUUGUAAUAUAAGUCCUUAAAGUUGUAAAUAUUCUUAGUUAUCACAUGAGUCCUUAAAGUGAUAAAAAAAAAUUUAUGCAACUUUGAGGGCUAAUUUAUCACUUGAAAGACACAUUUUACCACUUGAGGAUUGCUAUUGUAACUAAAAUUUUACAACAUUAAGAGCAUCUCCAACAGCUUCCCCAAAAUUUCUCUAAAAUGGGGAAGCAAAAACUAAAAUCUCCAAAAAAUUUAUGCUCAAACUCCAACAGUUUCUCUAUUUUGGAGAUUUCGGCAUUUAUUACAACAAUAAAAAAUGUUAUAUGAUUAUUGAUAAUAACAAAAAAAAUCAUAUAUUCAUUAUAACAUAAAUUACCCAAUAAAAUAUUUUAGAUUUUUGUUCUUAUCGUUGGAGCACGUAAAUAAUUAAUAUUUGGGGAAUUAAGACUUUGCUGCAAAUUUGGGGAAUGAGUGCUCCUCUUUCUUCUUCAUCCCCAUUUUAGGGAAUGAGAUGGGAAAGCUGUUGGACCACAAAAUAACCCAAUAUUCUUUAAAACUGAUCAAAUCAAGAAAAUAGGGAAGCUGUUGGAGAUGCUCUAAGGACUAAUAUUACAACUUUGAAGACUAAUUUUACUACUUUGAGGACUCAUUUAACAACUUUAUGAUAAAGUUGAUGCAUUUAUGCAUUAACACACCUUAGUCUUUCCCGUUAUAUCUUGUAGCUAUGCUCUAUUGAGCCUGUCUUUAUAUUUGCAAUAAAAUUAGGGGACCUUCUAUUCAUACAUUUAAAACAGCUACUUGGACCUCUUUACUUAAUAGACCUCCAUUUUACUUUUGUAAAUAACAAAUUUACCAUGUAUACCUCCCUAAUUUUUCCAUAAUACCCCUCAUUCAAUAUAGAGAAAUUUUAUUCACAUGUUGCUACAUACUAGAUACACAUCCUCUACUUAAUACAUCACCUAAUAACUGUUUUACUUUAAUAUUUUACUAUAUACACACCUUAAACUCCUAAACUACCCUAAUUCACAAAAUACAAUACCUAUUCAUUAAUGCACAUCCUAAUUUUAUAUAGCUUCCCACAUGUCGGGUAUAGAAACCUAACGGGAUAAUUUUCUUCCCUCAGUCAUAUUGAAAGCUCAAUUGGCUACACCCUUUCACCUUCUUUAGAGAUUCUACAGAUGGAGUAACAGGGUACUUCCCAUGCUUUCCGUUGGGCAAAAACCCAACUACACAUUUCUAUAGUUAUUCACUGCUGGUACUUGGAGGUAAGAAGAACUUGUUGUUAUGGAGGUGUUAUGUUUCCAUACCUUUCAUAUAUGGCUGUAAAAGAAGGCUAAUUGGUUUUGAGGGUGAAUCCUUUCAAGAUGAUGCCGAGAUUAACACUCAAUUAAAAGUUUUUUUUUUUUUUUGUUUUGAGAAAGAUACUCAAUUGAAGGUUGAGAAACACUAAUAUAGAAAAUCAUCAUGUUAUUACUGAUUUUGCUUUGAACAACGAAUGUUCAUUGACGAAAAUUCAAUUAAAGAGGAGAAGAAGUAUAAAGAAAAAAAAAUUAAAGAGGAGAAGAAAAUAUCAAAAAGUGAGAAAUGUUCUUUUUUUUUUUUAUUUUUUUUAAGGUAGGAAAAUUCCAAAACGACCAUAAGGCCAAAUAAGGAUAGUCCGAAGACUAUACAUGCAAAUAGCAACGAAAAUAAAACUACAUCUACGAAAAAAAUAACAACCUUAAAGCUACAUCCAAAAAGGUGGAUAUGAAAACUAGAAAGCAAAAUAACCUCCCGAUCCUUAAUAACAACUCAGCUUCUAAUCGAAUAAGGCCUAAGACCCAAUGGUGUACCUGUCAUCGAAUUGAGAGAAAGAGAGUAGUUAUUAGAGAACAUAAGGGGUCUUUCCUAGAUGCACUAGGACUUACUCCUCCUCAGCCUCAGACUCGAGGCAUGUUUUUACAUUGGCGCCCUCCGAACUAGGAGCCAUAGAAUCUCAUAGCUCCGGAUCUCCAUUCGUUGUCCUCUUCUUGUUACGAUUGCCACGCAGGUGACCUCUCUUCUUAGGAGACUUUUUUCGAGGAAUCCUUCCAAACUACACUGAAACCUCUACGAGCUUGCCAGAGUGAAAGCUUGACUUUGGCCUCUUCAGCACCAAAUCAGUCCCAGCUAGCCCAUCGAAGGCCCAAACCCACCAAAUUUAGUCCCAAACCCAAACUUCCUUUUCAUGCCCAACCCUCAGAGGCCCACAAAAUCCUCCCGGCCCAUCACCCUCAGUCAACCCCCUACUCGGUUAACCCUAGUUUGAAACUAUGGUUUCCCACCGAGAAAGUCGGGGGAGUGACGACCAGCACAGCCGCCUCCUCGCUGCCACUCAGUCCAUCCUCUAGCCCUGUCGGCGCAACCUCUUCCACCUACAGAACCGGCUCCUUCACCAAACUAAUAGCUUCCAUCGGCCGGCUCGCCAAAAGCUUGGGCUCACCGUUGACAGCGCUAAUUGCAUCAACCAUCGAUAACCCACAAAUCAAGCCCUUGUCACAAGUACCUCCUCCAUGCCCAAAUAAUCUACAAUCCUUGCAAAUCCAAUAAGCUCUUUCAGCCUUGAAAUCCAACUUGACAGAUAACUCCAGCGAGUAGUCAAAAAUGCGUUCGGUCAGAAUCUGAUUUCAAACGUCUAACACAACCCUAACUCGUUGGAUCUUCUCCUUCCUUUGAAUCAGACCCGGAUCUGCUCUAAAAAGACUUCCAAACCAUUCGUAACACAACUAAGAACCUUGUUAUUCCUCAUGGCAAAACAGAGUCUGGCAAUCGAGACCCACACCUCCAAGUGAUUCAGAGAAACAUCCUCCAUCAGGCUAAGCCCGUCGUACUCCGCCAGGACACACAUGCCACCGUUGAAAGACAACGGCCCUCUUCCAGCGAUCUCGUUGGAGGAGAAAGUUUUCUCUUUGUCCCGCCUUUUCAUCUCUCUUCUUUCUUUUUCUUUAGUUUCUCUCUUAAUCUCCUCUUAUUCCACGACUUCAUUUUGGGAAGUUGAUUUGAUUUCCUUCUUUCUUUUUCCUCUUCCAGGUUUUCUUUUUCUUGGGUAGCAUUGACUUCUCUUUUGGGAUAAAAGAAUCAUGGUUUGGUCUUGAUUGGAGAAGCAAUUUGAUUUUGUAAUCUAUUGAGAUUCAUGAUGCAUGUUAGAGAAUGAUGAGAGGGGAGAAGAGAUCUUGAGUUUACAGACAAAUUGAUUUGAAGGCAGUAACCUAACGGAUCUGGAGUCUUCCUAUUGAUCUUUUGUUUCAAUUUCAUGUAUGAAUUUGUUGGAGAUUCAUGGUCUCAUCUUUGAUUGGAGGACCAAAUGAGUUCAUAUUUGAGCCAUCUUUUGAUCAAAAUUGUUCUGUGUUUUAGUUUGUUCAUCUCUUUUAGUUUUCUGACUUUUCUCCGGGUAAUGCCUUUGGUGUUGAUGGUCUGCUCCAUAGUCAUUCAAGGACUAAACAUGUGUUAGGCUUAGUGAAACAUAAGCCAAGUUACAGUUUACCCCCUCAAACUUUAGGAAAAAAAAUCAGUUCAGUCCUUCAUCUUUUUUUUAAUCAAACUCAUCCUUAUACUUUCAAUUUCCAUCAGUCUUCUCUUAAUUUCAAAUUUGACUCGAACCAUGAUGUCAUGAUGAGCUGAGUUGGCUCGGACAUUAGGACCCAUCUUUUCAGUUUUGGCUCUGUAGUCGGUAGUUGGGAACUAUCUUCCCCGCCCACAGACCAGUCAUGAAACUUGUAGAUACGAUGUAUAUCCUACCUCGCCAUGGUGAAAGAUCAUUGGUACCACGUCGGGAAGGUGCUUCUCCAUGCUCCACAAGAAGGCACAAUGAUAAGAUAUAUGUGUAGUUAGUCCCACAUUGAUAACAUGUAAUAAAAGGGAACCUUCAUUAGCUAUAAAACAUUAGCUAUAAAAGGAAGACUUCCCAUAUGUAAGAUGGAUGGAUCUCUACUCACUCCCCAAAUGCCUAUUGGCCAUGAUAGUUGAUUCGUAAAUGAACGUAGUCAUGUCCUCUGAUGGCAUGGUGAACCAUUAUAUGUCCUUGUCUUUUGCCCAUGUUGUUUAUUGUUCAUGUUCGUGUUCCACCGUGAUUCUACAUAGUCUUCACGAUUAUGUAGAAACAUUUGACGCGGUCUGUAGGAAUCAUUACGAAAAGUCACGUUGCUCUGUCUCCGAGAGGCAGUUCACUCAAGUCCAUGAGAGCAAUAGGUCCAUUGGGUUGUAUCCAAGCCCAACAAGAGGCUAGCCUGUCAGCGGGCCAACGAGUGCCCUACCGGGUCCAACUACCAUCGAGCCCAAGUAUGUAUUAAUCAGCGGGUCAAGGUGCAAUUACUGGUGCACGAGACCCGAGGGUUCAUCUCCCGAUGAGUGCCUCCGUUUUGUUCCAAAUCGUCGGUAACUUUCGACAACAGUAACACCCAUCCCGGACCCUUGUCCCCUCAGUCCAGGGAGCGACUCACCGGGUUCCCGAUGGAAGCAUCCGGGUCUUACCAAUCUCAGUGGUAGUCGAUAAUCUCGAUCAUGAUUUCAUCAAAGUUUGCGGGUGUGCAGCCAGUUGUAUCUCACCGGGAUCAUCUCCAUCACUCGGUGACUGGAGAAUUAUGAGCUAGCUUCCAGGACCGUUCUUAUAAUAUAACGGGUCCGGCCCCAUGAGCUUUCCCGGGUCAAGCUCGUCAAUCAACUGCUAACGGGAUAAGUGUGAUUCGCUGGGAACCGGCAUUAUCUUGGUAGAGUUCAGUCUUCCAGGUCCGAUAUCAAAAUAAGUCACCGGCACCCGCUGCUCUCAUUCAUCGGCUACUGCUCGGUAAGCAUCCGAAAAAAAAAAAUGCAGACUCUUGGUGGCAUAUACAUAGAGUAGCAAAUCCAAGAGGAAAGGAUGAUUAAUGUGGGAUGAAUAAGCCUGCAAGUGAGGCGCAGUCAUCGGGAGUUCAAUGCGCGUUGUAUAUAUGAGGUGGCAGAGGAUUAGUACAAUGGUGGAUUAGUACUUGUCAGCCAAAGCUUGUGACUAUUUAACCGAGCGGGAAAGAGAAAGUGACCAAGGUUCGAAUCCAUUUUAGUCGAGUUCAGUAUCCGGGAGCACUCUUCCGGUUCGAAGACGGAAUGAGACAUCGGCAUCCGCUGGCUUCAUGAAGAAAGAUUAUCGGGCUGAAAUGGCAUCGGGUUAUUUGGAGUGCAAAUCACAUUCCUACCGAUGAUACCAACAGCUAACAGAAGAGGGAAUACUCUUGGCACCCAAGCAACAACUGCUAUGGACACCCAUCUUGUCUUCAGAUGAAGUCUUUUUCGGUAGCAACUCAUCUCCCGGUGAAACUCGAUCCCAUCUAUGUCAAAUUUUCAAACAGAGAAACCUGGUGAUCAGCUUCUCCUUACUGGUGUACGUUGCUGUGUUGGGUUCGCUUUUCUUUGUACGAAAGAAGGAUAUCCAAAUUCCAGAUAAGUCCUUUGUCUUGAUUGUGAUUCGUAUAAUCUCUUUGAUUUUCGAAAGUUCAACAUGCUCUUCAUGCCGUGAUUUCAUUCAACCUGUAUAUAUGAGUAUGCAUGCUGGUCUGUACUAUAGGACAAAGUUGUAGUCCUAUCUAUUAUCAACUCAUGCAGUACACAUGUCAAGCAUGACUCUCAUAGAACAUAACUAUUCCAUGUUGAACUACACGUACAUAUGCAUGGCAGAUGCACUAGGCUGCCUAUAUCGUAGUGGCUCCAUUUGUCAAAUGUUCUUAAGCAUAUAAGUUGUUACCACAUCUGAUUGAAUUGCAUGAAUCUUUGGUUUUUAGUAGCCAUGCAUGAAAUUUUGCCAAUCCAGGUAUCUUCAUGAUGGGAUAAUCAAAGUGUGUAUCCCUGAACCAAUAUCUGUAGGCUCUAAUUGCCUACGUGCACAUAGGUUGGAAUUUCAAUUAUUGCCCAUUAUCAAUUUGUUGGCAUAUCAGCGAGUCAUGCUCACCAACAUGCAUUAUUUGCAUCACCGGCAUACUGGUAGCACCAUGUAUUCCAUUUUAUUUAAUCAUUUGAGAAGAUUGCACUAAUCACUUAUUUGUUUUUGAUGAGGUAAACCGACAGGAAACCUUGUACGGUCAACUCGAUUUACUCUCCGGGAUGCAAACGUGGGAAUACUCACUACGUGAAACACAUUUAAGAUAUAGGAUACAUGAUCACUCGACCGAGUAUAUUAUUGGCACAACACAUGAUGGCACCAUGAUUAAAGCAGAACAGUCUAAAGGGAUCAGAGAACACUAAGAGUUAAAUAGAGUACAAGUCUCCAUGAAUGAAUCAAGAAGCACCAAUGGGUCACGAAAAGAACAAAGUCAUCAUGAAUGAAUUUGAAAUCACCAGGAAUUCAUGCAGCCUUGGGGUAAUUACGUUCAUCAGAGGAAAUGCAUGGAUGAGUGUUGACAGGGAUCUUCCUUUGUAGCAUAUAUACAAGACUCGUUGAGUUCAUCCUUUCACUGGAUUCAAUUAUAUCUCCGACACCCGAUGGUUAAACUCCCUGACAGAGCUCCCCAAGUAUAAAAAGUCGAAAGAAGUGAAAAGAAUCUCUGGUAUCUAGUGAGACCUGCAUGGUUUAAGCUCGAUGGACGGACCUCAAAACCACUCUAAAGUACCAGGAACUCGGAUAGUCUCGUAAUCCCGGGGUUCCCGUCUGAGCAUAUUCAGCCACCGGGAGCAGAAAAGAAAUUGAAGAAGGUAGAGAAUUGACCCCAUGUGUAAGUCAGGGCUCCACCACUUUCAUCUCCGGGAGUCAGAGGGGAAGGCUCGACACUGAGAAUCUAAUUUACAAGCGAAGACUGACCAAAGGAAAUAUGGUAGCUAGUCAUCGGGAGCUCGGAGGCUGUCACCCGGUAUUAAAAACAACAACAGAAGGGGAAAGAGGAAGAGAAAGUCUCUGGUACCUGUUGAGACAUAUACUGUUCAAGUACCGAGAACUCGCAUAGUCUCGUAACUCCACUGGCAGACAUUUCCUAUGUUCUUAUAUCCGGACUCCCGGGGAACCCCACCGGCAGUUUUUGUGCCUCACCAAACAUAUUCAGCGACUCUCGGUGACUACGGCCCGGAGCUUCGCCUCCUCGAUACUAACCUUCAGGUCUCCGGCACCAGGAACUCAAAAAUCUCGAUGCCUCAGUCUAAUCCACAAGUAGCUGUGCGCAAAGUUGGAAAUCAUCAUGUCUCGAUGGCUUUCAUACAAGGCAGAUCAAAAAAAAAAAAAAAAAAAAGUAGAAAUAGAAAAAUCUUAUCGACAUGGCAAACAUACAACACGGGUAAUGCAACAUGAUUUUACUCUACGGGAUUCUAACACGAAGGUAUCCACAUUACUACAUCUCCUAUGUGCACCCGUUCGACAGCUCUUUCCACAUAUAAGUUUUUCAUUUGAUAUCUUAUUUUGCCUCCCAGACAUUGCAUAUGGGAGUUCCAAGUCUUCAUGAUUGAAUUGGAAACACAAUCAGGAUAUGCAAGUCUAAAUCUUCAUGAUUAGACUGAGAAACCACCGAGAGAUUGGCAUUCCACUGAGAGAUCGGCAUUCGACCGAGAUUGACAUUCGACCGAGAGAUUGGCAUUCGACGUUCAGUAUUACACAAUUGCAUGAACCAUUGUGCUUUUUGAUAAUUAUUAUGCCAUAAUAAUACUCGGUUGGCCCCAUAUUGUGUUGAUCAACUAAACUAUGUAAGCUGCUAAUCGAUCAUUUGUUUAUUGUGAAGGUACAAUAAUCCUCACCCAGCCGAGUAAUUUUUGAGGCCGGAGGUCGGGAGGGGCAUUUUUUAUCUUAUUGGUGGACUUAAAGAUUAUGAUGUAUAUCAAGAAAAGUAAGACCUGAAAUAAGCAAGACUCGUUCAACAUACGUCAUGAGUACGUACUUGGGGGGAUUGGGACAGGGUACCCGUUGAUAAAUGAUUGGUCUAUGCAUUUUAUAUAUUAAGUCCCCACUCAAGACGUGUCUUGAACGGGAACAUGGGGGGCCUUGUAGUCGGUAGUUGGGAACUACCUUCCCCGCCCAUAGAUCAGUCAUGAAACUUGUAGAUACGAUGUAUAUCCUACCUCGUCAUGGUGAAAGAUCAUUGGUACCACGUCGGGAGGGUGCUUCUCCAUGCUCCACAAGAAGGCACAAUGAUAAGAUAUAUGUGUAGUUAGUCCCACAUUGGUAACAUGUAAUAAGAAUGAACCUUCCUUAGCUAUAAAAGGAAGGUUUCCCAUAUGUAAGAUGGAUGGAUCUCUACUCACUCCCCAAAGGCCUAUUGGCCAUGAUAGUUGAUUCGUAAGUGGACAUACUUAUGUCCUCCGAUGGCAUGGUGAACCACUAUAUGUCCUUAUCUCUUGCCCAUGUUGUUUAUUGUUCAUGUUCGUGUUCCACCGUGAUUCUACAUAGUCUCCAGAAUUAUGCAGAAACAGGCUCUCAAUUUGAGAAAAUGUCUAAAUUACCCAUUUUCUAGAUUAUUUGUUUUAACAUAAUUAAUGCCACAAAUAAAAGCUCACAUUUUUUUUUAACUCACAAACAUAAUCUUUAAUAAAAAGAAGAUUAACAAGACCAUGAGCCAUAAGCAUCAACAUCAUGAGAAUUACAAAUCAGAUUGGGUUGGUUUCUUUGUUUAUUUGGGGUGGUUGCUGGUGACAAGUGGGUUUGAUUCAGAAUGGGGAAGGGGGUCCUUAGAUGCAUGGCUAAACGUAUUAAAGGGAUUGGAUUCAUUGGAAGAGUUCUUCUUAUUCUUCAUCACCCACGUCGUUGGCUAAUUCACCGCCACCUCCGAUUUCUUCCUCAGAGGAAGAGAAAGUUCCUCUUCUCAGCUGUCCCAAAGCCAAAUUCCCAGCUCCAACUCCGGUCGUCGUACAUCUCAAAUCAACGACAUCAUUUUCUGCAAGACACCCACAUCGCGAUUAUGGCUGGAGGGUUAGAGGUCGUCGUUGACAUAAGCGUACGUGGGAUUGGUUGUAGAUUAGGGCCCAGAGCUGGUCGUCAACUAGAGAGAAGAAACGAGGAGGUGAGGUUAGAGAAGGAACUAGAUCUCAUCCAUGAGAAGUGGGCAGCGGCGAGAGGAAUGGAAUUUGAAUAUAUUUUUAGAUGAUAUUAUUUGUUGGAAGCCCUUCUAGUGAGGACCUUAAGUUGAGGACUUUGUGAGGACUUUUCAGUUUAUGGUUUAAAAGACCCAAUUUUCGAUCACAUUUUGACAUCUUAUCCGUUCAGUUUUUAGGUUUAUAUGAGUAGAUCAUUUCUACAAAUUUUCACCCAAAUUGGUGUUCGUUAAGAUAACAAACUAGAUCAAAUUAAUGGACGAAUCAAAUCUGUUAAAUAUGAACCGUUCAAGUUCAUAAUUGAUAAAUCACACUUAUGAAUGUCUUAACAAUUUUCAAUAUAGCUGAAAAUUUGAAUAAAUGAUCUACUCAUAAAUACCUAUAAACUGAACGGUCAAGAUGUAGAUAUAAGAUCGAAAUGUGGGAUAAGCCGAAAAGUCCUCACCAAGUCCUCAACUUAAGGGUCCUCACUAGAAGGGCUCAGUUUAAAUUUUGAGAUUAUUGUGUUUAAAUGUCCAUCAUGCCCUUGUAGGGGUUGAAAGUCUGAAAAGAUAAGUCCCGAUGUCCAAGCCAACUCAGCUCAUGACAUCAUGGUUCGAGUCAAAUUUGAAAUUUUGAGAAGACUUAUGGAAAUUAAAAGUAUAAGGAUGAGUCUGAUUAAAAAAAAAAACAUGAAGGACCGAACUGAUUUUUGUCCUAAAAUUUGAGGGGGUAAACUGAAUUUAAUUCUAAUUUUUAAUCUCUACUAGGCUCAUGCAUAAGUGACUGGAAUUUUUCGAUGCAAUGGCUCAUAAAGCAACUAAUGACACGUUUACUUACUUAAAAUAGAGAAUAAUCAUGAAUCAGAGACAAGUGAAGUGGGAGAAGAAAUAAAUCGGUAUCACUGUAUUAGAGCAUGUGGUAUGUUUUUCAUUUAGGGGACCUCUAUAUGCACACCGAAUACAUAUUAUUGAUGGAUUAAUUAGUGGGAAUGCUGGUGUCAGUAUGACAAAUUUCAUCGCUAUGGGAAUGCUUGUUCAUAGUGUUUAGGUUAUUUGACAAUUUGCUCAACUUUAAAAUUGCAUUGAUCAUCAUUGCACGUACCAUCAAACAACAAGACAAGAUCUAUUAAGCGCCCUGUAACUCGAUCAAUUUCAGUUUCAAUCCACCAAAUCUCGUUUCCAUUAACUCAACACAAGCGUUAUGUCAUAAUAUAUCCAAACCAAGUCGCGGAUUUCAACUGAUGACAUCACAAUGUGGAGAUAAAACAGUGAUAUGUUCUAGAUUCUAUAUUCAUAUUCAUAUUCGACCGUUAACUAACAGUGACUUAUUUAAAAAGUUUAAGAAAAUAUUCCUUAAUUGCAUACCAUAUUCUAAUCAGAUUGUUUCCACAUCUACACAAAUUCACCUCAAAUCACAUUCUAAAAUUCACCAACAAUUUUCAUGUCCUUGGCCCUUCUUCCUAUGACACUAAAAAAGGACCAAAAUUACAAGACCUUCAGGCUGUCAAUUUUGGCGCCGUUGCCGGGGACUUUAAAAGUCUCCUACGGUUUUCUUUUAAUUUAAUUACUUAGUUUACUCAAUUAAUUGUAGUACUGAUUGUUUGUUUUAUUUUCUUUUCAGGUUUAUAUCUCAUUUGGUAAACUGUCCAAUUAAAGAGGCCACAAAGCAGAUUUGGGCCUUAACCCUUCGUGAGUUCCUUUUUAAUGUCUCUCGAGGUUGAGAGCGGCCCAUAUUGUGCUCUUGUUGGAUCAUCAAAGAUAUAAGUUGUUCCUAGCUGAGUAAGGGGCACUUUCAGUGGUGUUUAGGCCCGAGUAAGUGACUGGGACCAAAAUUGGGUUUCAAAGGGAUAUGGACUGUGUGUAAGCACAAUAGGGGUUUCGACCUCCGUAGCUCACUAAAAACGAAACCCUACCAGCCCGUUUCACUUCGGCGCCCUGCCACUCAAGCCUUCUGAAACCACGGAAUUGCUUAUGUUUAGAUGGCAACGCCUAUGUUCCCACCAAUACAGUCUACAACUUGAGAUAUGGAUUUGAAGGGUGAAUAAAAUUUAGAAUCAGUAAUGUUGUCUUAUUGUUGUUUAAACUGUGUUGUAAGUCGCAUUAAGGUAUAUUGGAUCAAACAUGACUAUGGAUUGGGUAGCUGUUUCAGUCCCGUUGCACACCAUUGUCCUCUGUUUCCGUACCUAAGUGUAGAGUUGAAAUAAACUUAAGCAUAGGAUAAUGCAGACGUGUAGUGUCUUAUGUGUUUAUGGAAACUCAAUGUUGUUUAACUUGUCUUACUUUACUUUUAACUUCUGUAAAUUGUAUGUAUUUUUACUAACAAUUAUUUUGAAUGUCCAGAUGACUUUCCCAAAUAAGCCUUCGAUCCUGGACACAAUUCUCUACUUCAAGAAGGGUGAAAUAUUCUACAACAUGCUCAGAGUGGUGCCAAUGUUUGAUGGUAUUGAAAAAUGGGAUGCAGUAAGUCACAUUGCACAUGUGGAGAACGUGUGUGCACUUAUGGCUCCCAUGGAGCCCAAUACGGAAGCUGUGGCUGUGAACCUCUUUCAUCUAUGCUUGAGUGGGGAGGCCACAUAAUGGUUUCUCAGUGAGCUUGAUCACAAUGUCAUUUGGGACACAUGCAAGGAGCUGUUCCUGAAGAGAUUAGAGGAGCUGUUCUUGAAGAGAUUCGAUGUCCUUGUCGUCGACCACGAUCUCGGCCGAAUGCAAUCUGGCCUAGAUUUGUUUUGUCUGUCUUGCUAGGAUGGAGCGUUGGUGGUAGAGAUCUUAAAUCCAUGGAGGAGCGCUAGCGUUUGGGAUGCAGCAGGGGAAGGGACGGCGGCGGCUACGUUGCUGGGAUGGAGGCAAGGAUGUUGAUGUUAUGGUGGGCCCUGGUUUUCUUUCUCUGAUCUGGGCUGGUUGCUGGGCUACCAAAUUCCCUUAGAAUAAUAGGGCCUGGUCUAAGGCUCCUUGUACUGUUUAGGCCUGGGGGUUCGUUAUGGGCCCAUUUUGGGCUUUAGUUUUAUUUUUUAGUUAUGCUAGUAUUUUAGCUGGUUUUUAUUUUUUGUUUUCAAUAAUUUCUAACUCAAUGCCGGUUUGGAGAUGUGGGCUUUGUCUUAAUUUGUGUAUUUUGCAUACCAUGUCUGUUCUAGGUGGGCGACGAGUUCCUUACUUUGUCAAAUGGUCGCAGCCUCCUCUUGGUAAGAUGAGACUUAGUGUCACUAGUACUAUCUUCCAGUGGUAACAUGCUAGGAAACCUGGUAGACAUAGUAACUUAUGGCUCUGCAUGAGCAUUGUCUUUCUGGUAUGUCGUUGAAAUUGUAAAGCAAAUGAAGUAGUCAAUGAUACACUCUCUACUAAAUGGUGCUUGUUAGAAUCCAUAUGAUUGUUAAUUUCUGAUAUUAUUUCGGGAUGUUUAUGCAAUACGAGGUUUAAGCUUUAUGUCCCCUUUUGUAUUCUGCGGUUUUGUUAAUGGUUAAAGCAUGAGGGAUGCCGUUUUAGCCUCUAUUAAAAAAAAAAGUCUAAAAUUAAAGAAGAAAAUCAAGAGAAGAAGAAGAAAGGACCUUUCUUUUCACUAUAUAAUAAACAAAAACUUGACCCGAGUGAGGCGUCACAUAAUAAACCGAGACGAGAGAGAGAGAGUUUGGUGUCAUCUUUAAGCCGCGAAAUCAAAAACGCUUUGGGCACUUUGGCAGCUUCUUCCUCACUCAGCUCUCUGGUACGAUUCUCUCAAUUUUCUUCAAUUUUCAAUUCCCAAGUUUCAAUUUUGAUUAAAUGCCAUGCAUAUAAUCCAAUUCUGUGCUCAAAGAUUCAUGCUUUUUCUGUGCUGUGUGAUUGUCUCUAUCUGCAACUGAAACUGUCCUCACUAUUGAAUGCAAUAAAUUAGGUCAGCUUCCUUGUUCAAUUUGGGGUUAUAGGGUUCUUGAUUUGAUUUGAUCCACAUUCUGGGUUUGUUUGUGAUGCUCUGUGGUGUUAUUGGUGUAGUAGUUGCUCCAUUUUUGCGUUGAGGGAAUUGGAUUAUGCGAGUAUUUAGGUCUGUUUUGGCUGAGUUUUAAAAUGUUGGUUUGGUAAAGCAGUAGACAGUUGUGGUUUUUAGUUUUAAAAGAUCGAAAUUUGGUGUUGGUUUUACAUGGUUUUUGAGGUUGAUAUCUGAGAUAUUGUUGUUGGAAAUAGUUUGUGAAAAUGGUUCAAUUCUUUUGUGUAUAAAAGAACCAAAUAGAUCCCAAGGAUGCUUGGUUUGAGGGCUUUUCAAUGUUUGAUAUGGUUUUUCAUUGCUGAAACUAUCUCGUGUUUUAUAGACUAAAGUAGGGUGCUUUAUACCUUGAAAAGAAGAGAUGCAUGGUGGUUCACUGUGUAUGUCUAUGCUUGGCAUGCCUUGGAUCAUGGCAUUCAUUUGUCUCUAGAUGUUGAUAAGUGGGAGACAUGAGGAUAUAAAGGGGUUCACAGAUUUAAGGAUACUUUUCAGUUCAAAUGUGGCAGAUAAAGUUUUCCACUAAUCAUAAAUUGGUGGUUGCUGAACCUUAAUCCUUUAUUUUUCUUAUUCAUCUUCCCAGCCUUAGAUCUGGACUUGUCAAAUUACCUCCUCUGAGCUAUGUGCCUACAGACUCUACAUUCAUGUUUCUCCAUUAAUGGUUUUUUGAUAUCACAGUAGAUAAAUCUCAGUGGACCAUGCCCCCUUGGGAGUUUGGAACUCUAAGAUGCUAAUAAUGCUUGUUUCCUUUGCAGUUGUUGUCAGAGGCUGGCUUGUUUACUCAAAUGGCCAAUAAUCCUCAAUAUUCAGGGUUACAGGUAGCUGUUCGGAGAAAGUUAUAUUUAAGCAUCUUGUAGACCACUUUAUAGACAAAAUUUUAUGUCCUAUUUUUUUCGUACUGAUUUGGUCUUUAACAUUAUUUGUAGUCAUUUGAAGCUUUUACUUUUUAUCAACAUUCCAUUUAAAUUAACGAUCUCAUGGCAUCCAAGCUUCAUGAGUUCAUGCAUCCAGGCUUGCAUUUAUCUUGAUGGGUUCAUAUUCAAAUAAGAACCCGGGUUUUGUAUUGUUAGUAUGUUCUUAACCAUCACAAAGACAUAUAUUCUGAACGUUAUGAAAUAUGGUAAUUUGUCUGCCGAUUCUAGCCUAUACCUAAGAUAUACCCUUUACAAAUUUUAAGGUUCAUGUUGCAAUAUGUUACGUGACUGGUAAUUUGUGGUUCAUUUGGUACUAUUAUCCUAGUCUUAUUCAAUGACCUUACCUAAUGUAGUGUUUGGUAGAUUUAGAAAAAAUAAAUACUAAGUUCAUUAUUAUAUAACGUCUAUACGGUUGAUUUAUUAUUCUUCUCUCUGCUUCUGGUAUUACAACAUGAAACUUAAUGGUUUAAAUAUUGGGGCCUGUUUGGUUAUUGUAAUUUGGGAGGAAUUUGGAUUUGAAUUUCUCCAACUCCAAAUAAUGCCAUUUUGUUAAGUUUUGCAUGUAAUUUGGAUUUGGGUAAAAUCCACUGAAAAAUCAUAUAUCAACAUUUGUCAAGAUUUGAAAUAUUUACCCUAACCUAGUUGUUUCAAAUCUUCUGCCGCUGCACCUUUAACCAUUUCUUAGAGAAAAAAGAAAAAUGCCAACAUCAGAAUCGCUACCUCUCUCCACCAGUCCUUUCUCUCUCUUUUCUCUUACUCUUCUCUCUCUCAUAGCUUUUUAUGUACUCUGUCUCUCUCUUGACUUUCUUUUCAUCUUUCAAUCUAUUCAUUUGGUCUCCUCUCUAAGGAGCUUUUGUCUCUUAACCUCUUAUCCUCUUCUCCCUCCCUAAAAAUCAGAAGAUCAGAUGUAGAGAAAGCUUUGGGAAUGGGUUUUUUGGCAGAGGGUUGUGUAUGCUGAUUUGCCAUGGUUGGGGCCAAUUUGUUGGUUUUUUGUUGAUAUCUUCUGGUAUAAGCCAAACAACACAAUUUCAAAUACACAAUCUUCUGUUUUUUUUUUUUUUAGUGAGGAUGAACACAAUCUUCUGCUUGUUGUUGAAAUCGUUUUGUUUCCAAAUGGGGUCUCAAUGAAUUCAAUAAUUUCAUUUUCUUUCUAUAUACUUUAUAUUUUGAUAUAUUCUGAGAGUUUAUUACCCAGUAGUUACGGCUGUCAUUUCUUCGUUGGCUUUCUAUUCUCUACUGAUAUGUAGGAAAAUGUGCAGUGAAAAGAUGAUGAUGCAAUGAGUACCUUUCUUACGGAUCCAUAUCAUCAAUUUUUAUUCCUGCCAUUAUUCCACUUAUCAUAUUUUUUUUUUAUUAAUGUGAAAUGUCUUAGCACUGAGUGUCACCUUUCAAAAGGAUGACAGCUUUUGAUUCCAUGUAGAUUUCCAAAAUAGUGCUGGUAUAUUAGCUUCUUAUGCGUUGAAUAUUAAUUUCUCCUCUGUUUCCCUUGGUAGCCUCUUCGGCCUCCUAUGGUAGGUCCCGUGGAUCCUCCUCGAAGUAUGCCGCCUAUGGGGUUUCAAGUAAACAUUCCUUCUUCAUGAGUUUGUGUGUCACCAUUAUUUUAGUGACAAAUAAAAGUGAUUCUCUGCCAUUUAAUUUUGUGCUACAGUUCCGGCCAGUAGUUCCAGCACCUCAUCCGCAGGAGUUCGUUCCUGUGGCUUCUCAAAAUUUUCAGCAUGUUGGAAGAGGUGUUCCACCAAUGAAUGUUAGACUGCCUCCUCCAGUUCACCAACCUCAGUUUCCACAACCAGUGCAGCAGUUACCUGCAAGAUCUGGUCCACCAGGCCAUGGUAUGCUGCCACAGGCAAUUCCCUUACCAGUUGCUCAGCCUAUCAGGAACUUUGCACCUGAAUUGCCUGUACCUCAGCCUAAUGUGCUACCUCCAAAUAACGUCAUGUCUAACUUAAGUGCCCCACGGCCACCUCUUUCUUCAUCAUAUACUGUAAGUUUUCAAAUUGUGGUUAUUGUUGAUUCUUUUAUUGCAUUUUGUCAUCCUUUUGAAACACCUUUAGGCAUUGAAUUGAUAAAUUACACAUUUGCAGUUUGCACCUCCUUAUGGUCAAAUGCCAAGAAGUUUUAAUGAUUCGAACCAGUACCAGUAUGCACCAAAUGUUUCAUCUGAGGGACAAGUUAGGUUAUCAUCUGAUAGCCAGUCUGCUGUUGCUCCUGUACCUUUGCAGCCCACCGGUGAACGACCUUCUGUCACCACUACGGUUGCUCAAGUAAGAAGUCUCUUAUCUCAUCCGCACCUAGUUGCCAUGCUUUUUCUCCAGAUAAUGUUCAUUAAUUUUCAAUCUUUCAGGAAGCCAGCAUCCAACCUAUCUCUCUUGGAGGGAAUCCAGCAGAGUGGAUUGACCAUAAAUCUGCUGAUGGAAGAAGGUACUGAUUUCAUAGCCUUUCUCACACUUCCAUUAGUGAGAAUCUUGAGCUUCAGUGAUUUUUAUGGUAGUCUUACUUUGGAAAGAUCACUUUCGCUGAUCCAAGAAUAUUCUUUGCUACAUGAAAUAUUCAGGUUUUAUUACAACAGGAGGACAAAAUUAUCUACUUGGGAGAAGCCUUUAGAAUUGAUGACACCACUGGAGGUGAGUCAUAUGAGGAACAGUUUUUAAUAUAUUUGGUGGAAUGUGAGCUUUUCUUUGUGUGCCCUGGUAGGUGCUGUUCUGCCUGGGUUUAAAUUAUGAAGUUGUUAUUCAAUUAUCAUUUCCUUUCCUGGCAUGUUGUAUCACGUUAUUAUUGACUGCAAGUCUGGUGAAAGUUAGUGAAAUGGUUCAUCGCAAGAGUUUCUCUCAAGCAGGCAACCAUGAGUUUGUAGUUUUCAUUGUAAGGUAUUCAUUACCUUAUAGCUUGGGUGAACCAUAUAAUACCUUUUCUGCUUUCUUUAAGAUUAUACUCCAGAACCUUGUCUAUCUGCUUAAGUAUGAAAAUUUGCGAAAAUCUUGUGGGUUGACCGCUAUUCCUAAAGUUUAAGCUGUUAGGAUGUGGAUGCAAUAUUUUGUACAUAGUUAAGCUGUUAGGAUGUGGAUGCAAUAUUUUGUACAUAUACAAACACUCGCUCACAUGUGUCGGUCCCUAUCCACUAAUAGAGAGCCAACAUGUGGAACAUACAGUGCUGAUCUGCUGUUGUAAUUACUUAAGCUUUAGAUCUCAUGCAUUCAUAUCCCAGCAGGUGAUGGUUAAUUAUAUUCCCUAAAGUUAAAGCUUAUAGAAGCUUGGCCUGUUCUUUUUGGUAAAAGUUUUAAAUAAGGAAAAGUUACUUGUAUUACCACCGCUAUUCUCAUUAUUUAUUUCUGUUGAUAAUUAAAAGUUUAAAACUUAAACCUGUACAAAUGGUGAUAUAUCCGUUAUUUGGCUGUAACUAAAUAUUUGGAUGUUUAGAUUGAGGUAAUCGAAGAGAAGAGGAGAGAUGAGAGAAGUUCUAAAACUCUUUUCAUAGGUGUAGAGAGAUGGAGAGAGCUGACUUGUAGAGAGAAGUUUAGUUUUCUCCAAAACUAGGAAGUUUUGCAGAGCUAAUGAGAUCUAUGUUGUUAGAGUUAACAUUUUCUCCAUGUGAAGUAUUUUCUCUAUGUUUCUCUCCUAUUCAUCCAAAUCUUUUCUUGUCUCUCUUAACUAAUUGCCAAACACGUUGAAUGAACAGUUAGUUUGUUUCUUUUGAAUGAGUUAUAAUACUCAAGGUCUCUCUCUCUCUCUCUCUCUCUCUCUCUCUUCCCCCCCCCCCCCCCUCUACAUACCUAGAAAUGUGCCCCUAUGCAUUUGCAUUAUGAAUAUUUAGAAUGUAAUGCAUGCUUUCUUGACAUUAAUUUUUUACAACAUUUACUGACAUCAAGGAGUAAUUUUAACACGAAAGGAAUCUCACCAUAAUCAGUGAUGGUAAUAGUUGUGCCUAAUCUUAUAAGCUGCAUACUUGUUCUGGCAAAGCAGUCAGAUGUUUAUUUGUUGUCAUAUUGCUAAUCUGUAAGGUUUUAUGUACUUUGAAGGUAUUCCCUUUUGGUAAGGACUUCAAAGGUACUAUCACUUGUAAUCUGCUGUGUUCUAUUCACACUAGUCCAAAGAAAAAGAAUUAUUGGUUUCUUUUCUAUAAUUCCUUCAACUUUUAUUCCCUUUUUUACUUUUAUGUUUCUAUAUGCUUUAUCCAUUCAUGUGUUGGGUAAUUUCCAUACCUCAAAAGAUGCUUACAGGUACAUGCCGUGCCACUAUUGAGAGGUAGGAUAUGCUGUGGGUCUUUGCUGCUUGCUCUACCUACUAUAUUGCUUGAAUGUUAGUAAUUCUGUCAUUUUGUUACCUGAUUUUAUAAUGAAUCUGUGUGAAGUUAUCUGUUUGAUUCUUUUGCGUCAAUUAACAUCUUUUUUUGUGUUUUAGACUGAUAUAUUACAUCAGCUCAUUCCUUAGACAAACGUUGUUUUUUCUUUUUACUGUCUUUAUUUUUCUGUUACUGCUUCUUUAUUAAUGCAGCUACCUUCAGACCUUUAAGCUCUUUCCUUUUUCUAAUUUUUUAUUUGGGAAAAAGAUCUUGUUUUACAGAUUUAACUUAUAUAUUAUCUUCCUUGGACAGAGGGCAGAUGCAUCAACUAACUGGAAGGAAUUUACCAGUCCUGAUGGAAAAAAGUGAGUAAUGGAUACUGGCUCCUUUGUGUGGUAAUUGGUGUGGCUUAUGAUUCUGUUUUCAUUUGUGGUCAUUUACCUUGUCAUAUUUGUAAAUGCUGCAGGUAUUUCCACAACAAGGUCACUAAAGAAUCAAGAUGGAUUAUACCUGAGGAACUGAAGGUUUAUUUUUGUUCCGUCCAUUUUUGCCACCACCAGCUCAUAUAUGUAGUUCCAUUCGCAUGAUUUCUCUGUUAACUUUUUCUCUUUCUUUUCUCUUUUGCGAACUUUGCUUCAAGUUGGCUCGGCAACAAGUGGAGAAGGGAUCUGUCAAGGACAUUCCUCAGGAGAUGCCUGUAGUUCAUCACUCCACAGUAACAGUUUCUCCCCCUGUAACUGAAGCUCACACAUCAACCACUACUGCUCAAGUAGCAUCAAGCCCUGCUUCGGUGGCACCUGUUGUUGCCACUAGUGAUGUUCAAACUGCCAUAGUUUCUAGAUCAUCUGCCUCACCUAUGGUGUCUUCUCCUGUAAAAGAAAAUGCUGAUGGAGUUCGGAUACCUGUUGUUACACCAUGUUCUGAUGCUUCUGAAAAUGCUGAAGCUGCUGUAACAGUCAACAAUGCCGCUGCAGAACUAAUGUACCGUCAUCUAACUGCUUUCAAGUGCUUUCGGUUUCCAAGUAUAUGGAGUAGGUUAUUGAGCUUUCCUUUGCUCAUUUUGUAGGGAAAAUCCAAAGAAGUUACCAGCUCAGGAAUUUGUUAGUUCCGAGGGAGCUCAUUUACAGGAGAAUAAGGUAAUUGUUCAGUUUGUAUCUUAGUUGUGAUAUUGUAUUUUUGUUAUGCCUUUCUAGCAACUUGAUACAGUGAAUCCUUGCAGGAACCUACCAAUGAUGUGAGAGGAGAGAAAGCUAAUGACAUUGCAGAAGAAAAACCAAUUGAUCUGGAACCUAUGAGUUAUUCAAAUAAGCUGGUACGAAACUGUAGCCUUUUUCCUUUACCCUGCCAAUUUCCCUUAACAUUUACCCUUUUACUUUCUUAGGAAGCUAAAGAUGCAUUUAAAGCACUCUUGGAGUCUACAAACAUUGGGUCUGAUUGGACUUGGGAUCGGGUAAUUCAAUAAUGUUGUACAAUAACUCUAUUCUUUGUGUUUAAUUUAAAGUACCUGAAAUAACGCUCAAUUUAUCAGGCCAUGAGAGUGAUAAUUAAUGACAAAAGAUAUGGUGUUCUGAAAACACUUGGAGAGCGGAAGCAAGCUUUUAAUGAGGUAAGUCUUUUACAUGGUCGUGUGAAUAAAACAGUUAUGUUUACCCAGUAAUUGUUUCAUGGAAGUGAAUCCUGGGAGGAAGGUGUGGUAAUGACUUAGCUUUAAUCAAUUUGUCAUACUAAUCUAAGAGCUUUCAAUCCAUGCAUUUGUUAUUUUGCAGACUGGUAUUACAAAUUUAAAAUUAAAUCAUGACCAUGGCCCCUUUUUUCAUUCUUAUAAAAAUGGAAAAAAAAUAUAGCUGUAAUUCUUCAGUCCCUUUCUCGGUAUAUUAUUUUUUUCAUAUAACCUUCCAUCAGCAGUUUGCUACAUCACCAUCCUCGUAAUUGCUGCCUCUGGUAAUAAGUCUAAUAUCAAUAUGGCUAUAAUAAUCACAAUUUUUUGUUAUUGUGCUUCAGUUUGUGGGCCAAAGGAAAAAACAGGAGGUUGAGGAAAGGCGAAUCAAGCAGAAAAAAGCACGUGAAGAGUUUACAAAGAUGUUGGAAGUAUGUUACUAUAUGCUAUUUCUUCUUUCUUUUUUCCGCAGAAAGAAUAAACCAUUAUGAUCUUAUUUGUCUUGAAAUCCUUGCAGGAAUGCUCAGAGUUAACAUCAUCCACAAGAUGGGGGUUCGUCUUUCCUUACAUUAAUCUUUUAUUUAUUUUUUUAAAUUCAAUUCAAGUAAUAUUACGUAACAAGCUCUUCUAUAUGUAUAUAAUGUUCAGUGUAUAAUACUGAUGCUAAAUCUGUAUAUCAUUCAGCAAAUUAGAGAGCUUAUUUGAGAAUGAUGAACGUUUCAAAGCAGUCGAAAGAGAUAGAGACCGCAGGGAUUUGUUUGAUAGCUAUCUGGAGGAACUUCAGAAGAAAGUACGUUGACUAAGUUAUGCAAUCUUAAAUGCUUUUGUAUCUCUGUGUUUAUCUAUGGAAGUUGUGGAUGCUAUACCCUUAAUAGCAGAAAGUGAAAUUGCAUUGAUUAACUCAAGGCUCAGAUUCAACUGAAAAAAAUCCAUCCCUCAUCAAACUGUUGGAACUUUUGCUCACCUACAUGAGUCAGUACUUGAUUUGAUCUACAAAUAUGCACUGUGUGCACCAGCAUGAGUUUAAAUGUGUUUCAGCAUGAGUUUAUGUUAGUUGUGCCCAUCUGCAGAUUCAUGUAUUUGAAAUUAUGAAUGCAUGAUAUGCUGAGAUAUUCAAAUUUACUCUAAAUAUUCUAUUGGCUACUCUUUGCUGACAAAUAAGAGCUUCACAUAUGUCCCACCUCAUAGUUGUCUUUUUCCUAUCCUUAGGUUAUUCUGUCAUGUCAUUGAAACUAUACGACCGAAAUUCUCAUUGUGAACAUAAGAUAAAACAUUAAAAUAUGGAAAGUGUUUUGAAGCAUAUUAAUUGGCGUGCAUAUGUUUUUAUUAUCAUUUUCUAAGGUUGGAACCUGUGGAUUCUCAAGUAUCUUACCGCUGUUGAACUAAAUUUUGGUCAGGAAAGAGCAAAGGCACAGGAGGAACGUAAGCUCCAUAUAGUGGAGUACAGACAAUUCUUGGAAUCUUGUGACUUCAUCAAGGUUCUCUUUAUUAUGUUUCUUAUGCACGUGGAAGUUUUGUUUUCUCACCAAAACUUAUGCGUUGUGGUUAUCUUGUCAUUUAGGCAAGCAGCCAGUGGCGAAAGGUUCAAGAUCGCUUAGAGGCAGACGAACGGUGCUCACGUCUUGAAAAAAUUGAUCGUUUGGAAAUUUUCCAGGUAAUUUUCCUUCUGUAGCCAAUGAUAGUUCAACUGAGAUGUUAUAGCUUAUAUAUAAAUGUGGUCUCAGGAAUAUCUACGUGAUCUAGAGAAGGAAGAGGAAGAGCAGAGGAGGAUACAGAAGGUCCCUUACUGUUCAACUUUGUUUCUAGUUAUUUAAUUUUAAAUGGCAAUUCCUUGAUCUGGUGUUUUCUUGGAGAACAGGAAGAAAUAAGAAAGGCAGAACGUAAAAACCGUGAUGAGUUCCGCAAAGUGAUGGAAGAACAUAUUGCUGCAGGCGCUCUUACAGCUACAACUCACUGGCGAGAUUACAUCCUGAUGGUAAAUGCAAUUUUCCUUUUAUGAAAAGAACUUUCUGGUGAUUGUGUCAAUCCUGAUAUGGUAUUAUUUCAUGUAUGUUUUAUUUUGUUUUUCUUUUAGGUUAAAGAUCUACCUGCAUAUAUGGCAGUGGCAUCAAACAGCUCUGGUUCAACUCCAAAAGAUUUAUUUGAAGAUGUUAUUGAAGAGCUGGAGAAACAAGUAAGUAAAGUUAAACUGAAACUGAGCCUUGCGUUUUUAUUAAGUUAUGGGUAAUGUGAAAUACAAACUAUCAAUAUACCUUUGCGGUCCAAAAUUGAAACUAUGUCCUGCUUUCCAUAUUAAAUUACGGGUUCAAGGUUCCAGUUUUUAGUUUUGAUGUAAAAACAGGACAUAGUUAACCCUGUAAUCACUUAAACUUCUUUUCAUGUGAGAAUGUUUUAAGUUUUUUAUAUGCAUGUGUACGACCUGUGCUGGUUUUAAUUGAGCUAUAUGAUCAGUUGCUAACAAAAUAAAAAUCUGCCGAACUUUUCACAGUAUCAAAGUGACAGAGUUCGAAUAAAAGACGUGGUGAAGUCUGGAAAGGUAUGAUUGGUCAGACUUUCGGCUUUCUGUUUUAUAUUUAUCUCCAGAUAUAUAAUGUGAUGCUGUUGCUUUUAGAUUGUGCUUUCAUCAACCUGGGACCUUGAAGCCUUCAAAACUGCUGUAUCGAAUGAUAUUGGCUCUCCAUCCAUAUCAGAUGCAAACUUAAUGGUACAUAUAGACUUCAAAACAAUUUAACAAAUAUGAUUCUAUUUGAACCGAAGAAUUCUUUAGUGGUAUUGGUUUGAUGUUAUGGUCCCUGAUGUUAAUAAUUUGGACAAACACAAUGGAUCUGCUACCGAAAUAUCUUCUUGUUCAAUGAUUUUGAAGUUUUCAGGUCAAGCUAUGAUCAGGGACAUUGGCUGGUUGACCCAACAUUUUCAGGCAACAAGCAUACUGUCUUUAAAAUUUUGAAAAUUAUUGUUGCUGACAAAGUGCAUGUGCUUAUAUCUAGGCUGCUAUAAGUUCAACUUUAACCCAUAUAGUCCAUACUCGUUAGUGAUGAUGUACCUACCAAUUGCAAUUUUAUUAAUAAAGUUGAUGCCAUUGUUCCAAAUCUUCAACCUUUACUAGUAAUUUUUUCUCGAUAAAUGUUAGAUGAUGAACUUUGCAUUGCCGGGAUAAUGUAAUUAUUCUUAUGUACUAGCAAUUUUGAUGAUGUGUGAAUAGGAAACAUAGGAAAACACUGUUGUGAAUCUAUACUCUCUUAUAUUGUGGAUUAAAGUGUUGAGAGUACUGACUGCUUCGCCAGGGCAGUUGCCAUGUGGCAAGGAAAGGGAAAUUCUGUUAAAGGCAGUCUGUUGAUAAGAUACCGUUGUUAUUGAUAUGUUAUGUUUUUAUUUUUUAUUUUUUAGUUUCAUGUGCUAUGUCAUUGUUCUGUUCCUAUGGGCCACAAUGUCUAUUCUGAUAUUUUACUGCCUUGCAGGUAGUAUUUGAGGAGUUAAUGGAACGUGUGAGGGAAAAGGAGGAGAAAGAAGCUAAAAGGCGUAAACGUCUUGCAGAUGAUUUCUUUCAUUUCUUAUCUUCUUUCAAGGUGCAGCAGGCUGUUUGCCAACUUAAGAUUUUUGUGUUUUAUUUUUUAAUCGUUUCUCUCUGCAUUAUUGCCCUUUUCUUGUAUCUCAUGUUUUAGGAGGUGGGGAGGAGGGGAAACUUUAUCAAUCUGAUCAUUUUCUUUUACAGGAGAUAACUCCAUCUUCUAAAUGGGAGAACUGUAAGUCACUUCUUGAAGUUAGUUCAGAGUACAGGUACAAUCUACUAAUAACUUGCCAUGUUUUAUUUUUCCACAUAGUUAUUAUCGCUCUUAAGUGUUUGGGGAAAAUGAAGGAGUUUUAAAGGAAGUAGAAUAAAAAAUAAAAAAUUUAGGUUUAAAUAAUUAAAUGGGAUAUGUUAGCUGUAGCUUUUUUACUGCUAUCCUUAUCCAACUGUCUAUUGCAUGAUUCUGUUGCAACUCUUGUUCAGUGCUAUUGGUGAAGAGAGCUCCUGCAAAGAGAUAUUCGAUAAACACAUCACGCAAUUGAAAGAACAAGCAAAAGAGAAAGAGAGAAAACGAAAGGAAGAGAAGGUACUAUAUCAGCGAUAACUUUAUAUAUAUAGAUAUACCAUGUGGACUUUAUCCUCUUUCCCCCUGCAUAAUUUUAUUCUGAAAAUUACUUGUACGUUUCACACUGGAAUUGUUAUUAACCCUGUGGUUGGUCUCGUCUCGAUGUUUGCUUGUUGUCUCUGAGUAUGUCCGUCAAAUGAUAGUUAGCGAUUCUGCCCCCUCCAUUUCAGUGUCUUCUCCUUCUUUCGUUAGGUGUUCCUCUUUAGUUUGCGUGUAUAAAAUUAUUGAUUUGGACUCUUGUCUAAAAAACAAAUUGCCUCACAAGAUGAUUAUUUGUACUGUUUCACAUGCUACUCUUGUGUCUGCAACAACUUAGAUAAAUUCAUGGCUAUUGUUUCCUCUAAGGCAGUAUGAGGAUUUGAAGAGUUUUUGAGGUGGUUUGGUUGUGGAAAGUUCCAUGGCUUCGUGGUUCAUAAUGUUUCUAGUUUAUCCCAAAAGUCCAAUUGAUAUUGCGAUGAAGUACGUGGCCUAUAUUCAUUGGGAUGAUUUAAAAAAUUAUGUUCACAUUGAUGGACCUCUAGAAUUUUAAAAUGGGUGUACUAGUUGAUUACCAAGUAAUUGCUACUCUGGCUCCUAAUGAAAGAGGGAAAAAGGUAAAAAGUGGUAUCUAGUUGCUAAUGAAGGUGGGGAAAAGGUUAAAAGAUAGUUGUAGUUAGUUGUUACAUGACUUAUAUCUGCAAUUUUGGUGGCAACUGGUAUGAAUCUGUGGAUGGAUUAAUUGUGAACUAAUGCUUGAUGCUUGUUAACUUCUGUGACAUUCAUGUAUUACCUGUUCAUUUAUAGCUGAAACCCUAAGUAUGAUGCCAUGAAUUUCUAUUAUUCUUUCUGCAGGAAAGGAGGGAAAAGGAGAGGGAUGAAAGAGAGAGGAGAAGGUCGAAGCAUAGAAGGGAAAGAGGGGCAGGAUAUGAAAAAGAUAAAGAGGAACACCUUACAAAAGACGGAGAAGACACUGAAAUUAUUGACAUAAUGGAGGUUAAUGAUUCCAAAGAGAAAAGAAGAUCAGGAAAAAAUGAUGAUAAGAAACAUAGGAAGAGGCAUCAAAGUGAUGAAGACCAAACAAAUGGAAAUGAGAACGAUCGGUCUAAAAGGUCUCAUGGAUCUGGCAGUGACCACAAGAGAUCAAGACGGGUAUGAUUUUGAUGAGAAAAAAUGAUAAUUUUCCAUGCUUCACUUUAUUUGUUACAUGAACACUGAUCUGAAUUCUUUAAUUACUUUGUUUCCAUUUGUGAAUGGAUAGCAGGCAUCUGGUCCUGAAUCAGAUACUGAAAGCAGACACCGUAGACAUAAAAGAGAUCACCGCAGUGGUUCUCGUAGAAGUGGUGAUCAUGACGAGCUAGAAGAUGGGGAAUUUGGAGAUGUUGGGGAAAGUCGGUAGUUAUUUCAUCCAACAUAUUACUUAAACUUUUAGUUAAACUGUUUCUGACUUGUGAAAUAUCUGUUUACCUUAGAAUCUUUGAACUUCUAGGGUUAUGUCAUGUGUCAUAUAGAUAUUUAUUAGAAAGUCAUGCAGAACCACAGUGCAGUAUGUAGCCAGCAGUUUGCUCCUUUUUAGUGAUUAAAUGGAAUUUUAGAGAAGAGAAGAAAUUUUUUGGUUUUUUUUCUUUUCUCUGUUCUUUUCUUAUUAUGACGAGAUAUAACCUCCUAUGCUAUGAACUAUGAAGCUAUGACCUUUCCAAUGUGGUGGGCAAUAGAAAACUUUCAUUUUGAAACAAUAAGUGAAACCAACUCUAUUCAUUUCAUUACAUUUAUCAAGAUGUUGAAGUUCUUGAUAGUGAGCUCUUGCUGAGUACUACAAGAUUCAAAGGAUGACUAAAUCUAUCCAAAUCUAGAAGAAGCCUCUUUCAUUGCCAAUUGUCGUGCUUCCCAUUUGUCAUGCUUUAGAUUCCUACUUUUCUCUUUAUACUUUUAUGCCAGCCAAACCAAACCAAGCCAACCAACACCCAACAGCCAACAACUAGUUUAUGUUAGAAGAACACAGCUUUCUUAUGAAACAGGUAAUACGUAUUAAAUCUAAGGGCGAGUGAGCACAAAUAUCCCGGAUCUUGGUGACCAGGAAGUUUCCGGUGACGUCGGAGGAAGGAACCGGCCUUCAUGGUGAACUCUCUAGAUUAACUUACCAUUAUAUAAACUUCUGUAAGUAGGAGAAUUUGUGUAGCAGAUGGAUUGUGAUUCUAGAUGAAUUUGGAAGUGUAUGGUUCUGACUUCUGGAACAUGUUUUUAAUAUCGACGACGUGUUUCAGGUUUGUCAACGCGUAUGUUUAUCAGUCCGUGACCAAAUGUGUAUUCUAGAGUUUGUAACUUUGUGUGGUGUUCACAUUGCAAAGCUGCUGCUGACGGCGUCGAAUAGUGUGUGGACUGUCUACUAUGUUUUUCAACACUUCAUCAAAUAUAAACGAGUUGACCAUGCCCACAUAUAUAUACAUGAUGAAUUCAUGAACUUGAAAAUAUGCUGUCGCUAUAAUGCUAUAUUACAUGUUAGAAUUAUGGAUAGCUUGAUUUAAAAUUUUUGGUUGGUGUAUUUUUGCUUAUCUAAUUGCUCUUAGACUCGUAAGUCAUUUCAUUUGAAGGUUUUAGGAAUCUUAUAUGGUAUUUCAUUUACUAAUCAUACUUUUUAAGAUCGAGAUUCAUUUCCGAUUCUAUUUGAUAAUAAAAUAUCAUUAGAUAUACACUAUAAUUUCUAGUUUCUUGAUUUCAAACAAAAACAACACGAUAUUAACUAUAUCUAUAUUGUUAUUUUGGGUUUAAUACUUUUGGUGUAGGACGCCAGCCGAUGCAAGUGUCUUAUGGUCUUGAAUAAGUUAUGAAAUUAUCUAUUUUUUAUCUUAACUAAAACAUAUGUCGUUGCUAGAGACAUUUUCGUUUGUAGGCUUUAGUUAAUCUAAAAAAGAAAAUUGCAUCAGCCACUUAUAAGAAUUUGUAAAUUAUAAAACUCCACCUGUAUUUUUGGAAAUUUCUGAAAAUGGUCAACGACAUACCGAAAUGAAUCAUUCAUCUGAUUUCUUGAAUCACACAUUAGCCUUUCAAGUCCUAUAUAUAUCUAGCUACUCUCAUUCCAUAGAGUCAUCCAUCCUCAAUCCUCUCACUAGUUCAUAGCAGCAGCUCAUCGUUUUAGAGAAUCAAACUACAGCUCAAACCAUGUCGUCUUGCAAGCUCACCAACCUCUGCAUCAUCGCCGCUCUCCUCCUCUUCCUCUCAAUAACCUCCACUGCUCGGGAGAUGCCUUCUUCUCCAGACGUUACUACAAUGAAAGUCCAACAUGAGGUAAUAAUAACUUCAGCUAGCUAUUUCGAUCUGUCAUGUAGUCGAUCACUUAGUUUAGAGCAGUCAGUUUCUGGGUGUGUUUUCUAAAUUUGUUGUUUCUUGAUCUGUUGUUGUGGUUUAGGGGUUGAAGGAUGCUGAAGUGGAAAAAGUGAUGACGGAGGAGAGCUGCGAGGGAGUUGGUGAAGAAGAGUGUCUGAUGAGAAGAACUCUUGCUGCUCACAUUGAUUAUAUCUAUACACAGAAGAACAACCCUUGAAACUUUUACAUAUUAUAUGUAUCUAUUUUACUCAAUUUUUGAGUAGUACAUGUAUUCAUGUAUGUACUGAUUUGCAUCAUUGUAUUCAUAUUACUCAGUUAUUUUUAGGAAGUUUCCUGUGUAGUAAUACGGCCAGUUUGUAUAGAUGAUACCGAUCACAUAUAUAUUGAAGUUCUUCAGUUUCUGGAUCUUUUAUUUGCUGUGUGUUCCUCUAUCUAAAUUUCAUUUGCAACACAUGUAGAUCCUGUAAUUGAAAGAAUCAAACAGACUAGUUGGUUUUUAUCUUUACUUGUUUUGAUCAUCGAAAAAUAACAUCACCUCAAAUACUUCAAACCAAAUAUGAACCCUAAGUUCACAAAACUAAAAACAACCUAAAAAUUAAAGAACCUGCGAACAUUAUCAGAGUACCGUCACAACUAAAUCCCGUGUGUUUAUAAAGCACAUUGCGUUAAGAAAAAGUUGAUGUCAAACGAUCAAUUACAUGUAAUAGCGAACUCGAUCAACAAACUCCAUCUAAACUCACAUGCAUGAAUGGAAUGUGAGAAUGUGACCAGAAUACUACAACCAAAUUCUUGAACUCUGAUAUAGAUCUAGAUGUAGAAAUAAUGGAAAAUGUUAGGGAAAUAUAUAAUCGGACAUAUAGAACCGGAUCAAGGUGCUUCUUCUAUCGACCUCCUCUACCCUCCAUUGUAAAUUAUACCAUACAUGUAAAACUAAUAAUUUUGACCAAGCUAAAAUACAAGAACACGUGAAAUAUACAUAUAAUGUCUGUAUCAGUUUAAUUUAUACAUCUGUCAUAGAAAUUAUAGUAAAUUUUGGUGAAUAUUGUUGUUAAUUACUAGCUAGCUCAUUUCCAAACUGUAUUAUCAUGAAAUAAUUAAAAAUAGCCAACCUAAACGCCUUUGUCCACUUAUAAACAAGUGUACCUUAAUCAAUUCAUCCUUACCAUAAUUUGAAUGGACAUAAUCAUACGUAUAAUGUCCACAGAUAGACGAUCGAGUUGUUAAUUAUAUGUAAUUAUUGUAUGUUGAAUUUCGAUUCUCAUCCUCACCAUCAUGAUGUUUUAAGCAUGGGAAGCAAUCCAAGCAGGCAAGCAUGAAUAUAUAUAGCAUCAUGAUAAUAUAGAUAGAAUCCUAUAUAGAUAGCUAGAGACCCAUGUUAUGGGAGCUAGCUAGUAUGAUGACUCGACUGGUAUUAUUCAACGAGAAAACUUUCCCAAUUAAGUGAUGAUGAAUCGUAUUCAUGCCAUAUGCUACAAAAUUUGUGGCAUGGCAUAACAACCUAAUGCAAACGGCUAUGCACUUGUAUUUAAUUAUCAACUUCAUGUAUAGUCAAAAUGAGAACGAGCUUGCCAAUUAAUUUAGUCUGAGUUUGAAACUUCGAGAGCCACGUACGUACAAGUUCUUAAUUGUAUCGUUCAUAUGUGUGUUGAUCUAACAAUUUCUCGUAACGGAACAAUAUACUAAUUCAUUAUCAAUCUGAACAAUCUUUCAUGUACAAAAUUGCACAUUGUGAUUUGUGAAUCAUACACGCAUGCAUGAUGGAACAAUUAGGUAAAUCAAUAAGGUUCAAUUCUAAGUUAGGUUUAAGACAACUAACAUCAAAAUCUCCCUCUCUCUCUCUCUCUCUCUCUCUCUCUCGUCUCUUUAACAAUAGAUGAAUCAUUCAUAUACUCGAUUGAUGAAGUCGAUAUAUAGCAUUCCCUGUUGAUACACACACUUCCAUAUCAGUGCCUCUUCUUGUUUUUGCCUUAUAGCUAGGGCAUCAUGCAGGGUGUUCUAUUGCAUGGUCCCAUAUGUAUAUAUGAAUCAAACAUUGCAUUUCGAAGAGUCAUCAAUCCCACACAUGGCUAGUACCCCAUUUUGGUCGAAAAUUAAACCAAAGCAUCUGCAUAGCGUUCAGACUAGCUUGUGUAUAAAUGCAGGUAUAUGUGAUCAGCAUUGCAUUCCCGAGUUGUGGUUUACAAUAUGGCAGCAACAAGGUACUUACACA